rnacentral:lncRNA from 1 species
UGCCAAUAUUUUUUCUUUUCUUCCAUGCUGAGGUUGAAGAAUUCGUGAACCUCCUUCUUUACUUUCUCUAGAAAUGCAGAGCUCACUCCAUGAUUUACCAUCUGAAACAAUUCAUAAAAGAAAAAUAGCAAAGAUGACAAUAGUCGGCAGUGCCUCUAAGUUCGUACUGGGCAAGGUAUUUUAUUGAGACACAGUGCAAGUUAUUUGGCUGAUUUAGAUACUAAUAAAAGCAUUUGUUACUUUUCAUUAAAUUAACUAAGAAUAUUGCAGUUGCAUUAAAACACCAUUAUGGUUUAUAAAUUUGUUUAUAAGUCUUCACAUCUUUAUCAGAAGCAAGUUAGAUGGUGUACAAACCCACGGGGACAGUUACAAUUAAUAUCACUCAAUUCUAAAAGAUGAUUACGAAUCCCCAAUUCAAAAUUUUUAUGCGGCUUUUCUUAUGGCAACUUAAAAUGUAAGAAGACCAGAAGAACAAAUAUAAGAAAUAAGUAUAUUUCCCAUAAGUCCCCAAGCCUAUUGCUGCAGAGUAGGUCACAAGCGGAAGUCUAAUCUUGAUUCUUGAUCAAUGGAAAAGCAUGUACUUUGGUAAAGGAAUUUACCUGGAAAAAUCCCCAUUCUUUGCAAGCAGAGUCGAGCUUGGCUAACUCAGAAUCCAUAGAUUCUUCAGAAAGCAAGCUCUGCAUAUCGAUAACUGGCAACUUUGAAACCAAAGCAUCAUCAGAAAUGAUGGUUGUUGCAUCUUGGUCUGGUCUUAUGUACCUGGGAGGGACAACUAAAGUAGGAUUCUUGGCCAAUUCUUGAACACAAUGCACAGAAAGAGAGCCUCGAAAUUUGGCCAUCUUCUUUUUUUUUUUUUUCCCCCACAAAUUCUCUCAAGAUUAAUGUUGCAGCGGUUUUGUAUUGGUGUUAGAACAAGAUUGCAGAUGCAGAGACUAUUAUUGACCUUGAAUGAGUUUAAAAAAAAUAUCUCUUGCGACACAAGUCAAAUGGGCUUUCAGCUGUCACGUGUCAAGGCAAUUUUUGCCUUCUCCAUAAUCUUCUUUAAUGUUUUAAUUGGAAACAUCUGCCUUGGAGUUUGGGCGACAGGUAAUCAUAGUGGACUAAUAGAUAAGAUGAAGAGAUUUUUGUAAUCUACAUUGUGAAACCUGUGGGGUCUGAAACUUAAUUUCUUAUAAAAUUUCAUUUUCAUGCAAUAAUUGCAUAUGUUAAUUAAACAGACAUCCUUUUGAAUUCAAUAUGAAAGGGAGAGAAUUUCAUUCAUUAUAACUCUCCCAGUGAAAAUGAUUUAAGUUGUGGAUCCCAUUACAUAGCUCUCCCAAUGAAAACUGGACAUGUGGACUGUUACUGACAAUAAGGUGGGUGAUUUGGCUUACUAAAUCAAUUCUCUUUUAUUAAUAUAAAUAUUUUACAUUAUAAAUUAAAAUCUGAUUGUGUGAAUUAGUUACAUUAUUGAUGCUAUAAAAAAUAAAGGUAAGGCAUCAUAGGAUGACUAAUAAAAUGUGAUACUCAUUGAGAAGAAAUGCUAUUUUGUACAAAAAGAUUUCUACAGAUGGCAAAGUGUAGGCACUGCUCGGGCUAAACAGUUUGAAUUUUAUGUUUUAUAAAAUUUAAUAUAUAUAUAUAUGUGUGUGUGCGUGUGUGUGUGUGUUUUAAAAUUUUUCAAAGUAUUUUCUCCAGCUUUCAAGUCAAGCUUGGGCCUCUUGAAGGAAGUCCAAACUUGACUUGAGUGUUAAGAAAAUACAAGCAAGUUGGGCUAAACCGGCUCAAAUCACUUGGGCCUGUCACCCCCAGAGAUUUCAUUUCACGCAACAAUUGCAUCCACGUAAUUGAAGGCAAAUCUCCAGCUUUUUCAUUUGGUUCAAAAAUUUACAGUCUUGUCCCUUGUCAUAGAAAAACUUAUUAAUAAAAUAAUAAUUUACUAUGUUAGCAAAUAAUAAAUUUUAAAUAAAAAGAUUAAAAUAUUUUUAUAUGAUGAAGUACAAUAAUUAAAAUGAUUUAAAUUAUUAAUAAAAGUACCAUAUAUAUAUAUAUAUCAAAUUGAUAUUAUUUAGAUUUAUUAAUAUUUUAUCUUUUAAUUUCAAUUUAUUUUUUAAGUUUUAUUGUCUAGGUCAUAAUAAAUUUUUAAAUAAUAAAUGUGAAAUGAUUAAAAUAAUUAUAUAUAUAUAAUAAAAGUAAAAUAAAAUUAAUUCACGUUAUUAUUAUCUAUUAAUUUAAUGUAAAAUGUAUGUAUAAAAUUCUUAAUAAUAAAACUUAACUUUUUAGCCUUAAAACUAUGCAAUACAACCUAAACCCAACCCUAUGGGUUUAUUUAUUAUACCUCUUACUGUAUUAACAAUUUUUUUAAUGCAGUGCAAUGCAAUCAAAAAUUACAAAACAUGAGUUAGCAUAAUUUUAAUAUAGAAUAAUACUUUAAUGCAAUGUAGUACAAUGUAAUGCAAGCUAUCAAAUACAUUCUAAAAAGUGUCUUCAUAUGAGGAGUUAUCUAAUUUGAGGCAGGGAUACAUAAACGCUACUCUGUAAUUCACGAAUAUGUUGAUUGCUCAACCCAAUAAGUAUCAAGCACUAGUCAUCAAUGAAGUGGUUAAAUUCCCAAAAAGCAUUUGAAUAACAUUGUCAAGUACAUGUGUAUCACUUGCAAUCUCAUGAUAAGCAUACAAGAAUUCAAUUUCAAGAAAGACAGAUACUGAUCCGGUAUAAGCACAUAUCAUGAGCAUGUUGUAUUCUCAGUUUCUGUGCCACACUCCUUAAUCCAAAAUAAACUUAUAAUACUAGCCUCGACCGUGUUGAAUUCUCAAGACAUCCAGAUAAGAUUUUCCACUAAGCUCACGAGCAAGCCGGCGCCGGAGGUACUCUUCAACUGUCAAUCUUCUAAACAAUGAAGGUGUAUUUUCAGAGAUCAAACUGGAUGCUGGGUAUACUUCACCAUCGUAUCUCGCGUAGUAAAAUGCGGCAAUGGAGUGUCUUUCAUGUACAGAGUUUACAGUUGCACGAUGCUCAAUACUACGGUAUUUUCCAUUGGUUAUAAUCUGCCAUGUAAAAUUCUCAAAGCACAUGAGCCAGCUCAUAAUUGAUCUUCAAUUUUUAGUAACUAAAUAAAUUCUCAAAGUUGAGCUUUAAACAGACCGUUAUUUUCAUGAACAAUCAAUAAAAUGGAGCUCAAAAAUUCUAAAGCUGUUCAAUAGCUUCAGUUGUUUUGCAUGCGUUUCAGUUGAUAUGUUCCGAAUGGUUACUAUAGCAAAUUUCUAUUCUAAUUUAAGGCUGAAACAGAAUCCCCAACUUGCAUUGUGAUGCUAAUGCCAAGCUAAACUAAUUUACUAUAAUUAUUACCUCCAUAAUGUCUCCAACGUUGACGACGAAGGCAUUUGGGAGGGGAGUAAGAGGAAUCCACAUUCUAUCUUUCUUUAUCUGCAGACCUUCUACUUCAUUGAUCUGUAGCAGAAUGGUAAGACCACAGCCAUCAGAAUGAGGCGUGAGACCCACAACCUUCUCCGGCUGAGGGCAUGGAGGGUAAUAGUUCAUCCUCAUUACUUGCAUUCCAUUUUCAAAGAAGUUUCUCAUUUCUUGAUCUUUGAUAUUUAAAACUUUUCCCAUUUUCAAUAUCAGAUUCAUGGCUAGAGAUUUUAACUGCAUUGAGUAAACUUCCAAGGUGUCUCUACAAUAGAAAGAAGUUGCGAUAUUAGAAGGUUUAACUUGAUCUUCUCAUUGUUUGCCAAAUAAAUAAAUAAUUUACAACCCAAAGUGCAAUAAGAUACCCUUUGGUUCAACAACCAAGUAGAUAUUAUCUGUUUUGGGCACAUGGGUGGACCCAACUAAGGCUCAUGAGGGAUUUCAACCUCUUUUAUCUAUUAAUUUUCUUUUAAAUGUACCUCAAGUCCCUUAUGAAAGUGUUAAAUAAAAAAAAUAUGAAAUAUAUUUUAUAUAAUAAAAGAUUUGUAGUUUAAUAAUAAGAAUGUUAUUUGAUGAUUUUAAAGUUUUAGUUUAAAUUUCAGUAGUCACAUUAUUUUGUUUUUGAAUAUUUUGUGAAAACUACUUAGAAAAAAGAUACUUUCAUAUAUUUAAAAUAAAUAAUUUAUUAUUAUUAUUAUUAUUUAGAAUUUAAAAUAAAGUAAUGGAAUUUAAGUUUAUAAGACUUAAAAUGUAUUCAAGUAAACAAUUAAAAAAAAAAAGCAACCCAAAUUAAAUCAAAGUUUUUGAACUAAGCCUCUCCAAUUUAAGUGUUUGGUCCACAACUGUUUGAGCACACAGUUGUUAUUAAGUUUUGUAAUCCAAAAUAUGUCUAUUUAAUAAGUAGAAGAACCAAUGAAUUAUAACUUAGUUCAGAGAAUAAUUCGCUAGCGAUGUUGGAUGUUACAUAAACUGGAUUAAAACACACUAGCCUACGCGUACAGAUUUACCAAGAGAAAGACAUAGACAGAACCUGAGGGGAAGAGGGAGCUUAGGAAAUAAGUGUGGUUUCCUCAAAUUUUCUGGAAGAGAGAUCAUGAUGAAAGUAUCACUCCAAUCAAGUUUUUGUUCCUCAGAUACAACAUUGGAUUGUCCAAAUCCUUCUACAUCUCCUGGACGCUGCCAAUACUUUUUCUUUUCUUCCAUGCUGAGAUUGAAGAAUUCCUGAACCUCUUUCUUUACUUUCUCUAGAAAUGCAGAGCUCACUCCGUGAUUUACCAUCUGAAACAAUUCAUAAAGGAAAAUUACGUAUUCCAGAAGAACAAAAGGAAGCAAUAAGUAUAUUUCUCAAAAGUUACCAAACCUAUUGAUGCAGAGUUGGUCACAAGAUGAAGUCUAAUCUUGAUUCUUGAUCAAUGGAAAAGCAUGUAAUUUGGUAAAGGAAUUUACCUGGAAAAAUCCCCAUUCUUUGCAAGCGGAGUCGAGCUUGGCUAACUCAGAAUCCAUAAGUUCUUCAGAAAGCAAGCUCUGCAUAUCGAUAACUGGCAACUUUGAAACCAAAGCAUCAUCAGAAAUGAUGGUUGUUGCAUCUUGGUCUGCUCUUAUGUACCUGGGAGGGACAACUAACGUGGCAUUCUUGGCCAAUUCUUGGACACAAGGCACAGACAGAGAACCUCCAACCUUGGCCAUCUUUUUUUUUUUUUUUUUCACCCACAAAUUCUCGGUAGAUUAAUGUUGCAGCGGUUUUGUAUUGAUCUUAGAACAAGAUUGCAGGCGCAGAGACUAUCAGUGAUGGAGGUUUAAAAAUUUAUUUCUUCCUACACAAGCCAACGGGGCGUUCUGCUGCGUUGCGUUUCUUUAAUCAUUUAACUGGAAACAUUGCCUUGGAGUUUGUGCAACGAAUGAUGAUGGUGGACUAAUAGAUAAGAUCAAGGAUUUUGUAAUCUGAAAUGUGAUACAUGUAGAUCUGAAACUCUAUAAAAAAUGAGUAGUAUAAAAAAUUUCGUUUUCAUCUAACAACUGCAUCUAUUGAUAAAAUGAUUCAAGAAAUGAUUUCAUUUUUUUUUUCAAAUUAAUGUAGAUUUUCAAACCUGGAAGUUUCAAAUCAUUCUAGAUUACAAGUUUUUUAUUUUUUAUUUUUUAUUUUUAUCUUAUAGGUGCAUAAGAUAAAGAGAUUUUUGUAAGCUAGAAUGAAUUUUUGUAAUAAUUUUUUAUUGUUUGAAUAAUGAUAGUGGACUGUUGAGUCCCCGAUAAGAUAUAGAGAUCUUUGUAAUUUAGAAUGUGAAAUAUGCAGAUCUGAAACUCUAUUUUAUACAAAAAGCUUUCUAGCUGGCAAAAUGUUGGUUUUCUGCUGAACUUGUAAAGUCCAGACCGGCCCUACUAGCGUGGAUGUUUUUGGUGCCAGACCGAAAAGCCCAAAUUUUAUACUUCAUUUUUUUUAAUUAUGUUUUAAAAAUUUAUAAUUUAUAAAUUUUUAUUUGUACUAGAUUAGACUUUAAAAACUAAGCUUAAAGAUUGAAAAAUAUUAUGGAUGGGUUCAGGGACGGAUUCAGGAUUUAAUAUUACUCCGGGCUAAAUUUUAAAUUUUAUAUUUUGAAGCGAACAUAAAAAUUUAUAAGUAGAAAUAAGUAUAUUAAAUAAGGAGGAAUACCAAGAACUUUAUCUCUCUAAAUAUGUACUAUAAACAAAAAUAAUUAUAAAAAAAGAGUAGAAAAUAAAAAAAAACUCAAAUAUGAAAUUAUUUUUUAAUUAUAGAAUUUGACAUUGCAACCUAUAAUAACUUAUAAUUAUAUAAGGAUUAAAAAAUCAAUUAAGAAAUUUAAAUUAACAUAGAUCAAUACAUGUAUUUAACCCCUUACUUUUUUAAUUAAAAAUGUUUAAGAAAUUUUCUAGCCCACGUGCAGGUCCGCCACUGGAUGGGUUAAAUAUAUAUUAAAAGGUGUAUUUUAAUUAAAAAAAAAUUCUUAAACAUUUCUUGAGGUUUCGAAUGGAGUUAAAGCUUUUUAGGUGAAGUUUGAGCCUGAACCAAGUGUCUAGAAAACAUGCUUGGAAUGAUCUAGAUUUCCUGUCAUCCCUAAAGAUUUCACUUUCAAGCAGCAAUUCCAUCCAUAUAAUUAAAGGCAAAUCUCCAUGGUUUUCAAUUGGUUCAAGAAAAUUAUGUAGUCUUGUGCCUUGUCAUAAAAAUUAAAAAUUAUUUAUAAAAUAGUACUUAUUAUUUUAGUAAAUAAUAAAUUUUAGGUAAUAAGAUUAAAAUAUUUUUAUAUAAUGAAGUAUAGUAACUAAUAUGAUUUUGACUAAAACAGAAAUAUCAUCUACUUACAUCAAAUUGAUGUUAUUAGAUUUAUUAAUAUUUUAUCUGUAAUAUUAUUUUAGUUUUUUGUUUAAGUUUUAUUAUGUAGGUCAUAAUACAUUUUUAAAUAAUAAAAGCAAAUGAUUAAAAUAUUUAUAUAUAAAAUAAAAGUAAAAUAAAUUUAAUUUAUAUAAUUAUAAUUAUCUAUUAUUUUAUAUUAUUUUGAAGUAAAUUUAAUAUCUAAAUUUAUUAAUAAAAUAAUAAAUUAAACUUUUUAGUUUUAAAACAUAAACUACGCCAUGCAGCCUAAACCCAAACUAUAACACCCGCACGUAAUUUGUUUCCUUUUUUUAUUUUAUAAUAUUUAUUUUAUAGAAUAUGGUAUUGUAGGUUAAUGAUAUUUAAGUGUGUUUUUAAUUUUUAACUUCAAAUGUCUUAUUGACACAACUCAAAAGUGUAUUACUCCCAAAUAUAAGAGUGUGUGAUUAUAAUAUAACUCGGUGAGUCUGAGGUCAGACCACAGGAAAUUAAAAGUCUAAUUGUCAAUUUGUUUAAACAAAGAAAUUUAAUUACGAGAAAAGAAAUCACUAAAAAUCAAUUUAAAAACAUCCUAAGGUUACAAGAUCCACUCUCAGUAUUCAAACUAUAAUUUUACUAUUCUUUCAUUUUUAUAUUUUUACCUCACUUUUACCAAUUAAUUAUUAUAUCAUUUAAUUUUCAACUACCUAUGUGUGUGGAUAAAUAUGGAAUAAAUAGGAAUAAAGUACCUAUUGUACCACAACUAUUUUAAUGUGUCGACAUUAUGUCAAAAUACCAUACAGAUCCAAGAAAAUUUAUAAAUUAACAUGACAUAAAAAUAACUAGAAAAGAAUAAAAUAAACUUAAAAAUCAUUUGAGAAAAUAAUAGAUUUAAUAGUUUGAAACAUUGAGCUUCACCUUUUACCUCAACUUAAUAAAAUUAGCCACUCAUAUUAAAAGAAAACGCAACACUCUUUUUAUUUGAUAAACUUUUGAAAUAUGUUACAAGGAAAAUUGAUACAAAAGGAAACAAGAAAAGAAAAGAAAGACAUAAAUUCUUCAAUUCCCUCUUGGCGACACAUCUCUCUCUCGGCUUAAGCUUCUUUGCUUCUCGCUUCGUCGGCUUUUAUAGGCAACAAUUGCCUCCUCUUCAUUCUUUUUAUUCUUAUUUAAUUUAUUAUUACUUUAUUAUUUUAUUUUUUUAUAAAUUAAAUGAAUGUUGAGAAGUGUGAUGGCCAGGAGGCGUGAUGGCCUCCUGAUCAUCACGAGCAACCAAAGCAUGGUUGCCUUUUGCUCUUUUGUUCUUUUUUUUUAAUUUUUUUUUAUUAUUACGUCUCCUUAAUUGUGCUCCAGUAGUUCUUCUUUAUUCCCGCUUUCAAUUCUAGUUCCAUCUUUAUUUCUGAAAAAUAUUUACAAGAUAAAAAUUAACAUUUUAUGAAUUAAUUUAAUAUAAAAAUAUAUUUGGGGAUUAUUAAGAUAAUUUAGAAAUGAUGAGCACAUUAAUCGACACAAUAAGUACAAAACUAAUAAUUUUAUCCUUAUUAAAUGUACACUUUUUAGUGUCAAUCACUUAGAUCAGGCUACAGUGCAACUGUGGUACCGUGCCACAGUUGCAUCCAGCCGUUUCAUGCACUUAGAUUGGUGGAGUCCACUUGUAUUUAACGGCUGAAUGCAACUGUGGCACGGUACCACAGUUGCAACACAAGUUUCGCCCAAUCACUUAUCUUUUUUUAUAUCUUAUUUACCUCUUAAUUACACUUUUAUUAAAAGUAAAUAAAUCACUUAACGAGUACGGACGGAGCCAGCAUGGGACCAACUGGGGCACAGGCCCUGGCUGACUUUUAAAUUUUUUUGAUGAUUAUAUUAAAAAGUUUUAUUUUAUUUGUUAUUUACAAAAAAAAAAUGCCCCAGCUGAAUUGUAAAAUUUAAAAGUGACUAGUAAUUUUAAAAUAUUUCAUAUUAUCCCUAGUUUAAAUGUCUAAUUCUAAAUAAUUUAAUUAGCUAUUAACAUUUCAUGAAAUUCAAUUAAAGACACGAGAACAAAUAUUAAAAUAAAAAAAAAUUCAUAACAAAAUGUUAGUAAAAUGGUUAAUGGACUAGUCUUUAAUUUUUUUUUUUUUGUUUUCUAUUCGAGCAAAAUCAAUUGUUUGGUCUUUCAACAAUGACCUAUAAGUUGUAAGUUUACGUAAUUCUAAUUUUUAAUUUUCUGAUUAAUCUUUUGUCUAGUUUUUAAAUCUAUAAUUUUAUCAUGCAUUCAUGUUUGCUCUGUGUGUUGCAAUAUAUGAAUAUUUUUGUUAUUAUUAAAAGAUUUUAAAAGUAAAUUAAGUAAUAACCUAGUCUAUAUUGAAAAAUAUAUUUUUUCUUAUAUUGAUAAUUAAACUAUCAUACAUUAUUGUCAACUCAUAAAAUUUCAUUGAGGAGUUUUCAACGAGAACAAUCAUAAUAAGUAAAUUUAUUAUCAAUGAUUAUUAUAGUUGUAAAGUUUUAUAUUGUUAUCUAAAUUUUUAGAAGUGUAUUAUACUUUAAAUAGGGUCUCAAUUAGAUGCAUGCGGACACACUCUAUAAGCACAAUUGUGCAUGUGACAAGCUCCCAUUUGGAGUUUGUAGGGCCCACAACACAGUUUUCCAAAUGAGAACUUACCACACACAUAGUCGCGCAUUCGAGUCAUGUUUGAUUUUAAAUGUGCUCCAGCUCGAUCAAAAUCCUGGCUACAUCCCUGUUAAAGAGUGAUGAUAUUAAAAGGCUUGAUUUUAUAAAAACUCCUCAUAUGUUAAUUAUUAUUUUUUUUGGGGGAAAAUUCUAGAAGCUGAUAAAGAAAAGAAUGUAGCAUAUACAAAAGAAUAAACACAUUUAGGUUUUCAGAAAGGAAGAAAGAAGAGUUUAAUGGUGUUUUUAUUUUCUAUUAAAGGAGUUCUUGAGUUUUGAUUUAGUUUUGAAGGAAGAAGGUUAAAACCAACGGUUCAAAAGUGAGCUCAUGUGAUUGAAGUUAUUUAUUUGGUUGCUUUGGAAUAUAUAUACACACGAAAAGAAUAUUGUUUAUAUUAUGAAUUGACAUUUUAUGGUUUUAUUAAUAUGAUAUAUUUUGUGAAAUUUGAUGUAUAUUAGUUAAAGUAUAUUUUAAUCAAAUGAACUUCUUUUAAAAUUAUACUUUUUCAAAACCAUUUUCCAAGUGACUUUGAAAAAUACUUGAUCUUCUAUAAAGUGUUUUACUUAAAAACUAUUUUAAAAGCGCUUUACGAAUUAAAUGUCUUACCAGAGCGUUUAUUGAUUGAUUAUUGAAUGACUGAUAUUGAAAGACUGAAAAAUGUAUUUAAAGUUUUGGCUUAUUGUCUAUAGUUACUAUUAUUGAUAUGUGUGAACAACUAGCUGUAUUGUGCGUACCUAUGGAUGAUUAUUACGGAGUACAAUACCCUGAUUGAUUUAUUGGCUGACUCACUGGGAUUAUAGGUGAUAUAUUGAAUGGCUGGGUCAUCAGGAGUACAGAUGACACUAUGUAGCAUGAGCAACUAAAUGAAUAAAAGAUUUUAUUAUUAAAUAAUUUCUUAAUCAAUUAUAGAUAGAAUGAUUAUUACGUUAUAAUUUAACUUACUAUGAGUUUUAUUAUACAUAUGUAUUAGAUUGUAAAAUAAUUAUUGUUUUCUAAUUUAUGAUUAUUGUGUACUUUAUCGUUAUUAGUAACUUUAUGCAUAAGUUUGCUUACCGAGUUGAUGGUUCACCCCAUCUCUAAUAUUUUAUAGAUUGAUUUUAGAGAUGAGGGCUUUUUGGUUUAAGGAAGAUGAUUUGUUAACUGAAAACUUUGACAUUUCCCUUGUUGAAUAAAUUGUUGCUACUUUGGUGAAUAAAUGAUUCAUUAACUACAAUAAUAACCCUAUUUUAUACUAAUAGCUAUUAAAUCCUAAUUCUUCUCAAAUAAGAUAAAUUAUCUAAAAUCCUAGUUUAAUUACAAAAUAUGAUUUAAAUAAACUUAAUCAAAUAAGAUAAAUUCUAAUAAAAUACUAAAUACUAAAUUAACUCAAAUAUUAUAAUUUCUAAUUUGUUUUACCUCAUACGCUUCCUACAUUGCAUAUAUGAAUAAAAGCAUUUGUUACAUUUCAAUAAGCCAAAAGCAUUGCAUUUGCAUUAUACACCAUUAUAAAUUUGCUUAUAGUUUUGCUAAAGCUACUGUAAGCCUAGAAAUAUACAUGGUAAGGAGACCUGGGCAGAAUUUUGGCUGAGACCCGAUUCAAAUUUUUUAGACUUGGAUCUAAACUUAAAGGUCAUUGGGUCGAGCUCGGGCCUAAAUAUUUGGGCCCGAUUAAAUUCAGGUUAAGGUUGGGCCCUACCUGCCCUGACCUUACUCGACCUUAAAACUUUUUUUAAAAAUAUGUUUAUGUUUAUUUAUAUAAUUAUAUGGUUGAGUUCUUGAGUAAUUAUUAUGUUUAUGUUACUUUAAACAAGUUCUAAAGUUUUUAAAUUUUAAUUCCAUUUUUUAAAUUUAAAUUACUUAAAAAAAAAAAAUUAUGCUGGGGCUCAAAAAAAGCCGACCCAAUCCUUACAUGAAAUUCAAAGGGCCACACUUUUUUCAAGUCGUGCCUUUUGUUUCAGUGAUCGAGUCUGGCUCGGGCUUGGCCAUUGCCGUCCCUCCUUAGAAAUGAUAAGAUAUUAAAGACAAUAUAAUUUUCAAGAAUGAAGACUUUUCUUCUUAGCUAUAUAAGAAAGCAAGUUUGAUGGGUACAUAAUGUCACGGGAUGAGUGUUUUGCGUAGCUAACCCGUGCGGCACUUAGACAACUUUGCCGAAUAUUGCUAAGUAAGCCUAGAGAUUCUCGAACAAGAGAAGAGAGCAAUUGAGCCAAAGAAACUUGUAUUGCACAAAGAGAGAUUACAAUGCUUGUUGGAUACAAAUGCUUAAUGCCAUCCCAUAUUUAUAGGGGAGGCUUUGCCUAACUUCACCUAACUUCACCUAACUUUGCCAAACUUGGUCAAACUCUAGAGUAUUUUACAAUUUCCUAGCUAUUUGCAUGUGCUGGAAUUGUAUAAAGUAUUCUAGAAUAUUUACAUGUUCACAUGUGCUAGAGUUGCCUAGAACCUUCCGGAAUUGGGCCAAGCUAGCACUCUUGGCCUUGUGUUGGCUCUCUAGCCCGAAAUUGUGGGCAAUUGGGCUAGCGAAUUGGGCGGUCCGCAACAUCCUCCCCCACCUAAGCUCGUGGCGUCCUCGUCGCGCUCUCGUGCUUGAAGUGCUGGAUGUGCUCAGUGAAUUGCCACAAAUCAUCUUCCCGUUCCCAAGUGGCUUCGCUCUCGGGGAGGUUUUUCCACUUCACCAAGUACUCGCUAUGUGCUGGCACACCCCUCCUCGAAACCGUUCGGUCCGCAAUGAUGUAGUCCACAUCUUUGUCGAACGCGGUGACAACGGCAGUUGGCGCGCGCCUCGAUUCUCCGCGACUUGGUUCUCCCAUGUCUUCAUGAUAUGGCUUGAGAAGGCUCACAUGGAAGACCGGAUGGAUCUUGAGUCUUGGCGGAAGUUGGAGUUGAUACGAGACGUUGCCUACACGUCGAACAACUCGGAAGGAUCCUCGUAGCGCCUCACUAACCCCUUGUGAACUUUCCGCAAAGUCUUGAAUUGUUGGGGUAGAAGCUUGAUCAUGACUUGAUCUCCUUCCUUGUACUCAACAUGCCGUCUCCUUGCAUCAGCCCAUUUCUUCAUUUUCCUCGCGGCUUUGUCGAGAUAGGCUCGCGUGAUGUCCGCUUCCUCAUGCCAUUCGCGGGCGAGCUUGUGUGCCGCGGGGCUUUUCCCUCCGUAAGUCGAGGCUAUGGCAUUGGGGGUCAUGGGCUGGAAUCCCAUGAUGAUCUCGAACGGACUCUUGCCUGUAGCCUCGCUUCGCUGCAAGUUAUAAGAAAAUUGGGCGAUGUCAAGUAGCUUCGCCCAAUCCCGCUGGUGAGCGCUCACAUAAUGCCUCAGGUACAUCUCGAGGAGGCCAUUAAUGCGCUCGGUCUGCCCAUCCGUUUGUGGGUGGAAACUUGUCGAGAACUUGAGAUCGGUCCCCAACAUCUUAAAGAGCUCCGUCCAAAACCGCCCAGUAAACCGAGGGUCUCGGUCGCUCACAAUGCUCUUCGGAACUCCCCAAAGCUUCACAAUGUGCUUGACGAAUAGGCGGGCUGCCUCGUCCGCUUUGCAAUCGACGGGUGCGGCAAUGAAUGUAGCAUACUUGCUGUAUCGGUCGACAACGACCAUGAUGCUACCGCAACCUUCGGACUUGGGCAGCGAUGUGAUGAAGUCCAUGGAGACACUCUCCCAUGGCCUUGUUGCUAGUGGUAGCGGCUCUAACAGUCCCGCUGGAAGUUGAUGAUCCACCUUGUCUUGUUGGCACACAAGACAAGUUCGCACAUAUGCCUCGAUGUCGUCCCUCAUGUGCGGCCAAAAAUACGAGGCUUGAACUAGUGCGGUGGUGCGCUCGAUUCCUGGGUGACCAGCCCACUUAGAGUCGUGGCACUCCUUGAUUACUUCCUUCCGCAAGUUUCCCCACCUUGGCACGAACAGCCGAUCUCCCUUGGUGAGGAGGAUGCCUUCCUCUUGCCAAAACCGCCUUGUCUUUCCUUCGAGCACCUUCUCCAGCAAAUCCUUUGCUAGCAGAUCUUGUUGGAGGCCUUCCUUGAUGCGUGAGACAAGGUCGGACUUCGGUUGGCUCAUGCUAAGUGUUGCCAAUUCCGCCUUGCGGCUUAGAGCGUCCGCAACAACAUUGGCUUUCCCCGGUUUGUACUCUAGCCGAUAGUCGAAUUCCGCAAGGAAAUCUUGCCACCGUGCUUGCUUCGGACUCAACUUCUUUUGAGUUUGAAAGUAGAUUGUCGCCACGUUGUCCGUCAUGAUCGUGAAGUGUGAGCCAAGCAAGUAAUGUCGCCACACUCUUAGACAAUGGAUGAUGGCUGUCAUCUCCUUUUCUUGCACCAUGUAGCGACGUUCCGUGUCAUUUAGCUUUCGACUCUCGAACGCUAUUGGGUGGCCUUCUUGCAUAAGGACUCCACCUAUGGCAAAAUCUGAGGCAUCCGUUUGAACUUCGAAGGGCUUGGUGUGGUCCGGAAGAGCGAGGACUGGUUCCUCCAAAAUUGCCUUCUUCAACUCCUCGAAUGCACGCUGGCACUCUUCAGACCAAUGCCACGUUUUGUUUUUCUUGAGCAUAUCUAUCAAGGGUGCCGCCUUGGCUGAAUAGCCCUUAAUGAAGCGGCGGUAGUAAUUCACCAGCCCAAGGAAUGAGCGAAGCUCGGGUACUUUCGAGGGAGGCUCCCAAUCGAGGAUGGCCUUUACUUUGUCAUUCUCCAUCAUGAUCUUCCCGCCCGCAAUCUUGUGGCCAAGGAACUCCACCUCUUGUUGGGCAAACGAGCACUUCUCUAGUUUGAGGAAGAGCUCAUUGUCUCGAAGUACUUGGAGGACUUGUUGCAAGUGUUGGGCAUGAUCCUCGAGUGUGGUGCUAUACACCACAAUGUCGUCCAAGUACACGACCACGAAGCGGUCGAGGAAUGGUUGGAGUACCUUGUUCAUGAGUGUGCAAAAUGUGGCGGGUGCAUUAGUAAGGCCAAAAGGCAUCACAAGGAAUUCGAAAGACCCGUACCUUGUUGUGCACGUUGUCUUCAGUUCGUCUCCCUUGGCGAUGCGCACUUGAUAAUACCCGGAGCGCAAGUCAAGUUUGGUGAAGUACCGUGCUUUGCCAAGCUGGUUGAACAAGUCCGCAAUCAAGGGAAUCGGAUACUUGUUCUUGAUAGUGAUCUUGUUGAGCGCUCUAUAGUCGAUGCACAUCCGCAGCGAUCCAUCCUUUUUCUUUUGGAAGAGGACCGGUGCACCGAAUGGGGCCUUUGAGGGGCGAAUGUAGCCUGCAUCCAGCAAGUCUUUGAGUUGUCUCCGCAACUCCUCUAAUUCAGGUGGCGCCAUGCGGUAGGGUGCCAAGGCUGGUGGCUUCGCGCCUUGUUCCAGUUCAAUCGCAUGAUCUACCUCUCGCGGAGGUGGGAGCUUCUUCGGAAGUUCUGGAGGCAUCACAUCCUUGUAAUAUUCGAGGACGGCUUGAAUUCGUGGAGGGACUUGGUUUGGCGACGUUCCGCUAUUUCCUUCCUCAUUUAGUUCCCGAAUGGAGACCAAGAAGCUUGGGUCCUUCUUGAAAGCCCUUUUGAAUUGCAUGGCGGAGAGUGUCUUCUCCUCGGACUUGCCUCGCUCCGUGGGUACCAUGCAUGCUUUACUCCCGUCGAGGAUGCUUAGGGAGUUUGUAGCGGGCAGUGGGAAGGCAUGGACUUGGUCGAAGAAUUCCAUGCCGAGGACCAUCUUGAAGUCGUCCAUGGGCACGAUGGAGAAGUCAAGCUUUCCACUCCACGUACCAAGUGUGAUGUGCACGCCUUGUGCGAUUCCCGCAAUUGGCUUGGCGGGUGAGUUCACAGCCUUCAUUGUGCCUCCUUCCUUAGUGGCCUUGAGGCCUAAGCGCUUGGCCUCGUCUACGGACACGAAAUUGUGUGUUGCUCCUGUGUCUAGCAGCGCGCGAACGGACUGACCGUUUACCUUUGCGCUUACAUACAUGAGCCCUUUCUUGACGAGUGCGGGCUGUUGGCGAUUGAGUGCGCCGAGGCGUUGGAGAGAACCCAUGCUGAGUUGGGGUUCCUCCGUGGACAUUGCGGGGUUGCUCUUGAGUUGGGCAGCAAGAGCAUUAAGCGACCUCUUCUCCAGACAGUCGCGUACCCAAUGAGGACCAUUGCAUAUGAAGCAUGGGCUUCGCGGCUUUGGCGCCUCCUUCUUGCCCUCCGUUUUUCCUUGCCAACUCUUGUUGCUAGGCGGCUUUUUCUGCCCCCAAUCUUUGCGGUUGUUGCCCUUGUCCUUGCGACUCUCUCCCCCGCCUUUGCCUUGGUUGGCCUUUUUGUCCUUGGAUUGGGUAGAGUAUUCGGUGAGCGACUCCGCAACAGCAAUGGCGUCGUCAAGUGUUUGAACACCACGCCUAUCAAGCUCGGUCUUGGCCCAAUCCUUGAGGCCAUCUUGGAAGUAGAAGAGUGAAUCCUUGUCGGACAUGUCGCUUAUCUCCAACAUGAGGGUAGUGAACUCGUUGAUGUAGUCCCGAAUACUACCCGAUUGCUUGAGGCGACGUAAACGCACUCGCGCUUCCUUCUCCGCAUUGCUUGGGGCGAAUUGCUUUCAGAGUUCUUGCUUGAAGUCGGCCCAAGUGUCGAUGGCGCAAAUGCCCUUGCCUAUCUCGCCAUGCUUGCGACGCCACCAUAGUUGUGCAGCGCCUCUAAGAUAGGUGGGUGCAGUGCCCACUUUCGAUGCCUCAUCUCGGACACCCAUGGCAUCGAAGUAUUGAUCCAGCCCAAAGAGGAAAUUGUCCACGAUGGUGGCAUUGCGUGUGCCAUCGUAGGUGUCAGGCUUUGGCACGUCAAUGCGGCGCGCAUCACUCGAGUUUGCGGAAGCUGGACUUGUGGAGAGUGUGCGCUUGUGCCAUGCCCAAUCCGAGCGGACUUCAUCCACUUCCGCACGGACAGUACGUAGUUCGUCCUGAACAAAACUACGAAGUUUGAACAACUCAUCAUGGAAAGAACGAAACUCACCUCGGAGAAUGUUCGCUUGCUCAUGGAUGAGAGCUUUUGUGGCCACCGUGAACUCGGCGUAUUCUCCCUCGAGACCAUCCACUCUUUCCUCCAAUCCCACGAGGCUAUCUUGAGCGGCGGACAAUGCUAUUUCGAGAGUGCCUACACGAGGCUCCAACGCAUCCACGGAUAGGGCCUUGGACUUGCCGCGAGUCUUGCCUUGGGCGCGUUCUCCCUCUCGGCCACGGCUUGGUUCCGGUGGAACAUCCACACCAACAACACCCUCUUGUGCUACGUUCGAAGGGUUGGCCAUUGCUUCGUGAGCUAAUUUGCAUGCGUGCAAACCUUAGCUCUGAUACCACUUGUCACGGGAUGAGUGUUUUGCGCAGCUAACCCGUGCGGCACUUAGACAACUUUGCCAAAUAUUGCUAAGUAAGCCUAGAGAUUCUCGAACAAGAGAAGAGAGCAAUUGAGCCAAAGAAACUUGUAUUGCACAAAGAGAGAUUACAAUGCUUGUUGGAUACAAAUGCUUAAUGCCAUCCCAUAUUUAUAGGGGAGGCUUUGCCUAACUUCACCUAACUUCACCUAACUUUGCCAAACUUGGUUAAACUCUAGAGUAUUUUACAAUUUCCUAGCUAUUUGCAUGUGCUGGAAUUGUAUAAAGUAUUCUAGAAUAUUUACAUGUUCACAUGUGCUAGAGUUGCCUAGAACCUUCCGGAAUUGGGCCAAGCUAGCACUCUUGGCCUUGUGUUGGCUCUCUAGCCCGAAAUUGUGGGCAAUUGGGCUAGCGAAUUGGGCGGUCCGCAACAAUAAGCUAACAAGGUCAGUUGCAUCCCUCAAUUCUUAAAAGAAUGGGUGCUUGAACAGGCUUGAAUAAGACUAUCUAGACUUAAAUUUUGUUACAGCUUUCGUAUUGCUAACUUACUGUGUAAAAAUAUAUUGAUGUAGAGUAGGCCAAAUUUGUGAAAUGGUUCUUUUCCAUACUUGUGGCCUACUUGAUCUUUAAGAAUGAAACAUAAUCUAAUCUGAAUUUGAUAGACUGUGCACUUUUAUUGAGAGCAUACAAAUUUCUUAAUUCUUAACCUCAAACAACUAUUAACACAAUAAGCAUGUCCAAAUGAAAAAUUAUAAACUUGAAUGCCUCAAGGCGCAUAGGUGUAGCUUAGCUGAUUGUGAAUAUAAUUCAUGCUUGUGGUUAUUUAAGUUCAAGUAAUAAUAAGAGAUAAAAGUUGAUAUUUCAUGAAUGAGAUCUUAUACGAGCUAAAUCUUUCAUAAGCAAAAUAAUAAUAACUUGGCAAAAGGAGUUCACUUAGAAAAAAAAAAGCCCAUUCUUUGCAAGCUAAGUAGAGCUUGGAUGACUCAGAAUCCAUAGACUCUUGAGAAAACAAGCUCUACAAGUCAAUAAAGAGUAUUUAUAGAUCUAAAUUAUAAUAAGAAAUUAUAGUUAAAUCUGUUAAAAAUAAUCUUUUAUUGAAAACCAUCAUUUAAAAUUCAGGACUAUUCAUAUUGUAUCACCAAGAAUAAAUAAUCAAAUAUGCAAAAGCGUUCCUGAAUCAAUAUUGCUUAAUUGCCUUCUAGAAUUGUGUGGUUUGUCUUCCAGAUCAACACAUUUUCUUAGAAAAUUCUUUAACUUUCUCUUUGCACUUUCUUUAACUUUCUCUCUGUGUAUUAAAGGCCCACACGCUAUCAGAUACAUUAAAAUUUAAAUUAACAAAAAGAUUAAUAGAUCACUUUUAAUUGGACUUAAUUUUAUAUGACAAUUCACAACACAUAAUCAUUCACUUAUGAGCCCAACAUCUCAUUAAAGAUCCAAAAAAUCUUGGCCUGAUCAUAUAUAUCUAGGAGGGAUAGCUAACGUAGGAUUUUUGGCCAACUCUUGAACACAAGGCACAAGCAGAGAACCUCCCAACUUGGAAAUCUUUUUGUCCCACAAAUUCUCUCAACAAUAAUGCUACAGAUUUUUAUUUUCAAAGAAAAAGUUGCAAAUAAUACAUUUUCAAAAAGUCAUUACUUGCUCUGGACUUGUGUGAAAAUAAUGGUCUGCCGUUUGUCAAUACUCAAUAGAUAUUUUGUGAAUAUGACACAUGGCAGUCUGCUCUUGUGUUGUGAUUGGAAAUGCAUUAUUAAAAAAUAUAGUGCAUUGAAUUAUAUAAUUCUCAUGAUAAUUGUUUUACAUUAUUUGACGACCACCAAUCAAAAUCUUGUAUUUCUCUCAGCGUGAUAUCAGAUCAUCAACCGUGAUUCCAAGUCAACUUUGAGAGAUUCAACCUGAAUAUGAAAUUCAAAGUUAUAGCCUUGGAGCAUGUUUAACUAACAUCCAUUUUCAGUUAUUAAUAAUAAUAUUUUUCGUUAUUGCACAAUAUGUGUAUGGAACAUUUAAGAGAUGUAAAAACAAUGUUGUUACCACUAAUUAAAAAAUUCUUACUAAUAAUAGAAAAUUUGAACGGCUGGUACAGAAACUACAUUAGUUCUUUGCUAAUAUUUUUUUCAUAUAUCAUAAAAAAUUUGAAAUCAAGUCACAUAGUUGUUGAAAUCUCAUUAAAAACAAGAUAGGUUUGCAAAAAUGCUAUUUCAAGAAAGAAAGAUACUAAUCCAAUAUAAGCACUAUUAAUCAUCAAAAGAUUCCAAGCAUAAAUAUGCAAUUCUUAAGAUUCUUACAUGGUCUAUUUAGUAUUUUACAUGAUAUAGCCAUUAAAAACACAAUGACCACAACAUAACAGGUUAUACCACAAUAUUUAUAGAACUUAUUGCUAGAUCUUUAAUCCAACAUUGUUGGAUCCUUAAUCCAAUGUUAGACUUAUAUGUGAAUAAUUAUGUAUUGUGGACUAUAAUAUAAGGUUAACCCAAUUAAAAAUGAUUUAUUAAGGAUAUCAGUAAAUUAGACUUUAAUGUAUCUAAUAGGGUGUGGUCUUUUAAUGUGUAGAGACUUAAGGGUAAUUUCUAUUUUUAUGAUGGACUGAAAUAAGAAUACUUAAAAACAACAUGAAAAGUUAUCUAUAUAAGUGGUUAUGGUCCCCAAGUCAUAUGUAUCGUUCUAUUCUCAAAUGACAUCCCAUCAUCAGAGAGAGUGCAAAGAGAAGUUUAAAGAAUUCUCUAAGAGAACGUGUUGAUUUGGAAGACAGACCACACAACUUUAGAGAGCAAUUGCAAAUUAUAAAUUUAGAUACACUUCCACAUAUUUUGUUAUUAAUUCUUGGUGGCACGACAUGAAUAUUCAUAGAUUAAGGUGAUAGUUUUUACCAAAGUAUUUAUUAUUCUUACAAGUAGUAUCACAACCUCUUCAUGUUGAAUCAUUGAGAAUAUAAUUUUUUUUAUUACUGAUUAAAUCUUUGGUGUCCUCGAAUUUAAUAAUUCCCAUAUUAUUGAGUUUAAGAACAAAUUUGUGGUUAUCUUCUAAUAUUGAGAUAAAUAUUAUGAAAUUUGGUUUCAAUAUAUUUUGUUAUUUUUUUUAAGAUUCGAAAAAUUCAGUUUUUAACAUUGUGCGUUUAGGCCGGCGACAGCCCAUUCCACUAUUGGCAACAACGUCGCUGGCCUAGGCCAUGGCUGCAUCAGAAGGAAUAACUACAACUGAAUCUCGAGGCAAAAGCAAAUAGGCUGCUUAACGGCUGCCAUGUAAGGCGUCAAAACAAAAAACAAAAAACAAAAAGGGGAGAGGUGUGGCACUUGGGCUAUGUGUAAACAAGCUGUGGCCACCAAUAGGGGGCGUAGCUAGCAUAGGACCGUGCCCCAGCCGGCUCUUAAAUUUUUUUUUUAUGGUUAUCUUAAAAAAAAUAUUUUUUAUUUAUUACUUAUAAAAAUGCCCCAAGUGAAUUACGAAAUUCUGAAAGUGCCACACAUAAUUUUAAAAAAAAAUUCAUGCUUCCCCUAACUUAAAUGUCUAAUUCUAAAUAGUUUGAUUAGCUAUUAUAAUUUCAUGAAAAUUAAUAAAGACAAGAAGAGAGCCGCCUUUAUAAAAUGAAAUCAAUUAAAAGAUCAAUUAAAACAAAAGAAAUCUAAACUUUACUUUUUCUUUCGUCUCUUUCGUGGAAUAAAGUGUAGACUCCAUAGCAGAUUAGGCGAUUAGCAGUGUGUGUCACCGUGUGCGUGGAUGUCUUCUCACUUUUCUUCAUUUGUAUAGUCUAAUGUUUUAAAAUUGUAAGUUUAUUAAUUCUAAUUUUUUAUUAUUUUUUGUUUUUUCAUUUUAAAAUCCCUAAUUUUAUUAUAUAUUCAUGUUUGAUUUUCGUGUUGCCAUAGAUGAAUAUUUUUGCCAUCAUUAAAAGAUUUAAGAACAAAUUAAGUUAUUAAGAUCAAUACACUGUACACAAAAUUUGUAAUCAAGAACCAUAAUAUUUUGUCUAGUUCUGUAAAAUGUAAUUUUCAUGUAUAUUUUUUUAUUUGUGUUGAAAUUUUUCUUUGAACGAUAAGUAUCAUACUUAUUCAAUAAAUAUAUUUCUUUGAACGCCAUUGAUAAAUAUUUAAGAAAGAAUUCAACAAUUACAACCUCACUAGGAAAAAUGAGUGGUAGUUCAAAAGAAAAAGUUAGACUUAAUUUGCACAAUCUUCCACAGGAUCUCGGUUUAUGAACGGCAAUUUUAAAGUAAGAUCCUAAUAUUCAAAACAAAGUUCGGAGAGCAUACUUGCAAAUGGAUCCUUUUCAACCUUAGAGCCAUGAUUUUCCUACUAGGUUGUUAGGAGAAAAAUCAGGAUGAUUUGUUCAGAGUUGGUUCGAUAAUUAUCCUGAUUGGUUAGAAUAUAACAUAGUAAAGGAUGCAAUUUUUUGUCUUUAAUGUUAUGUUUUCAUAGAAGAAAAUGGUAAUCAAGGGGGUGGUCCAUGCUUUACUAGUGAAGGUUUAGAAAUUGAAAGAAAAAAGAAAUGUUGAGACAACAUGUUAGUGGUGCAAAUAGUGCUCAUAACAUAGCAAGGCAUAGUUGUGAAUCAUUGACGAAUCAGAAGGCACAUGUUGCUACAUUUUUCUUUAACAACUCUAAAAAACUUUAAAGGGAGUAUCGCGUUUGUUUAACAGCUAUAAUUGAUUGCAUUCGAUUUCUUUUGAGACAAGGCUUUGCAUUCUGUGGUAAUAAUGAAUCUCAAAGUUCAAAUAAUAGAGGAAACUUUCUUGCUAAUCACAAUGAGAAAAUUAAAGGUGUUAUUUUCAACAAUGCUCCAACAAAUCUCCAAAUGACAUCUCCUAAUAUUCAAAAACAAAUUGUAAAUGAUUGUUCAUCUAAAACUUCUCGAGCUAUCAUUAAAGAAAUUGGUGACUCUUUAUUUUCUAUUAUGAUUGAUGAGUCAUGUGACAUAUCCACGAAAGAGCAAAUGGUAGUUGUGUUGUGUUACAUGGAUAAAACAGGACAUGUGAUUGAGCGUUUUAUUAGUAUUGAACAUGUUAUUGAUACCAAAGUUGUCUCUCUUAAAGCGUUACGUGACACACUAUUUGCUAGACAUAGAUUAAGCAUAUCUAGGUUGCGUGGGCAAGGAUAUGAUGGUGCUAAUAACAUGCAAGGUGAACUUAAUGGUUUGAAAAUACUCAUUCUGAAAGAGAAUAAAUCUGCUUAUUUCAUUCAUUGUUUUGCCCAUCAAUUAUAGUUGGCCUUUGUUUCUGUGGUAAAAAAGCACCAAGAAGUUAAUGAUUUGUUCAAUUUAGUUGCUAAAGUUAUUAAUAUUGUUGCAGCCUCAUCUAAACGAUUUGAUUUUCUUAGAGAAAAGCAUGCUAUUGCAGUUAUUGAAGCUCUUAAAACAAGCGAGCUUAAAAGUAGAUAAAGUAUGAAUCAAGAGAUUACUUUAAAUCGUUCUGGUGACACACGGUGGAGCUCACAUCACGGUACAUUAAUAAGCAUUGUUACUAUGUUCUCAUCCAUAAUUGAUGUGCUUGAGAUUAUUGCAAAUGAUGCAUCAAAUUCUGAGGAAAGAUUUGAAGCAAAUUCAACCUUGAAGUUCAGGCAAACAUUUGAUUUUGUGUUUACUUUAUACUUAAUGAAAAAUAUUCUUGGUUUUGCAAAUGAAUUGUCACAAGCAUUACAAAGGAAAGAUCAAGAUACUAUGAAUUCCAUGAAAUUAGUCAACAUUUGCAAACUAUGUCUACAAAGGAUAAGGGAACAUGGAUGGAAUUCUUUGCUUAGUCAAGUUUCUUCAUUUUGUGAGAAGCAUUUUAUUAGUGUUCCUAUCAUGGAAAAUAUAUUUCUAACUCCUAGAAAAUCAAGGCGCAGACCUCAAGAGAUCACAAAUAUGCACCAUUAUCACAUUGACCUAUUUUAUGCUAUUUUGGAAAUGUAGCUUCAAGAGUUAAACAGUCGUUUUAAUAAGGUAAACAAUGAAUUACUACUUUGCUUGGCUUGUUUAUGUCCAAAAGAUUCAUUUGCGGCUUUCAAUAAAGAAAUGUUAUUGCGCCUUGCUCAACUUUAUCCAAAAGAGUUUUCUCCAGUUAAUCUCAUUGCGCUAAAUACUCAACUUAAGUUUAUAUAAUGGAUAUGCAGUCUAGUGUUGGGUUUUCUGGAUUAAAUGGGAUUGGUGAUCUUGCACAAAAAAAAUGGUUGAGACUAACAAGCACAAAGUAUUUUCAUUAGUCUAUUUAUUAGUCACAUUAGCAUUAUUUUUACCAAUUGCCACUACCACUGUUGAAAGAGUUUUUUCAGCAAUGAAUUAUGUGAAGAAUCGACUACGAAGUCGAAUGGGAGAUGAAUGGUUGAAUGAUAACCUAGUUGUGUACAUUGAAAUAGAUGUAUUUGAUUGUAUUGAUAAUGAAACUAUUGUACAACAUUUUCAACACAUGAAAUCCCGUCGAGGAAUUCUCGAUUAGAACAAUUGUAAUAAGUAAAUUUAUUAUUAAUUUAUAUUAUAAUUGUGAUUUUAACUGUGCCCCAGCUCAAUUAAAUUCCUUGCUAUGUCCUUGGUCAUAGGUUGUGGCAGAUUGAGGAAAAUGGUGGUGAAAAAAAGAAAAAAAGGGACGCCUUCUGGCCAUCGGCAAGGCAAGAUUGGCUGCAGCAAAUUGUGAAAGGGGCGACCAUGGCUGCCUCACCAAGAAGAAGGAAAAAAGAAACAAUUAGGAUUAGGGUGGUUUAGGGUCCAGGUCUAGUUGACGCAACCGGUCUAACCCUAACCCAAUUAAGGCAAUUGGCUAGUUUAAGAUCCGGGUUGGUUUGGCCCGAUCUAGCCUGAUUCGAUCAAAGAUUGUCCCUUCAAUAAUUGACCAUUGACUGUAGACCAACUUUUAACUUAAUUUUUUUUUAAAGGGUAAUUUUAAUACAAUUUUAAAUAUAAAUAUUGGUAUGUUUAUAUAUUUUUUGAGAUAAAUUAAUUGAAGCAAUAUGUCACCAAAGUGACCUCUCUUAUGGAAAUUAAUUUAUUUUGAAAUAUAAACAGCUAUGUGCAUGUCAUUUUUGUGAAUAUCGUUUGGCUCAAAGUAAGGUCCAUAUUUGAGAGAAUUGUAUGUGCACCUGUGGUAAUAGACGCAUGAUGAUUAUUUGGUUUUACACGUGAAUAAUAAAUCAACUCAAAAGACACUUUAUUAUUUGACAUAUUCUUACAAUCAGUGUUUCAUUAUUGCACAACAUAUCACUUACAAGUUAAAAUUUUUUCUAAGGAUGAAAUAUUAAUGGAGUUCUAGUAUCUUGAGACGGGGUUUACCUUUAUUUGAAUUUAUUUUUGUUUUUAAGACUUAUAUAAGCUUGCAUUAAUUGUUUGUUGUUCUCUAUUCAGUUAUGACUUUUGCUACUAUUAAUGCCAACAUCAAUUCCUUUCCUAUUCUAAAUGACUCUAAUUUCAAUUCAUGGCAAGAGAACUUUUUAAUAGUUCUCGCAGUCAUGAAUCUCGACCUUGCGUUAAGGGUUGAUUCUCCCUCACCUCUUACGGAUGAGAGUACUCUUAAUGACAAAAGAAAAAUAUAAAGAUGGGAGAAAUCAAAUCACAUGUGUAUGAUGAUUAUGAAGAAGACAUACACUACAAAGAGAUUUUCUCUCUAGUUUCUUCAAAAGACUCUUUCAAGAUCAUAAUGGCAUUAGUGGGGUAUUCAAUCUUGAGUUACAUCAUAUGGAUGUAAAGAUAAUAUUUCUCAAUGGUGACAUUGAUGAGAUAAUCUAUAUUGUGCAAGCAAAAAAUUUUGUGUCAGAAGACACAAAGAAUAUAGAUUCCAAACUUAAGAAAUCCAUAUGUAAGCUUAAGCAAGCAUCUCGACAAUGGUAUUUUAAGUUUCAUCAAGUGAUCAUCUCAUUUGAUUUUGAUACGAAUUUGGUUGAUAAUUGCAUAUACUCAUAAGUUCUUUGGGAGUAAGUUUAAUUUUCUUGUUCUUUAUGUCGAUAACAUUUUGCUUGCCAACAACAAUAUAGACUUAAUAUACGACACCAAGAGAUUUUUAGCUAAGAAUUUUGAGAUGAAAAAUAUUGGUGACGCCUCUUUUGUACUAGGCAUACCGAUACACUAAGACCUCCCAUGGUAUUUUAGGACUAUCACAAAAGAGCUAUAUUGAAAAGGUUCUCAAGUGAUAUUGCAUGUAAGAUUGCAAACCAAGUGAUACUCAUGUGGCUAAAGGAGACAAGUUUAGACUGAAUCUAUAACACCUUAAAUUCACCCAAGAGUCUCAGAGAAUUUGGAAUGAAACCUCAUAACAUUAAUCUUAUUGUUAUUCCUAAAACAAAAUAGUUAUAGUCAAAACAUAAUAUCUAAAAUAAUAAAUAUAAUAAUAAUCCUCCAAAACAAAAAUUUAGCUCUAAACAAUAACCAAAGUAACAACAAUUUAUUCAUCUAGAAAACGCUAAAGUUUCUCAGGUAACAAAUCUUCUUCUCUAGACCAAAAAGUCCACAUCUCUAAAAUCAAUUUGCAAAUAUAUUGGAGACGAGUGAUGAAUUGUCAACUUGGUAAGUAAAAUUAUGCAUAAUAGUACUAAUAACGAUAAAAUACAUAAUAAUCACUAUGAAGUACCAUAAGUUAGAAACCAGUAAAUAUUUUAUAAUCUAAUACAUAUAUAUGGUAAAAAAAAUAAUCAGUUAAGUCAUAAUGCAAUAAUCAUUUUUAAUAAAUAAUCAUUUAGGAAAUCAUUUAUCAAUAAAACCUUUCAUUUGUUCAAUUCCUCAUGUCAUAUAGUGUCACAUGUACUCCCGGUAACCUGACCAAUAGUUCAGUAAGUCACCUGUGACCCCGACGAUCCAAUCAGUAGUUCAAUAAAUCACAUGUAACCCUGAUGACUCGGUCAGUAGUUCAAUUAGGGUACAUUACCCUCUAUAAUCAUCAAUACAUGCGCACAAAAUAACUAGUUGUUCAGUUAUAUCAGUAAUGAUAACUACAGACAAAGAGCCAAGACCUUAAAUAUUGUUUUCAAUCUUUCAAUAUCAAUCAUUCAGUAAUAUUUUGGUAAAAUGCUCUUAUAAGACAUUGAAUUGGAAGAGUUUUACAAAUAUUUUUAACGAAAACAAUUUAUGGCAAGACAAUUACUUUAAAGUCAUUUUUAAAACAAUUUAAGAAAAUAUUUUAAAUAAGGUUCUGAUGAAAAUAUAAUUUAUUAUUAUAAAUUAUAAGAGUAAAAUAACUUCAAAACCAUAAAAUGACAAUCCAUAUUAACAACAUCACUCUUUUCAUAGAUAUUUACAUAUAUAACCAUGAUAAACAUUAUGCUUGGAUUUACUUACUUCGAUGCGAUGUAAUCAACAAUAAUACCAAUCACACAAGCCCACUCUUGACGUAUAAUUAACAAGAUAAGAUUCUUAUCAAUAUUUUUUUUCAAUUCUAACCUUGAUGAGAAAACCCAAAAAUAUUUACUCUUAUUUAAACAAAUCAAUUCACUAAACUACACUAGACUAUCUUAUAGGAGCUGAUUUCUAAAAAGCUAUAGUUAUAUCAGGAAAAUCACAAAUACUACAAAAAAAACUACUAUGAACAUGUUGUCAUUUCAUAUAAAAGUUAACCAAAUUAAUUAGAGUUAAUGAACAUCUUUGAAAACUGAUUUUUUGCAAAAACAUCAAAACUGUCCAGUAGUGAAAAAAACAGAGGACUGCCAAUUCAAAAAUUCAUAACUUUAGUCAUACAUGGUCAAAAUAGUGAUUCAAGAUUUGAUGAUUAGAGUUAAAGAAUCAGAAUUAAAAUUUGUAAGGCAUUUACUGAUGAAAAAGUAACCCAAACUCGCUUUAAUAUCAACCCUCGCAAUUCUAGAAGGCAAUUUCCAAGAUUACGUCAGCCCAACUCUAUGAUUAUUAAUGAUUUUUAUAUAAAACUAAAUAUUAUGAAUUUAAAUGUACAGAAAUAUACAUAUAUACAUACAAUAAUAAAAAUUCUCAGAAUUUUCAGAGGUCAUUUGAGUUAUCAACUAAAUUAUAGAAGUGAGAAUUGCUAUUGAAAAUCAGAAUUUUCUAAUACUAGUGUUCCAAUUUCGAAAAAUCAAAACAAUUAAUAUACAAUGAGUUUUUGAACAAUAAACAUACAGAUAGAAAGAUAAAGAUGUCUACUUUAAUAAAUUAUAGAGUUUUAUGCAUGAAACUUAUUGAAAAUAGAAGUAGUGUAGCAUUAAAUCUAUACUAUUUAAAAUUUUCAAGAUAACAUAAUAGCACUACUUUCAAUUAAUAACAACAUAAAUCAAUAUAUGAUCAUGCUUUCAUAAUUUUAUAAAUAUAACACACAUAAAAUUAUUCAAUCAAUCACAUAAAAUCAAAAUCAAACAAGAAGUUUAAGAGAUUAUAAAUUCUUACCUACCUUAAAAAGAAUCAAAACUCAAUAACUUCUUUUAUAGAAAAGGAAAAAUAUAAUAAAAAUCUUCUCCUCUUUUUUUUAAAAAACGUAAGUUUAUUCCUGUGUGUGUUAUUCUUCUUUUUUUGCUUUUUUAUUAGCCUCUAGGAUUUUGAGAAACAAAGCAAGUAAGAGGAGUUUUUUUUUUUUUUUAUAAAACCAAGCCUUUUAAUACCCUUACCAAUUAAGGAAUUUAUUUCCUUUUUUAAUAAGGUAUUUGAUAGAUUGGUAAAUCAAAUAAAUACAAAUAAAUAAAGAAAAAUUAAAACACUCUUAAAAUCCUCAUCCUAAAAUACUAUAUUCUAUAAAAUAGAUAUAUAAUAAUAAUAAUAAUAAUAAUAAAACAAAAAUAACGGAUGUUACAAUUUCUCCCCCCCCCCCCUUAAAAGAAAUUUCGUCCUUGAAAUUUAAGACUCCACCUUAUUUCUCCAAAUGUUGAUGGUAGUUCUCCUUAAUCUCUGCCUCUCAUUCUCAUGCAGCUUUCCUCUAUAGAAUGAUUCGCCUAGUGAACAUUCACUAAACAUAUGACUUUUCUUCUUAAAACUUGUUUCUUCCUGUCUAGGAUCCCCAACGGUUGCUCCUCAUAUGACAUAUCAUUUGAGAUUUGGAUAGGUAAGUAAUCCAAGACGUGAGAAGAAUCAACCAUGUACUUUUUGAACAUUGACACAUGAAAUACAUUGUGAAGUCUUGAAAGGUUCGGUGGCAAAGCCACUCAAUAUGUCAUUGUGCCAAUUCUCUUCAGAAUCUCAAGAGGCCCAAUAAACCUAACGCUAAAUUUACCUCUCCUCCUAAAACAGAAAACUCAUUUCCAAGAUGAGACUUUCAAGAAAACAUAAUCCCCAACUUGGAACUCCAGAUCACGUCUACAUUAAUUAGCAUAAAUCUUCUGCCUACUUUGUGCUAUACCCAACCGGUCUUUAAUGCUUAGGAAUGACAAAAGGUCGGGUCGAGCUCGGGGUUGGCCAAGCCCAACCUGACCAGAUAAAAAAAAAAUUAAAACUCGACCCUAAAAAAAACCUAAACACUUUAUAGUUAGGGUCGGGUUGGGCCCGACCCGAAUCGGGUUAAGAUCGGGUUGGCCCAACCCAACCCUACCGAAAUAGUUAACCCCACAAUUCAAUUCCCACAACUAUUUCAACCAAUUUAGCAAUUCCUCAACCAUUUUAAAUACAAAUCAAUUCCACUUUCCACAACCAUUUCAACCAAUUCCACAACAAUUUCAAACAAAAUUCAAUUCCACAACCAUUUCAACCAAUUCCACAACCAUUUCAAACACAAUUCAAUUCCACAACCAUUUCAACCCCACACAUAAAUCAAUUCCAAAAUCCAACAUGAAAAACACACAAUGUAAUUCCACAAUCAUUUUAACCAUACACAAUUCAAUUCAACAACCCAACAUAAAAAAAAAAAGAAAAAGAAAAAGAAAAAAAACUCAUGUCUUAUACAAAUAAAAACACACAAUUUAGUUCCACAACCCAACAUUAAAAAAAAUGUCUUACACAAAUAAAAGCUCAUAAUUCAAUUCCACAACCAAACAUUUUUUUUUAAAAAGAACUACUCCAACACUUCGGGCCAUUUCAUCUUCAUCCACAAAUUCCUCUCCACUAAAAAUUUCACUUUCGAGAAUUUUACCUAUAAAAAGAAAAGAAAAAGAAAGUGAGAAUAAUUUAAGUUUAUAAAAUUAUUACUAAACCAAUUAUUUAAAUAUUUUGUACAUUAUUUGUAUUCAUACCUUUGGAGUUUGCCCAUAGCCAAUGUUGAGUGCACAUAAGCGCUUCCAAUGUCGUAGGAUGAAGUCUACUCCGAUGUGGAGUCAAUACUCUACCUUCAGUGCUAAACGCAGAUUCAAAGGCAACGGUUGUCACGGGAACAGCUAAGAUAUCCUUGGCCAUUUGAGCCAAAAUAGGGUAUUUGCCUUGGUUCACCUUCCACCAAUUCAAAAUAUCAAAGUUCGGAGUGGAUUUGAUUAAAGGCUCUUCUAAAUACCUCUCAAGGUCAGACUUCAAUACCAUGGUCUCACCAUUUUGGCUUGCAAAUGUCUCAAACUUACUUAUAUAAAAAAAAUUUACGGCUAGUUCCUACAGUAAAAUUAAACGAACAUUGACCAAAAAAGAUUCACCAACAACCGCAUCACUCACAUUCCUAUUCUUACCUUCAUAAAACAUAACCAAAUCGUUUCUUAAAUUGCGUACCCUUUAAAUCUCAUUUGCAGUACCCUCACCAUAAAUUUGUGGAAAAUAAUAAUUAACCAAUUGCAUCUUAACCUCAGAUAAAGAAUAAUUGCCAUCACCAAAAUCCCAUGAAUUUGGGCCCAAUAUUUAUCAAAUUUCAUAAUAAUUUGACCAGCCAUUUCUCUAACCACAGGCACAUCAGAAAGUUCCCAUUCAUCCAAAUUAAUCCUCAUUUCACAUAUCAUUGGAAAAAAAGAUUAGGUGUGGGAUAUUGCGUACCUGAAAAUAACUCUGUCAUCGAGUAAAACGACAGCAAAUAUUCCAACAUCUUUUCAUCCAUCUCUCAUUCCUCAUCUGUUGGCAAAGAGGUGUAGUGUUUAUCGCGCUAUUGCAGUCUAGAAAAGACUGUUUUAUAUUUCACAGCAACAUCAAGCAUAACAUAUGUAGAAUUCCAUUUAGUUACACAAUCAAGUACCAACUUUUUCUCACACUUAACUUGUAAUUUCCGCGCAGCCAUCUCAAAAGUUUCUACCCUCUUUGGUGUGCCCGUCCAAUAAGACACACUAUCCCUAAUCUUUUUAAUCCACUCCUCAAUCACUUUCAUCCCCUCCUUCACAAUUAGGUUUAAAAUAUAAGUCACACACCUCAUAUGAAAAAAAUCCCCACCCAUUAGCAUAGAAUCAACUGGAAUCAAUCCUAUCAACCUAUCAACCAUAGCAUCAUUUGUAGAGCAAUUAUCUAAAGUUACAACCGUUAUCCUUUUACCACAUUCCAAUCCAACAUACAUUUAAAAAAUGCUUCAGAAAGAAAUUCAGCAGUAUGUGGAGCCAACAAAUAUAUGAACCUAUUCAUUACCAAAACAACUAAAUUUUAGAAUUAAUUAAAUUGAAUUAGAAAUAAGUAAACAUAAUAUUGACUUUGCUAAUAUAUGAACCUAUUCAUCACCAAAAAUCUAAAAUUUAUAAUUAAUUAAAUUGAAUUAAAAUAAAUAUCAAUUAAUAAGAAAAGUACCUUAAAAUUUGACUUUGUAACCGCCAAGACUUGUCCACAAAAUGUCUCGUAACAACCAUGUACCCCUUCUUUUUAUUACUCGCAGUCCACAUAUUUGUAGUAAUUGCCACCCUACUAUCAUUAUUCUCCAACAAAGCCAUUGCUUUUGCCUUUUCAGCUUGAUACAAUUUAAGAAUCUCACUCUUUAAAGUGUUUCUACUCAAAUUAUUCACCAAAGGGUUGACAUAAGACAUCAAAUCCCUAAAUGCCUCAUAUUCCACAAAAUUAAGUAGUAGCUCAUGCUUUACAACCAAGGUUGCUAUCUUUUGCCGAGAAACAAUUGGAUCAAAUUCUCUCGUCUCAAUACAAAUUGUUCCAUCAUCUUUCCUCGUCACGCUAAGAGUUUUUUGUAAGCUAUCAAGAAUUGAGGCAACACCCUUUGCCUUACAUGAUCUUUUCAAAUGUCUAUCCAAAUGUGAGGUUCCAUUAUGACCAGAUGCUACCAACUUAGCUUGACAAUGAUUACAUUUCGCCUUCAAUUCACCAUUAAUGGUUACCUUGGUAAAGUGUCCCCAAACAUAAGAAGGUUUUCGCACACCUCGCUUUUUUUUAUUACUACUUUGUUUUACCCCAUCAUCACCACAGGAUGCUUCUUCAACUCCUUCAACUUCUUGGACCCCUUCAAGAGGAAUGGCAUCAUUUCUAUUCUCUUCGCCAACAUGAGAAUCCUCACGUGAAUUUAACAUAAUGACCUAAAUUAAAUGUGUAACAAGUUGCAAUUAAUUUAUCGACUUAAAAUAUGAUUGAACUUAUAAAUUUUAAGUUAAUUUUAUAAACUCAAAAUAUGAUUAAACUUAAUUUACAAUUACAACAUAAUAAUUAAUAUUUACAAUCUUAUAUAAGGCUAUAUUUAGCUAAAAUAUAAUAUCUAUAGUACUACAUAAUCAUUAUGAAUAUAAUUAGCUAAAAUUAUAAAUAAAUUUAUAAGCUUAAAUAAAAAAAUUAAUUAAUAUUUAUGAAAUUAUAAACUUAAGAUAUAAUUAAAGUUCAUUUACAAUCAUAACAUAAUAAUUAAAAAAACCUUAUAUAUAGCCUUAUAUGUAGCCACAAUAUAAAUUUACAGCAACUACAUAAUGAAUGAAUUAAUUAACAUGAAUAUAUUUAGAUAAAAUUAUUAAAUUAUAGAUUCAAUUAUAAGCUUAAGUGAAAAACAUUAAUUAAUAUUUAUGAAAUUAAAAUUACCAAAGCUAAAUAGCUAAUGCCGACGGCAGAACGUGUGCAUGGCAGCUAAACGUGUACGUUGGCCGUUGGCUGGCAAGCGGACGCGGUAGGACGGCAACAGAGGGCGGCUGGUUCACUUUGCGGCGUCGCAUAGCUGAUUGCGGCUGGAGUUGGAGCAAGCUACAGGCAGCACCCGACAGUGAGAAAAAUGGUUGAUUGGCUGGCGUUCAGCUGACUUAGGGUUUUUGUGAAUUUGUGUAAGUGUAUAUGGUGUGUGUGAUUUACGGUUUAGACUGAAGUGUGCGUGUGUGAUUUGUCAUAUGUGUUGUGUGUGUAUGUCAUGCAGAUGAGAUAUGUGUUGUGGGCGUGUGUGAUGUUGUGAUGUAUGCGUGUGUUAACUUGUGUUAGUUUUUUUUUUUUAAAUAGGGUGGGGUUGGGUCGGGUCGGGUCGGCUUUAAGCCCGACCCUGACCCGAACUUUGUUCGGGGCUUAAAAUUUUGGCCCGAACCCAACCCGAAACCCAAAAAUUCGGGUCAAAACCCUAAAAAUUAAGGUUGGGUCAGUCGGGGGAAAAAUAAGGUUAGACUAAAUUGCCAAGCCUAUUAAUGCUCUAUCUUCACUUGCUGACAUACCAAGCAUUUCAAAGCAUAAUUAGCAAUAUCACUCUCAUAUUCCUCCACCAAAAAAUUUUUCCUUCAAGUUUCGACACAUUUUAAUGCUUCCAAGAUGAACAUUAAAACUUGAGUCAUGGCCCUCUUGCAUAAUAUCUCUUUUUAGCUCAUCCUUUGUUGGUACACAAAGUCUCUAUCCAAAUAACAAAAUACCGUUCUUAUCAAGUCUGAACUCAUAAUAUCUAGCCUUCACUCCUUAAAUUUAUUUUUGAAUUAUGGAUCCUCACUAUAUGCGACCUUAAUUAUAUCAAUCCAGGCAAGUGGAACCUUCAAAUGAGAUAAAACCUCAGUUUGCCCGUGUGAAACAACUUCAAUACUUCUUCAAAUCCUCUAGUAUGUGACCUUGAGCAGUAAUCAUACAUGCCAAGCAACCCGAUGACUUUCUACUAAGAGCAUCAGCCACUGUAUUCGCCUUACCAAGAUGAUAAUUAAUCAAACAAUUAUAAUCUUUCACCAUAUCUAAUCAUCCCUUUUGCCUUAAGUUUAAUUCUUUAUGGGUGAACAAGUAUUUCAAACUCUUGUGAUUUGUAUAGAUUUCGCAAGUUUCAUGAUAAAGAUAAUGUCUUCUAUCACUAAGGCAAAGACUACAACUGCUAACUUAAGUCAUGAGUGCAAUAAUUCUGCACAUAACUCUUUAAUUGUCAUGAUCAAUAUGCAACUACUUUACCAUAAUGCAUUAAUACGUAUCUUAGUCCCUUUCUAGAAGCAUCACUAUAAAUGACAUAGCCACCACCAUUAGAAGGAACUGUCAAAAUAGGAGUAAAAACUAAUUUAUUUUUUAAUUCUUUGAAACUCUUCUAGCAUUCAUCACUCCAUUCAAUCUUGAUGUUCUUCCUAGUCAACUUUAAUAAUGGAGUUGUAAGACUAGAUAAUCCAUUCACGAAUCGCCUGUAAUAGCCAGCCAAACCCAGAAAACUUCUAAUCAUAAUAACAUUAAAUGGUUUUGGCCAAUUUACAAUGACCUCAACCUUGGAUGGAUCAACAGAUAAGCCCUCCUUAGUAACAACAUGCCCCAAAAAACUCACACUUCUUGAACUUCGUACAGAGUUUUAGUUGAGCCAAAACUCACACUUUUUGAACUUCGUAUAGAGUUUCCCUUCUUGGAGUGUUUGAAAAACCACAUUUAAAUGUUCCUCAUGUUCCUCCAUGGUUUUAGAGUACACCAAAAUGUCAUCGAUGAAAACAUUGACAAAUCAAUUAACGAAAAGUUAGAAGACUCUAUUCAUCAAAUCCAUAAAAGCUGCUGGAGCAUUGGUUAAUCAAAAGGCAUCAUAAGGAAUUCAUAAUGCCUAUAUCAUGUUCGAAACGCUGUAACACGUCCUCAUUUUUCACUUUCAGCUGAUGAUACAUAGACCAUAAAUAAAUUUUAGAGAAUACUACUGCACCUACUAGUUGAUCAAAAAAAUCAUCAAUGUGAAGAAAUGAAUAUUUGUUCUUGAUGGAAACCAAAUUCAAUUGUCGGUAGCCAUUGCAUAACCACAUAGAUGAAAUGCUAGUUAUGCAACCCAAGAGAGGGGUGAAUUGGGAUUUUAAAACUUAAGCUAAACAAAUCGUACAAUAAUUCAAUUUAUUGCCUUAAUGAAAUAAAAAAUAAUAAAUUUAAUAAAGCACAAUAAUAAAAGAGUAAGGGAAGAGAGAGCAAACACAAUGAGUUUUACGUGGUUCGGCAAUCCCCGCCUACGUCCACAUCUUCAAGCAAACCAAGCUUGAGGAUUUCACUGUCCAAGCCUCCCAAGACUUCAAAUGCUUACAAUUGACUUCCAAGGUAUUAAUGGACUUUUACAACAAAGAGAUUAUCUCUCAAUCUCUUCACCCAAGUGUUUCUCAUACUUAUACACUCACAGAUUUGAUAAGAAAAUAAAGAUUACAAUAAAAACUCUUUUUAAAGUGAAUAUACAAAUAAAAGCUCAAUGAAAAUUUAAUCUAAGAUGAUUUACGAAAUGGAAGCUCAAUAUAUGUUGUAUGCUUUUAUUUUUACUUGCAAGAGGUUCUAAAAAUGAAUUGAAUUUGAGUUUAUAUAGUUUCAGCCCAAAAACUAGUUGUUAUAGACUUUCUGGUGAUAACUGACUUGCCGCUUUGUGAAUCCGGCUUGCUGCUUUAUGUUACCGUUAUAUUUAAAGAUUUGAAAUUUUGCACAUCCAGCAUGCCGGCUUUCAUUUCCGGUAGGCCGCUUUUAUUCCAGAGAGCUUCUAUCCAUAACCAGUUUGCCACUUGAUAAAUCCGGCUAGCCGCUUGCUAAAGUGAAACAAUUAUUUUUUAAAAUUAUUGUUUUACCCCCAAACUUUAUAAAAUUAUACUAUGACCCAAAUGUCAUAAAAAUUUAUAAAAAGUUCCAAUUUUAGAAUUUCUAAAUAAUGCUUGCCGUUCCCAAAACUUACUAAAAUUAUGAGAUAGCGCAGAAUUUAUAGAAAUUAUGGUAUAGUGCAAAACGUUUCAAAUAGUUACAAAUAGAUGCAAAUCCAGAGUUCAAAACAAUACUUAUUAAAAUCAAAGAUGACAAAUUUUUUUCAUUUUAGUUCAUAUCUUGAAAAAUAACUAAUUUCAUAAAAUUAUUCUCUUGUUAUAAAAACAUAAUGUUUAAUUUUUUGUUUAGUCAAAACAUGUGAUUUAUUAUAAUCAAAAUCAACAUUUUAUAGCCAUAUAGGCUAAUAAUAGAACCAUUUUUUUUUGUAAACAAUAUCAGAGCUCCCAAAAGAGAUAAAUUAGGGCGAAUAAAAACUUUAUGAACAACUUUCUGUAGUUGAACCUUUAAUUCCUUCAACUCAAGAGGUGCCAUAUGGUAAGGUGCUUUGGAGAUACGUGCAGUGCCAGGCAAUAAAUUAAUAGAAAAUUCAAUUUCUUGAUCAGGAGGCAAAUUAGGCAAAUCCUCAGGAAAUACAUCUAAAAAUUCCCUAACCACUUGAUAUCCCGAAGGGAAGCUUCACUAUUAUUAUCAGUCAAACUUCACUAUUAUUAUCGGUCACUACAUACGGUAAAAAGCCCUCACAUCCUUUUGCUAAUAUCUUGUUAGCCUUAAGUACAAAUAUUAGCCCCUCAUAAUUUUUUUGGUUGCCUCUAAACUGAAAUUCUAUAUCUCCAAAAUUUUAAAUACAAUCUCCUUUGAGAAAUACUCAACACUAGCAUGAUAGGUUACUAAUCAAUCCAUUAUCGAAAUAACAUCUGCAUUGUCAGGUUAGCAUUUUGAGCCAUUUCAUGAAGGGUGGGGCUUUCCUCUUAAUUACUCCCUGCAGAUUACUCGUCUCAACCUCAACCACCACCGUAAUACAUUAGGCAGUACCAGGAUCAACCCUAAUCCAAGGACCAAUUACCCUUGAGCUACUCUAUCACUCCCGUGUGGUAGGGUUCAACUACUAUCGUUGCUAGGAGACAUUAUCUUGUUGGUCAUUAAGCAUAUACAUGUAGAAAAAUUGAAUAUUGCAUUUCUUUCAAAUUACAGAUAAGAUCAUCUACCUAUACACAUAUGAAUAAAUCAAUAACUUGAAAGUCAAACUCUUUAACAAGAGCAAAAAUGUGAAACAUUGAAAUGAUUCAUACAAUUCAAUCAGUGAAAAUAAAUUUUCGGACAUACCUAUAAUCAACCCCAUAUUUUACCUAUCAUAAAUCGCUACAUUCCUAAAAGUGUGCAAGACCUCUAUAGGAUUUCAAUCUUAAGCUAUUGGUCAUUGACCUUAAAUGUCUACAAAAUCUUAUAACCAUUUUCUUUGAUACCAAAACUAUAACACUCCAAAUUCACCUAAGAAUUUCAAGAGAAAUUUAGAACGAAACCUCCUAACAUUAAUCUUAUUGCUAUUCCUAAACGAAAAUAGCUAUAGUCGAAACAUAGUCUCUAAAAUAAUAAAUAUAACAAUAAUUCUCUAAAACAAAAUUCAAGUCUAAACAAUAACCAAAGUAGCAACAACUUAUUCAUUUAGAAAACGCCAAAGUUUCUGACCUAACAAAUCCUCUUCUUUAGACCCAAAAACCCACAUCUCUAAAAUCAAUCUGCAAAAUGUUGGAGAUGAAGAGUGAGCUGUCAAUUCGAUAAGCAAACUCAUGCAUAAGGUUACUAAUAACGAUAAAAUACAAAACAAUCAUUAUAAAGUACCAUAAGUUAGAACCUAGUAAACAUUUAUAACCUAAUACAUAUGUACGGUAAAACUCAUAAUUAGUUAAAUCAUAAUGUAAUAAUCAUUUUUAAUAAAUAAUCAUUUAGGAAAUCAUUUAUCAAUAAAACCAUUCAUUUAUUCAAUUGCUCAUGCCAUAUAAUGUCGCCUAUACUUCUGGUGACCCAGCCAGUGGUUCAGUAAGUCACCUGUAACCCCAGUGACCCGGUAUUAGUUUAGUAAGUCACCUGUAACCCCGAUGACUUGGUUAGUAGUUCAAUCAGGGUACGUUACCCAACUAUAAUCAUCAAUAUGUGCACAAAAUAUAGCUAAUGUUCGGUUAUAUCAGUAACAGUAACUACGGUCAAUGAGCCAAAAUCUUAAAUACAGUUUCAAUCUUUCAAUAUCAAUCAUUCAGUAAUAUUAUGAUAAAAUACUCUUAUAAGACAUUGAAUUGGAAAGCUUAACAAAUAUUUUUAAGGAAACCAAUUUAUGGAAAGACAAUUAUUUUAAAGUCAUUUUUUAAAUAGUUUAAGAAAAUAUUUUAAAUAAAGUUUUAAUCAAAAAAUUAUUUAUUAUCAUAAAAUAUAAGAGUAAAAUAACUUCAAAACCAUAAAAUGUCAAUUUAUAUGAACAACAUUAUUCUUUUCUAGAUAUUUACAUAUAUAACUAUAAUUAACAUCAUGUAUGAGUUCACUUAACUCAAUACAAAGCAAUCAACAAUAACCUCAAUCACACGAGCUCGCUCUUGGCCUAUAAUUAUCAAGAUAAGAUUCUUAUCAAUAAUUGUUUUUUUUCAAUUUUGACCUUGAUAAGAAAGCCAAAAUAUCCUUAAACCAUUUACUCUUACUAAAGCACAUCAAUUCACUAAACUACACUCGACCGUCUUAUAGGAGUUGAUUUCUAACAAGCUAUAAUUAUGUUAGAAAAAUCAGAAAUAUUACAAAAAACUAUUGUGAACAUGUUUGCAUUGAAUAUAAAAGUUAAAUUUAUAAGGCGUUCACUAUGAAAAAGUAACCCAAACUCGCUUCAAUAUCAACCCUCGCAAUUCUAGAAAACAAUUUCCAAGAUUGUGGCAGCCUAGCUCUAUGAUUUUUAAAUUAUUUUUAUAUAAAGCCGUAUAUAUAUAUAUGUGUGUGUGUGUGUGUAAAAUGAAAAACAUUCCUAGAAUUUUUAGAAAUCGUUUGAGUUACCAAAUAAAUUAUAGUAACAAGAACUACUACUGAAAAUUGGAAUUUUCCAACACUAGUGUUCUAAUUUUGAAAAAUCAAAACAAUUAAUAUACAAUGAGUUUUGAAUGAUAAACAUUUAAAUAGAAAGAUAAAGAUGUCUAGUUUAAUAAAUUAUAAAAUUUCAUGCAUGAGACUUAAUGAAAACAGUAGUCAUAUAACAUUGAAUCUCUAUUGUUCACUGUUUUCAAGAUAAAAUAAUAGCACCACUUUCACUCAAUAACAACAUAAAUCAAUAGAUGAUCAUGCUUUCACCAUUUUAUCAAUAUAAUACACACAAAAUCAUUCAAUCAAUCACAUAAAAUCACAAAUAAAACCAAAAGGCUAAAUGAUUAUAAAUUCUUACCUACCUUCAAAACAAAAUUGAAACUCAAUAAUUUCUUUAUGGAAAAGAAAAAAACCAAUCAAAAUCUACUUCUCUUCUUAAAAAAAAGAACAUAAGUUUACUCUUGUGUGUGCUGCUGUAUUCUUUUUUUUUUUUCAUUAGCCUCUAGGAUUUUGAGAAACAAACGCAAGAGGAGCUUUUAUAAAGCCAAGCCUUUUAACAUCCUUACAUAUUUAGGAAUUUAUUUCCUUUUUUUAAUAAGGUAUUUAAUAAAUUGGUAAAUCAAAUAAAUAAAGAAAAAAUAAAACACACUUAAAAAUCAUUAGCCUAAAAUACUAUAUUUCUAAAAUAGAUAUAAUAAUAAUAAUAAUAUAAAUAAAUAAAUAAAUAAAACAAAAUAAUGGAUGUUACACAAUUAGUGCCCUAAUGAUGAUUUUAAGGAAUAAUAAAUGCAGAAGAUUCCUUAUACAUCAGUAGUAGAAAGUCUGAUGUAUGCUUAGAUUUGUAUACAACUGAAUAUUGCAUACAUUACUGGAAUGUUGGAUAGACAUUUAAGUAAUCCAGGGGUAAACUAUUGGGAAAUACCCAAACGGGUCUUGCAAUAUUUACAGAGAACAAAAGACUACAUGUGCACGUAUCGUAAGUUAGAUCAGCUUGAGAUCGUUGGAUAUACUAACUCUGAUUUUGUUAGAUCCCAAGAUAAUAUGAAAUCUACUUUUGGUUACAUCUAUCUACUAGAUAGGGGUGUUGUUUCCUAGAAGAGUGCUAAACAGUCUCUUAUAACCUUUUCUACUAUAGCACCGGAGUUCAUAGCUUGUUACGAAACAUCCAUUCACGAAAUAUGGCUACGAAAUUUCGUCACAGAGUUACACAUUUUAAAUGGAUAGACCACUUAAGCUAUUUUCUGACAAUAAGUCAGUAGUUCUAUAUUCCAAUAACAAUAAGAGUUCGACGAUGUCACAGUAUAUAGACAUCAAGUUUCUAAGGAAUUUAGAGUGGACAAUUGUCUAUAAAGUAUAAUAGUACAAACUCCAUGAUUACAGAUCCGUUCACUAAGGGAAUGCCAUUUAAAAUGUUUCAUGAGCGCAUUGUUCAUAUGGGUAUCGUGUCAUUUAAGGAUAUUCAUUUUUAAUGGGAGUUUGUAACUUUUAAAUGCUUUUAUGAUAUAAACAUUUUUCGGUUUAGGGAUAUUUAAGGGUUAUUUUAUGUAGAAAUAAAAUUUUAGUUUAUUCACACUCUAAUUUUGUAUGAUUUGAUCUCAUUAAAGUUUAAGGUGGAUCAAUUGGAAAUAGGCAUGUUAAGAUCACAUUACAUGAAAUUUUCAUCCUACACACCCAUAUCAUGAUCUAUGCCAUUCAGUCAUAUUGGCAUAGUGAGCAUUGAUGGGUCAAGUUACGAUAUUUGUAACAAGGGCCGUUUUGAUCCUAUGUUGGUAUGAUUGAUGGACCGAAUUGGCUAUAGAUGCAUUUUGGUAACGACAGUAAAGUUGAGCUCAUAUGAUUAUUUUUGUAAAGUAUAAUUAUAAAGUUACAUAUAUAGCCCAAGUGAGAGGUUGUUGGAUCUUUAAUCUAGCAUUGUUGGAUCCUUUAUCCAAUGUUGGGCUUAUAUGUGAAUAAUUUUAUGUUGUUAAUUGUCAUAUAAGAUUAAGCCAAAUUAAAAUUUAUCUAAAGGUUUACGUAAUUUGGGCUUUAAUGUAUCUAAUAGAUUAUGGGCCUUUAAUGUAUAGAGACUUAAGACUAAUUUCGAUUUUUAUGAUGGGUUGAAAUAAGAAUACCUAAAAACAAAAGGAAAAUCCAUCUAUAUAAGUAGUCAUUGUCCCUAGGUCACACAUAUCGUUCUAUUCUCUAUUGACAUCUCAUCAUUAGAGAGAGUGUAUAAAGAAGUUUCAAGGAUUCUCUAGGAGAACCUGUUGAUUUGGAAGACAAACUACUCGACUCUAGAGAGCAAUUGUGCAUUAUGAACUUAGGUACACUGUCGCAUAUUUUGUUAUUAAUUCUUGGUGAUACAACAUACAUGUUCCUAAAUUUAGGUGAUGAUUUUCACCAAAGAAUUUAUUGUUCUUACACUUAUUACUUAUUUUUAAUUCCACACACAAUUGUAAUAGCAAGGUCCCCCACGGUUUUUGUACUACACUCCUUAGUUAUCCAAAAUGAACUUAUACUAAUCUUGAAUAUGUUCAAUUCUCAAGGCAUCCAGAUGAGAUUUUCCCCUAAGCUUACGAGCACACAGAUUCCCGAAGUAUUCUUCAACUGUCACUCUUUUAAACAAUGGAGGAGUGUUUUCAGAGACCAAAUUGGACGCAGGGUACAUUUCACCAUCAUAUCUCACUGAGUAAAUUGUGCCAAUGGAAAGUCUUCCUUUGUACAGAGUUUACAAUUACACGAUGCUCAAUGCUACGGUAUGUCCCAUUGGAUAUAAUAUGCCAUGUAAAAAUUAUUAAAGCACAUAAGCAGGCGCAUAUAAAUGCCAAGUUAAGUAAUUUACUAUAAUUAUUACCUCCAAUGAGUCUCCAAUGUCGACAAUGAAAGCAUUAGGAAGUGGAGCAACAGGAAUUAAUGAAAGCACACAUUAGCUAGCUCAUAUGAAUGUCAAGUCAAAACAACUUAUCAUAAUAAUUACCUCCAACACAUUUCCAACGUUGACAACGAAAGCAUUUGGGAAAGGUGUAAUAUGAAUCCACUUUCCAUCCUUCUUGAUCUGGAGACCUUCUACUUCAUUGAUUUCCAACAGAAUUGCAAGUGCAGAGUCAUCAGAAUGAGUUGAGAGGCCCACAACCUUCUCCGGCUAAGGACAUGGAGGGUAAUAGUUCAUCCCCAUUGAUUGGAAACCAUUUUCAAAGUAUUCUCUCAAUUCUUCAUCUUUGAUAUUUAAAACUUUUCCCAUUUUCGAUACCAGGUUCAUGGCCAGAGAGUUUUAACUCCACUGAAUAAAUUCCAAGAUUUCCUAUAAGAAAAAAGAAGACGCAAUUAGAAGGUUUAGUAUAUGAUUGUGGUGGAUUGUUAAAUAAGUUAUUAUUUAGCAGUAUUCUUUCAAAAUCAUAAGUGGUUGUCAAAUUUUACUAGAUAUAACUGACUUGGGAUCUUUCUCUGAACAUAAUACAUUUGCAAUCAUCAAAUAACUGACUAGAGAGAGAGAAAGAGAAACCUGAGGGGUAAAGAGGGAGCUUAGGAAACAAGUGGGGUUUCCUCAGAUGAAUUGGAAGAGUAGUCAUGAAGAAAAUGUCAAUCCAAUCAACCUUUUGUUCCUCGGAUAUAACAAAUGCUUGUCCAAAUCCUUCCAUAUUUGUUAGAUUUCAAUAAACUAAUAGAAUCGCAUUUGCAUUAUACUCCAUCAUAAAUUUGCUUAUAGUUCUUCUCAAGCUACCGUAAGCCUAGACAUCUGAAAGAUAUUAAAGACAAUUUAAUUUUCAAGAAUGCAGGUUUNNNNNNNNNNNNNNNNNNNNNNNNNNNNNNNNNNNNNNNNNNNNNNNNNNNNNNNNNNNNNNNNNNNNNNNNNNNNNNNNNNNNNNNNNNNNNNNNNNNNACAUCCCCCAAUUUUCAAAAAAAAAAAAAAGGAGUGCUUAAGCCGGCUUGGUUAAGACUAUCUAGACUCAAAUUUUGUUACAGCUUUCUUAUUGCUAACUUACAGAGUAAGAAAGCAUUGAUACAGAGUAGGCCAAAUUUGUGGCCUACUUGACCUAUAAGAAUGAAACACAAUCUAAUCUGAAUUUGAUCGACUGUACUUUUUGAUUGAGAGUAUAUAGAUUUCUUAAUUCUUGACGCCAGACUACUAUUAAUAAACCAAGCAUGUCCAAAUGAAAAAAUACAAACUUGGGUGCCUCACGACAGGUGUAGCUUAGCUGGUUGUGAAUGUAAUUCGCAAUUUGCAGAUAUCUGCGCUCGAGUAACAAUAUGGGACAAACGGUGGUAUUUACUAGAUGAGGUCUCAUCCCAAGCAAAUCCUUUAAAAGCAAAAUAAUAAUAACUUGGCAAAGGAGUUUACCUAGAAAGAAGCCCAUUCUUUGCAAGCGAAGUGGAGCCUGGACAACUCAGAAUCCAUUGACUCUUCAGAAAACAAGCUCUGCAAUACCCGUGAAUCCAAAUUAUUAUCAGAAAUUGUGGUUAAAUCUUGGCCUGGUCGUAUGUAUCUGGGAGGGAUAGCUAACAUAGGAUUCUUGGCCAACUCUUGAACACAAGGCACAGGCAGAGAACCUCCGAACUUGGCCUUCUUUUUGUUCCACAAAUUCUCUCAACAAUAAUGCUCCAGAGUUUUAUUGACAAAGCAAAUGUUGAAAAUGUAUUAUUUUCAACAAGUCAUUAUUUGCUGUGGCCUUGUGUGAGACUAAUCCACCAUUGCGGGUCUAGGGUUGGCCCAUAGAUAUUUUGUGAAUAUGACAGUUGCAGUCUGCUGUUGUGUUGCUGUCUGCUGCGAAUUAUAAAAAAGAUAGUGCAUUGCCUUCACAAACUCUUAAGAAUUUGGAUAACAUGCUAAUUUCUUUUACAUGGUCUGAUGACAACCAAUCAAAAUCUUGUAUUUUUCUCAGCAUAAUAGCUGAUCAUCAACCGUAGUUCCAAGUUCAACUUUGAGAGAGACGAUCUGAAUAUGAAAUCCAAAGUUAUAGCUUUGCAGCUUGUGUAACUAACAUCUAUUUUCAGCUAUUGAUGGCAAAAUUUUUCGUUAGUGGUAACAAGUUAUGUAUUCGUCACAAUGUGUGUUAUGGAAUGGAAUAUUGAAGACGUGGAAGGACAACAUUGUUGUUAAUAAUCAAACACUUGUUACUAUUAACUGAAAACCAUAACGGCUGAUACAGAAACUACACUGGUUCUUUGGUAAUAUUAUCUGUAUGUAUCAUAAAAAUUUGGAAACCAAGUCAUAUAGUCCUUGAAAUCUCAUUAAAAACAAGUCAGGUAUGCAAAAAUUCUAUUUCAAGAAAGAAAGAUACUGCUCUGAUAUAAGCACCACUAUAUAUCAUCGGAAGAUUCCAGGCAUAAGUCUGCAAUUCUUAAGAUUCUUACAUGGUCUAUUCAGUAUCUCAAAUGAUAGAGCUAUUAGAAACACAACGACCCUAGCAUAGCAGGUUAUACCACAGUAUUCAUAGAACUUAUUUCUUAUUUUCAGUUCCACGCACAAUCUUAAUGGCAAGGCCCUUCAGAGUUUUUGUACCAAACUCUUUAGUUAUCCGAAAUAAACUUAUACUAGCCUUGACCAUGUUGAAUUCUCAGGGAAUCCAGCUGAGAUUUUCCCCUAAGCUCACGAGCAUACCGGCUCCUAAAGUAUUCUUCAAUUCUCAUUCUUCUAAACAAAGGAGGAGUUUUUUCAGAGAUCAAACUGGAGGCAGGAUACACUUCACCAUCAUAUCUCACUGAGUAAACUGUGGCAACGGAAAGUCUUUCCUGUACAGAGUUUACAACUGCACGAUGCUCAAUGCUACGGUAUGUCCCAUUGGUUAUAAUCUGCCAUGUAAAAAUUAUUAAAGCACAUAAGCAAGCGCAUAAAAAUGCCAGGUUAAGGUAAUUUAUUAUAAUUAUUACCUCCAAUGUGUCUCCAAUGUUGACAAUGAAAGCAUCCGGGAGUGGGGUAACAGGAAUCCACUUUCCAUCCUUCUUUACCUGGAGACCCUCCACUUCAUUAAGUUGUAGCAGAAUGGUAAGUGCAGCUGCAUCAGAAUGUGGCGACAGGCCCAUAACCUUCUCGGGCUGAGGACAUGGAGGGUAAUAAUUCAUCCUCAUUGCUUGCACUCCAUUUUCAAAGAAUUCUCUCAUUUCUUCAUCUUUGAUAUUUAACACUUCUCCCAUUUUCGAUAUUAGGUUCUCGGCUAGGGAUUUUAAUUCCAUUGAGUAAACUUCCAAGGUCUCUCUACAGGAAAAGAAGAUGCACUAUCCUUUAUUUGUUUGCAAAUCAAAAUGACAUUGACAUAGAGAGAGAGAGAGAGAGAGAGAGAGAGAGAACCUGAGGGAAGGAGGGAGCUUAGGAAAUAAGUGUGGCUUCCUCAGAUGAACUGGAAGAGUCAGCAUGGAGAAAAGGUCAGCCCAAUCAAGCUUUUGUUCCUCAGAUACAACAAAGGCUUGUCCAAAGCCUUCCAUAUCUCCUGGAUGCUGCCAAUAUUUUUUCUUUUCUUCCAUGCUGAGAUUGAAGAAUCCCUCAACCUCUUUCUUUAAUUUCUCUAGAAAUGCUGUGCUCAUUCCAUGAUUUACCAGCUGAAAAAAAUACAGGAACGAAAUGCAGCAAAGAUUUAAUAAUCGUGCCACUAAGCUCACAAUAGUCCAGGUGUUUUAUGAAGACAGAUUGCAACUUAUCUGACUGAUUUAGAGAUAAGAUUUACCAUCAAAGAUAGCUAAAAGCAUUUGUUACAUUUAAAUCUUCUCAACAAUUAGUUUCCACAGGUGUUUUUUAUUCAUUCUAUCGGAGAAAUUUCGGUUAUUCUAGAAUAACUAUAACGAGCAUGAAGUUCUUGUGGUUUGUUCACACCUAGAAUUUGAAAAAUCAUACAACAGCAAAUAAUCUCAAUGUUACUUCGAAUUGUCUUUAAAUUAGAGUAAUUUGCAACAUUGACUACAGAAAUGAGUACAUUUUCUAAGAGGUCUUACACAAUUUACGAUAGUAUAUCUUUUAAAAUUUUGACAGAAGCAUAUUUCUCAUAAGGUACCAAAAGCCAUUGAGGCAGAGGAGGGGAAAUUUCUCAAGACCGUAUUUUUCAUACAUAUUGCGUGUUUGACAUUUAGGAAUGAAAUAGCUAAUUAACCCAUGUCUGGAGGGGGAAAGGUAAAGCAGUAUAGAAAGUCAAUAAUAAAUAAACCAGAGACAAGUUCUUCUUUUCACAAGCUGCAGUCCUAAGCCACUGACAACACCGAAAAGUGAAACCAUGAUCUGCUAACAUCAAUGAUACGUGGGUUUAAGAAAUAAAUAUGAAUUUUAAUUUUGCCUAUUGGAUUGAGAAUUUGCAUAUUUCUCGAUUCUUGUUCACAAACAAGCAUGUUCUGGCGAAACAAUUUUCUAACUUUGCUAAAGCAUUAUACCUGGAAAAAACCCCAUUCUUUGCAUGCGAAGUCGAGCUUGGCUAGCUCAGAAUCCAUUGAUUCUUCAGAAAGUAAGCUUUGCAUGUCAAUAACUGGUAUCUGUGAAAUCAAAGUAUCAUCAGAAAUGAGUGGUGAAUCUUGAUCUGGACGUAUGUAUCUGUCGGGGACAACUAACGCAGGAUUCUUGACCAACUCUUGAACACAAGGCACAAGGAGAGAACUUCCAAUCUGGGCCAUCUUUUGUUCCUCAAAUCCUUUCAAGAUUGCUGCAGCUUUGUAUUGAUUUUGGAACAAGACUGAGUGCCGACAAUCACAAAAGUAAAAAAGAAUCUUUUUCCAAGAAAUUAAUCAGCAUCCUCCACCUAACCAUUCAUGAAGUAUUUUUAAUUUUUUGCACAUGUUUAGAAUGCAUAAUAAAAUAUUCGCAGGUCAAAACUAUCCUCUAUUGAUAAGGAUAACAAAUCAUCAGCCAAUUAAUUAGGGUAAUUUUUAAAAACCUCCCCUGAGGUUUGGGCUUGUUGUAAGUAAAUGAUGAGAAUUGAUUUAUUUGUAAAAAAUUCUCUACCGUCAGUUAAUUUUAACAUUGACUGUUAGUUGACUGUGCAAAGACAAUAUUACCCUUAACAAUAAUUUAUAGACAGAAAUAACUAUAAAAAAAUUAAAAUUAUUAGUUAUUUUACCCUCUUUAAAUUAUUGAUAUUUUCUUAAAGUUCCUACAAGAAAGAUAAAAUUAAAAAUUUUAAAAAUUCUCUUUAAAUUAUUGAUAUUUUCUUAAAGUUUCUACAAAAAAGAUAAAAUUAAAAACUUAAAAAUAAAAUAGUUAUAAUCUUUACUUAUGAUAUUGUAAAUUUUUGGAAUUGACAAGGAUAAAAUUGUCAAAAAAUAGGGUUUGUGCUUUUCGCGCCAACAAUUUUAAUUUUUUUUUUAGUUAUUUCCGUCUACAAACUGUUGUUGAGGGUAAUAUUGUCUUUGCACAGUCAACUAACGGUCAAUGUUAAAAUUAACUGACGGUAGGAGGUUUUUUAUAAAUAAACAGAUUCUCGUCAUCUGCUUGCAACAAGUCCAAACCUCAGGGGAGGUUUUUAAAAAUUAUCCCAAUUAAUUAUUUGUGGUUCCCACCUUGUCAUCAACCCAAAAGGCAAAGGUAUUUUCAAUACUGCGUUUUGUUUUCUUUUUCCCUUUCUAUUUUUCUUUCACAACUUGGCAUUGAUCUCGGAGCAUUUGCUCUUGACUUGUGCGAGUAAUCCACCAUUGCGUGUCUGCAGUUAAAAGGACUUCUUAAAAUUUUUUCUAACACGCUGCAAUCUGGUGCUGUGUUGGAAUUGACUGUGCACUAUUAAGAAAACAGUGGGUUCCAAUUGUAAUCGAUUAGUCAUUUAUACAAUUAUAGCUGUUUAUAUUUAGGCAUUAAUUAUCUUUAUAUUUUUAUCUGAUAACAACCAAUUAAAACCUCAUAUUUUGCUUGCGAAUCCAAGUUCCACUUACGAAAGUAACAUCUGUCUCAUUUUUAAUUAUUGAUAAUUAUUAUUACUAUUAUUAUUAUUUUUUAUUAUUAUUAUUGGUAACAAGUUACAACUUAUGUACUCAUGCAAUGUGUUCUAUGGAGAACAAUGUUGCUACAAGCAAUACAAAAUUUGUUACAAUUUAUUGUCUUGAAUAUUUUCGGUAAAAACUACUUAUUUUAACUACAUGCAUGCUACUGGGGAAGGUUGUAAAACAAAUUAUCACAACAAUCUGCUUAAUGUGACGGAUGGUUAAGCCAAAUGACAACAUAUAACCCAAGCAUGUUGUUAUCUAUUCAACUUCAGUGACAUUGUAACAAAAUAUAUUGUUGAUAAGGAUGUAAUUGGACAAGCAAGCGUUAGAAUGGCAUGCUUAAGUAUUUAAUAUCAUAUUUGAAUCAUCUUUAACUCCGAAAGCAAGUGAAAUAGUUCUUGAAAUCUGAUAAAAACAUGACAAGCCUGCAAAAAUUCUAUUCCAAAAAUGAAAGACACUGAUCCAAAAUAAGCACAAUUAUCAUCAGAAAAUUCCUGGCACAAAUCUGCAACUAUCCAAAAUAAUUAUGCUAGCCUCGACCAUGUUGAAUUCUCAGGUCAUCCAGGUGAGAUUUUCCCCUAAGCUCACGAGCAAAUCGGCUCCUAAAGUAUUCUUCAACCGUCACUCUUCGAAACAAUGCAGGAGUUUUUUCAGAUAUCAAACUGGAUGCUGGAUAUAUUUCACCAUCUAAUCUCUUUGUGUAAAAUGUGGCAAUGGAAAGUCUUUCUUGUAUAGAGUUCACAAUUGCACGAUGCUCAAUGCUACAGUAUGUCCCAUUGGUUAUAAUUUGCAGUGUUAAAAAUAUUAGAGCACAUGAGAAGGGACAUAAAAAUGCCAAGGAAAGUAAUCAUAAUUAUUACCUCUAAUGUGUCUCCGAUGUUGACAAUGAAAGCAUUUGGCAGCGGUGUGAUAGGAAUCCAUUUUCCAUCGUUCUUGAUCUGGAGACCUUCUACUUCAUUGAUUUGUAGCAGAAUGGUAAGAGCAGAGCCAUCAGAAUGAGGGGUGAGGCCCAUAACCUUUUCUGGCUGAGGACAUGGAGGGUAAUAGUUCAUCCUCAUUGAUUGGAAACCAUUGUCAAAGAAUUCUCUCAAUUCUUCAUCUUUGAUAUUUAAAACUUUUCCCAUUUUCGAUAUCAGGUUCAUGGCCAAAGAUUUUAACUCCAUUGAGUAAACUUCCAAGGUGUCUCUACAAGAAAAAAGAAGGUAAAACAUUAGAUAGAAUCAUAGAAGGUUUAAUUUUCUCUUUUUGUUUGCAAAUCCAUAUCAAGCACAAACAGAGAGAACCUGAGGGAAGGAGGGAGCUUAGGAAAUAAGUGUGGCUUCCUCAUAUGAACUGGAAGAGUGAUCAUGGAGAACAUGUCAGCCCAAUCAAGCUUUUGUUCCUCAGAUACAACAAAGGCUUGUCCAAAUCCUUCUACAUCUCCUGGAUGCUGCCAAUAUUUUUUCUUUUCUUCCAUGCUGAGAUUGAAGAAGCCCUUAACCUCUUUCUUCACUUUCUCUAGAAAUGCUGAGCUUACUCCAUGGUUUACCAGCUGAAAUUAUGCAGGAAUGAACAGCAGCUAAGAUUUGAUAAUCGUGCCACUAGGUUCACAACCGUCCAGGCGUUUUAUGAAGACAGAUUGCAACUUAUUUGACUGAUUUAGAGACAAGAUUUGCUGUCAAAGAUGGCUAAAAGCAUUUGUUACAUUUCAACUGAGAACAUUGCUGUUGCAUUAAACACCAAUUUUAUUUUGUUUAUAAAUCUAAUCAAUGAUUGAUUUUUACAAGUGUUUUUUACUCAGUUUUGGAGAAAUUUGAAUAUUCUAGAACAGCUAAUAAUCUGCGGGAGUCUUAUACAAUUUACUAUAUCGUUUAUCACAUAUUGACAGAAGCAUAUUUCUCAUAAGCUACCAAAAGCUAUUGAGACAAAGUAGGUGAAAUUUGUCAUGGGCAUCUUUUAAUACAAAUUAUACUAACAAAUCUAUGGCUAUAUGUAAAGGUAAAGUAAUAAAGAAAGUCAAAAACAAAUAUAUCAAUGGAAUCUGGGUUUCAGAAAUAAAUGGUGAGUGUUUUCUUCUCAUAUCGCCUCAAAUUGUACAAUAAAACAAGAGACAACUUCCUUGACAUUUCACAAGCUGCGGUCCUAGAAGCACUGAAAGCAGCAAAAGGACUAGAUGGGAAAAUUUGAAAUCAUGACAUGCUAAAUCAACGGAAACUGGGUUUCAAAAAUAGAUAUUUUGUGACAGAGUUUUGCAGAUUUCAUGAUUCUUAAAUCACAGACAAGCAUGAAAAAUCUUUCUAACUCUGCUAAAGCAUUUUACCUGGUAAAAACCUCAUUCUUUGCAAGCGAAGUCGAGCUUGGCUAACUCAGAAUCCAUUGAUUCUUCAGAAAGCAAGCUCUGCAUGUCAAUAAUUGGUAUCUGUGAAAUCAAAGUAUCAUCAGAAUUGAGUGGUGAAUCUUCGUCCGGACGUAUGUAUCUAGGAGGGACAACUAACAUAGGAUUCUUGACCAACUCUUGAACACAAGGAACAAGCAGAGAACCUCCAAUCUUGGCCAUCUUUUGUUCCACAAAUCCUCUUAAGAUUGCUACAGCUUUGUAUUGGUUUUGGAACAAGAGUGCAGGGUGCAGACAAUCGCAAGAGUUGAAAACAAUUAUUUUCUAACAAAUCAGCAUCCUCCACCUAACCGCUCAUGAUAUAUUUUUAUGCAAAUGACUGAUCUGGAUUAUUUUAAGGGGACCAUUCAACAGCAUGGUAAAAUAUGGGCAGGAAAUAGACCAUCAUUGAUAAUCACAACUAACAAAUCAGCUAGUCGAUUAAUUAUUAGUAAUUCCCAUAUUACCUUAUACAUUAAUAGUACUAACGGACGAGCCCUCACCUCGUUCACCUUUUGACUCCGAAUCAUCCUGUUCGUAUGCUUCUUACAUGGUCUGAAGGAAAAAUGAAAAUUCUAGAAAUAUUUUUCUUAUUGAAUUCAGCAGCGGAGUAAUCGAAUAUUGGAUUAUGUUAAUGGUCAAAAGAAAUCGCAAGUGGAAAUCCUUAUCUAAUCACAAUAUAAAUGCCCUUUUUAUGGAUUGUUCAAUGUUCUUAAUUUUAAUCUUCACGAAGAAGAGAAGAAGUUGAUUUAGCAAUUUUUACGUCUUUCUUGUUCUUAUUAUUAGAGAGAUUUUAUUCAAAGUGGAAGAAGUUAAUUUAAACUCAACUUCCCUCUCAAUUUCCAUAAACUGUACAUGUAACUACAUGGUAGUUACCAUGUGCGGGUCGGAUUGGCUCGGCCCAUCAUGGGUGAUCCACCCAUCCCAUAUCUCCCAUUCGUACAUGAUGGGAUGACAUCGAAACAGCAGAGCAGUGAACAUAUAAAUAAUGAACAACCACAUAUCUUUAAUCAUACAGGUAGAUAUAUCAUGUGACCAUGAACAUAUCUAAAAAUCCAUUUGGUGAGUCAAAAACAUAUCUCGAUUGCUAACUCAGGCAAAAGAUGUCUCAAUUGCAAUCGUAUGCAAGAGAAUUUAAAAAUAUGUUCAUUGUAUCCUAGAUUUAAUUUAUUUUAAUACUCAAGCAUACUAAAUCCCAUUAGUAUGCUAAAAUUGCACAAUCUCUUUAUGUAUUCACAAUUGUAAUAUCCCAAAGAUAUUAUACAAUUGGUCGACCAGUGAAUCACAUAAAAGAAAAAUUAAAUCUUUUUAUCACACUCAUGUUCAUCAAUUCAGAAUAGUCGCUUUCCUAGUCAUGUUUCAUAGACCGAAUAAUGUAAAAGGUCAUAGAUAACAUACUAAAGUAGCAGACAUCACUCUGAGAUCUCAAAAAUAUAGUUAAUAGUCAUAAGGAUAUCGGGAUUGACUUAUAAAAAGUUAUAUAGAACUUACACAAUGAGAAAGAUGGAAGAUUAUUUCAUUUUCCAUUUUGGUUACCAAGCACGCGUGGUAUGAUACACGUGUUACAGUAAAUUUUCCAUUUCAGGACUAUAGAUCUUAGUCUAGUCACUCUUUUAGAAUGAACGCUCUCCUUUAGCGUAAAACGUAAGAUCUCACAUCUGGCUUCAAUCAAGUCUCCAUGAUGGUGGGGUAUAUCAUAGUCAGUCUAUAAUAUGGGCAGGAAAUAGACCAUCAUUGAUAAUCAAGUCGAAAAAUCGUGUGAGACCUCUUGAUUCUAGUCAAGGUAAAAAAACUUGUAGAAUAACGCUUUUUAUUUGGCUCUCAAACAAAAACAUGGUUUUAUUAUUCUACUUGUCUCAUCUCAGCUUGCUCCUAAAGCAAUUGAGGUGACCGCUUGUGUAAGAAAACUAGUCUGGACCUGACGACAUACUCUUAUAUAUGUGUAAUUGUGUCUUUCAUGGAAUAAAUUGAAAUAAGAGAUACUAUUACAUUUUCAAACAACUUAUGUAAUGAAGAUGUUUAUAACAAAUAAGUGCAUCUUAAUAAUAGUAAUUUAUAAUCUAUGUAGCCCUAAUGAUUUAGCAUGAGAGGCGAAUACAUCCCUUAUUACAGCUUUGGUAAGUGGAUCAGUUAUCAUGCUAUGUGUAGAUAUAUAUUGUAUGGCUACUGAUAACUCUAUGAAAUGAGAGUUAUCAUGGCACUUUUAAGCUUAAAUCAAUACUAAUUAGAAAGUAAAUUAUGUGUUUCUAUUGCAUUUUUGUUACAUUUUGCAUAAAUAAUCAUUUUAGUCAGUCUUAAUAAGUUUUGCUUGAUUUAAAGUAAUUUGUGCUCAAAUUGUGUGAAUAAUUGUAGGUUUCCAGAAGUUUAUAAUUCAUGGAAGGAAUGCUAUGCAAUAGGCUUGCAAAAAUAAGGAAGAACAUGGCUAUAAAAGAAUUGAAACAAAUCUGGAACAGUACAGUUGCUGUAGCAACCAUUGCUUUAGCCAUUGCUGUAGCAAUCUUGGAACAACGACGAAGAAAAUUCCGUGCGGGAUACUUGCAGAAUUGCAAUCUGUAGUUUCCUAAUCUGACUUAUGCGCGCUUUAGGCUUCCGUUUACCCUAAUUUUCAACUAUAAAAGAAGCACACAUCAUAAGGAUUAAAGAGAGCCGUCACCCAAGGAGAAAAACAAAAAGAAACAAAAGAAAAACAAGAUUCAAGAGAGAGAUUAAAGGCUGCACAAGAGGAGAAUUUGCAUAAAUCAAUUGAGAGCUCAAUCCUUCUUAUUCUUCUCUUGUUUUCUUGUUUUCUAUUUAUUUAUGGGAAUGUGUUUCAUUGUUGAAGCUUUGUUCUUUAUUUUUCUUUUACAAACCAUGAACUAAAUUUAUUUGUGGUUGAGUGAUAAACAAUCUUGAUGGUUUAUUGACUGAAUAUAUGUGUUGCUACAUGUUUACUGUAGCAGUUUGUUUUGAUAGUACAAGUUAGGAGAGAGUAGCAAAAUGGUCUAUCUUAGUGGAACAUAUCAGAACAAUACGUGAUCUUAAAUUGAACUUCCCGGAUUGAGUUUUACUUGAGUCCCAAAAGGGCCAUGCUUGAUUUAAGAUUAGUGAUGAACUAGACAUAGGGAUUCACCUUGUAGGGUAAAUAGAACCUAAGCGUGUAAUGCUAUAUCUUAUGUUGGCAUAACAAUUGAUCACUGUUAGGUUGCAUAUAGAUAUAAAAUAUCCAACAUGCGACGGCUGAGGAUACAUAAGGAUUCUGUCCAGUGCUAUAGCAGAUGCUGCAGCAACCAAGCCAAACAUUAGAAAAAUAGUCAAUACCAUUAAGAGAGUUUAUUCACUCAGCUACUAUAUACUCCCAUUAGUUUUAUCCUUGAGUUUGACGUGAUAAUUUACUUUGUUGCAUUUUAUUUAUUGUGUUUUUAUUUUAAUUAGUACAUUAGUUUCAUUAAUUGUUUAUUUUAUUUUAGCACAAAAUCUGCACUGUUAAGAUUGCUGUAGCAAAUCUGAUAACAUCAAUCCCUGUGGAGACGAUCUUGAAUACUCAUUAUUUUAUUACUUGUUGUGUAUACUUGCACAUUGACACCAAUAACAUUAGUAUUUAUACACCAACAAGUUUUUGGUGCCGUUGCCGGGGAUUGAUUGUUAAUUGUGAUUUGUGAAAUUAGUUUUAACAGUGCUAAUUUUUUAUUUUAUUUUAAUUUGUUUAUUUUGUUGAAAUAAGUGAUCUAGCAACCCUCGCAUGCGCAAAUAUAAAUCUAUUGACUUCUAGUUUGAUCCAGAAAUUGAAAGAACUGCAAGGAGAUUGAGAAGAGAGCAUCGGGAAUUACAAGCUGCUGUAGCAAUGGAUGAUUUGCAAAAUUUGAGAAACUUGAACUGUAAAGAGGGGAUACAACCAGUCAAUGUACAUGAAGGUCUGAAUGGACAAUGUGUUCAAAGGCAACCAGGGAACAACAACAUUAUUCACAUGGCGAACGAUAGAGAUAGAGCCAUUCGAGACUACGCAGUGUUGACUCCUCAGGCCAUACAUUCAAGAAUAGUUAGACCCGACAUUCAAGCUGACAAUUUUGAACUCAAACCCGUGAUGUUUCAGAUGCUUCAAACAGUGGGGCAAUUUAAUGGUGUGCCAUCCGAAGAUCCUCAUCUACACCUUAAGUUAUUUUUGGAAGUAAGUAAUCCUUUCAAGAUUGCUGGAGCAUCGUAAGAAGCAUUGAGACUCAGACUUUUUCCGUUUUUUUUAGAGAUCGAGCAAGAGCAUGGUUGAAUUCUCUACCACCAGAUUCUAUCACUACAUGGAAUGAUUUGGCUGACAAAUUUUUUAUGAAAUACCUCCCGCUAACCAAGAAUGCAAAGUUGAGGAACGAGAUCACGUAUUUCCAUCAACUUGAAGAUGAAAGCUUGUGUGAUGCAUGGGAGAGAUUUAAAGAGUUACUAGAAAAUAUCCUCAUCAUGGUAUUCCUUGCUGCAUACAGUUGGAAACUUUCUAUAAUGGUCUCAACCCAAGCACUAGAUUGAUGGUGGACGCUUCAGUAAAUGGGGCAUUGUUAUCUAAGUCUUACAAUGAGGCUUAUGAAAUUUUGGAGAGGAUAGCCAACAAUAACUAUCAGUGGCCAUCAACCAGACAAGUUGCAGCAAGAGGAACAGCAGGAGUUCAUAACAUAGAUGCCUUGACAGCAUUGUCAGCCCAAGUAACUUCAUUAACAAAAAUGGUAAAGGCUAUGACUACUGCUCCAGCAACUGUUAACCAAAUAUCUUAUAUGUCUUGCGUUUAUUGUAGAGAAUGGCAUUUAUUUGACAAUUGUCCUGGUAAUCCAGCUUCGGUUAACUAUAUGGGCAGCUUCAAUAGACAGAACUAGGACAAUCCAUAUUCAAACACUCACAACCUUGGAUGGAGACAGCACACAAAAUUUUCAUGGAGUUAUUAGAACCAGACUGCUGCAGCACCUAGUGGACAGAACAGACCUGCUCAACCACCUGGAUUUUAUCAGCAAAAUCAAGAGCAAAGAAGCAUCAACAAUGAUCAAUUCAGCUCCCUUGAAGGUUUGAUUAAGGAUUAUAUUAUGAGGAAUGAAGCAGUUGUCCAAAGUCAUACUGUAUCGUUGAGAAACAUGGAAAAUCAAAUUGGACAGCUUGCUACAGCAUUGAGCAACAGACCUCAAGGUAGUUUACCCAGUAAUACAGAGAACCCAAGAAGAGAAGGGAAAGAGCACUGCAAAGUGAUUAACUUAAGAUCUGGAAAGGAUGUUUAUAGUCCCGUUGGUGUACCAAAAAGAAGAAUUGAGUCCACCCAAGGCCAAGAAGACACUCAAGUAGAGAAAGAGUCACAAUCUUCCACUUUUCAGAAUGCAAAUCAAUACAGUUCUGCUACAACAUCUGCAGAAAGUUAUGAUCCAACACCUAGUAGUGAGGAAGCUACAACACCAACAGCAACAGACCUGAGUAGAGCAAAAGAGAAGCAGUCUGCACAACCUACUGCAGUACAAUAGUUUAGACACCCACCACCCUUCCCUCAAAGAUUUCAGAAGCAACAACAAGACAAGCAGUUCAAUAAAAUCUUAGGAGUGCUGAAACAACUACAUAUCAAUAUCCCUUUUGUGGAAGCUCUAGAACAAAUGCCAAAUUAUGCGAAAUUUUUGAAGGAUAUCUUGACAAAGAAAAGAAGAUUUGGAGAAUUUGAGACAGUUGCUCUAACACAAGAGUGCAGCCGAAUGCUUCAGAGUAAGAUACCGCAAAAGAUGAAGGAUCCAGGAAGCUUCACAAUCCCUUGCUCCAUAGGCACUAAAUACUGUGGCAAAGCACUUUGUGAUUUGGGGGCUAACAUCAAUCUCAUGCCUUUAUCAGUGUUUAAGCAAUUGGGAGUUGGUGAAUGUAGACCAACAACAGUGACUUUACAACUUGUUGACAGGUCUCAUGCAUAUCGAGAAGGGAAGAUUGAAAAUGUGUUGGUGAAGGUGGAUAAAUUUAUUUUUCUAGUGGAUUUCAUUGUGCUAGACUUUGAGGCAGACAAAGAAGUGCCAAUCAUUCUAGGGAGACCUUUCUUAGCCACGGGAAAGACUUUAAUUGAUGUUCAAAAAGGAGAAUUAACCAUGAGGGUGAAUGAACAGCAAGUGACAUUCAAUGUGCUGGAUGCUAUGAAGAGUCCCGAUGAGAUUGAAUAUUGUGAUUUUAUCAGUGUUGUGGACUUUGUUGUAGCAGAGAGAUUACACAGUUGCUGCAGUAAGGAAGAAAUCAAUGUUGUGACAUUUGAAGAACUUGAUGAUGAAGAUCAUGGAGCAGCUAACAUAGCAUGGUCAGGAGAGAAGCAACCCCUCAUAAUUGACGAGCAAAUCCAGCAAAUGGAACUCACGCCAGACCAACAAGAAUUCAAGGUUAAUGGGCCAAGAGUGAAGCACUAUAUGAGAGAUGAUGUGAACAGCCUAAAGACGAAUAUGUUCUUGAAUGAUCCAGGAUGAGCAAACAAGAAAGGUCAGACUAAAAGACCUAAAAUCAAGCGCUAAUUGGGAGGCAACCCAAUAAGGGAAGUUGUUUUAAGUUUUUAUGGCAUUGAAUUUAGCUUUUAAAUUAUUUAAUUUGUCUUUUUAUUAUUUUAAGUAUGCAUUUAAUUUUUUAUGUCUUUAUGUUACAUUGCAGCAAGUAAACAAAAUGUGGGCAAAAAGAGCAGGAGGGAAUUGCUGCCGCAUCACUUACAGCAUGACAUAUAACAGAAGAUUCUCAAACAACAGAGGCAUUUCUUGCUUUUGCAGCAGCAAAUGGAUUGAUCAGAUUUUUAUGAUAAGGAGUGUUUGAGAAGUAUAUCAAAGAAAAAGUGACCCUUUACAGCCUAUGCUAUAGCAAUGCUUCCAGCAACAGGGGAGUACCAUUACCCACUAGUUUAUUUUACUUCUUUCUGUAAAACUUUUCUUUAAUUUAGUUUUAAUUUUCUAAUUCAUUCUGCAUGUCUUUUUAUUUAGUGUAUGCAUGUCUGGUUUAUGUGGUUUUGUUUUGUGUGCUUGUGAGGACACAACACCACUCAAGUUUGGGGGGGUUGUGUUUUUUAGUGCAUGUGCUUGUGUUGUGUGAAGCUCUGUUAUCUAAUAUUUGUGUAUGGAUUUGAAAACCUAAUGAAGAUAAAUUGAGUGUUAUUCAGUAUUUAUGAGAAAGCCAAGUAGAGAUAGUUAUAGAUAAAGGUUGAACUUCUGUCCCAACACUUAGACUUUGGUUGAGUUUUAUGAGAAUGCUGUAGUAGAACCAGGAAAAAAAAAGAGUAGAAAAUAUCUCAAGUUUGGGGGAAAAUUUUUGUUGGACUGUGCCUGUUAUGAAAUAAAUUCUGCUCCAAUGGUUUAAGUUGCUGAGUAACCAGGGUUGAGUAUGCACCCUAUAUGCAAACUUGAGUCCAAAGGCAACACGAGCUACGAGCAGUGCUGCAGCAAAAGCAAAAAAAAAAAAGAAGAAAAGCAAAAAAAAAUGAUGAUAAAGAGGUCCGCUACCUAGGAUACUGAGUAACCUGGUCUGUUCAUGAGUCCCAUGUUCAGCCUUGAGUCAAAGGUGUCCAAAGGUAUGACCUAGAUAUAACAUCCCAAAUGCGUUGCUGUAGCAACUCCGACAUGUACUUUGAAUGAGUAAUUGGGUGUCGUCAUUACAAGUGAUAGGCAUUCACAUGAAAGCUCAAUGUUGCAUUGAAAGGUUUAACUGGAAAAAACAAGUAUUAUUAUUGUAGCAUAGUUUGAGUUUAUUUGUGAAUUCUACUCCCCUAUAUGUGAAUAUCUUUGGUUCUAUCUAUGAAUUAUAUGUCUAUGUAAUGUUGUAGCACCUCUGGAAUUUGAUCAAAGUGGCACACACACACUCUGGACAGAAUAAAGCCUAAGUCUAGAACUAGAUUGCUAUGGCUAUUUUGCAUGAUUAAGAGUGUGAUCUGAGGGUGGAAGAAUCCUUGCAAAUCUGAUGACAGAGCUAAGUUAUUUGUUGCAUGAUUGUGUGAUUGAAGUGUUAGCAUUAUUGUCAUUACUUGAGGACAAGUAAGGGUUUAAGUUUAAGGGUGUGAUAACUCUAUGAAAUGAAAGUUAUCAUGGCACUUUUAGGCUUAAAUCAAUACUACUUAGAGAGUAAAUUAUGUGUUUCUAUUGCAUUUUUGUUACAUUUUGCAUAAAUAAUCAUUUUAGUCAGUCUUAAUAAGUUUUGCUCGAUUUAAAGUAAUUUGUGCUCAAAUUGUGUGAAUAAUUGUAGGUUUCUAGAAGCUUAUAAUUCAUGAAAGGAAUGCUAUGCAAUAGGCUUGCAAAAAUAAGGAAGAGCAUGGCUAUAAAAGAAUUGAAACAAAUUUGGAACAGUACAGUUGCUGUAGCAACCAUUACUAUAGCCAUUGCUAUAGCAAUCCUGGAACAACGACGGAGAAAAUUCCGCGCGGGAUACUUGCAGAAUUGCGAUCUGCAGUUUCCUAAUCUGACUUAUGCGCGCCCUGGGCUUCCGUUUACCCUAAUUUUUAACUAUAAAAGAAGCACACAUCAUAAGGAUUAAAGAGAGCCGUCACCCAAGGAGGAAAACAAAAAGAAAUAAAAGAAAAACAAGAUUCAAGAGAGAGAUUAAGGGCUGCACAAGAGGAGAAUUUGCAUAAAUCAAUUGGGAGCUCAAUCCUUCUUAUUCUUCUCUUAUUUUCUCAUUUUCUAUUUAUUUAUGGGGAUGUGUUUCAUGGCUGAAACUUUGUUCUUUAUUUUUCUUUUACAAACCAUGAACUAAAUUUAUUUGUGGUUGAGUGAUAAACAAUCUUGAUGGUUUAUUGACUGAAUAUAUGUGUUGCUGCAUGUUUGUUGUAGUAGUUUAUUUUUAUAGUAUUUAUUUUAUUCAUUAUUUCGGUUGAUCACCCAUUUAAUAAUACAAGUUAGGAGAGAGCAGCAAAAUGGCCUAUCUUAGUGGAACAUAUUAGAACAAUACUUGAUCUUAAAUUCAGUUUCCCGAAUUGAGUUUUACUUGAGUCCCAAAAGGGCCAUGCUUAAUUUAAUAUUAGUGAUGAAAUAGACAUAGGGAUUCACCUUGUAGGAUAAAUAGAACCUAAGCGUGUAAUGCUAUAUCUUAUGUUGGCAUAACAAUUGAUCACUGUUAGGUUGCAUAUAGAUAUAAGAUAUCCAACAUGCGACGGCUGAGGAUACAUAAGGAUUCUGCCCAGUGCUAUAGCAGAUGCUGCAGCAACCGAGCCAAACAUUAGAAAAAUAGUCAAUACCAUUAAGAGAGUUUAUUCACUCAACUACUAUAUACUCCCAUUAGUUUUAUCCUUGAGUUUGACGUGAUAAUUUACUUUAUUGCAUUUUAUUUAUUGUGUUUUUAUUUUAAUUAGUACAUUAGUUUCAGUAAUUGUUUAUUUUAUUUUAGCACAAAACCUGCACUGUUAAGAUUGCUAUAGCAAAUUUGAUAACAUCAAUCCCUGUGGAGACGAUCUUGAAUACUCAUCAUUUUAUUACUUGUUGUGUACACUUGCACAUUGACACCAAUAGCAUUAGUAUUUAUACACCAACAACUACUUCUUUCUUUGCCAAAAUAUCUCUUACAAAAUUGUAUUUAGUCUCAAUGUGUUUCGAUUUGGUAUGGUAUUUAGCAUUAUUAGAGAAAUGGAUAGUAGCUUGAUUGUCACAAUAGAUAGUCACUAGAUUAUCAUUGAUAAUAUUAGUCUCUAAGUUCUCUAUAAAUCUCUUAAGUCACAUAACUUUUUGCACUGUUGCAGAACAUGCAAUAUAUUCGGCUUCCACCGUUGAUAAAGUCGUGCAUGUUUGCUUCUUGCUACUCCAUGUAAUUGUUCCUCUAUUUAGCAGGAAUACAUAUUUUGAAGCUGAUUUACGCUAAUCCAGAUCACCACCCUAGUCGGUGUCUGAAUAUCCAACAAGCCGCAAACGACCUCCUUGAUAGCAUAAACAAUAAUUUGCAGUGCAUUUGAGAUAUGCUAAAAUCCUUUUAACAGUACUCCAAUGCUUCUGACCAGGAUUAGACUGGUAUCUACCUACUAGUCCUACAACAUAACUAAUAUCAGGCAUUGUACACAUUAUGACACACUUAAGACUUCCAAUGGCAUUUGCAAAAGGAACUCUAAUCAUUUUUUCUUUUUCUUGAGGAGUCUUGGGACACAUAUCGAGACUAAGAGAUUGUCCUUUAGCUAUAGGGGUAUCCUUGUGCUUACAAUCAGCCACAUUGAAUCUUUCAAUGAUCUUCUUAAUGUAAGACUCUUGUGACAGAGCCAUAAUUUUCCUUGAACGAUCCUUAAAAAUUUUGACCCAUAAGAUAUAAGUUGCUUCGCCGAUAUCUUUCUUGUCAAAAUUUGAAUGUAGCCAAUCUUUAAUAAUUUUCACAAACUCUUUACUAUUUGCUGCCAAUAAUAUAUCGUCCAUAUACAAAGUCAAUAUCGUAAAAGCGUCUUUAUGUCUCUUAAUGUACACACAAUGGUCUUCCUUAACCAUCCUAAAGCUAAGAAACUAUAGCUUGAUAGAAUUUAAGGUUCUAUUACAAGUGGGCAUAUUUUAACUAAACCUAUCCAAACCGAUCCCGACCAUUUGGAUCGGUUUCAUUAGUAAAAAAACUAGUUUUGGUUUAUUAGAUUGCAAACCGACAUCACUCGAUUUGGAUUUCAGCAAAUCGAUCCAAUCCAGAAAAUUUAAAAAGCUUUAAGACAUAUGAUGUGUCAAUUUAUUAUUGGAUUAUUAACAGAAGAAAUGUACACUUUCAUACACAAUAGCACACUUCUUAUUAUAAAAACAAAAACACAAAAACCUAAUUGUCCAACACUCACAGCUGCCUUCACCUCCAGUGCCUCCUAUCAUUCUCAACUCUCUCAAUCUCAAUCGCUCAUUCUCAAGUCUCAGAGUCAUAAUUUUAAAAAUCGAAACAAAAGGGCAUGUUUUGAUUUUAUUUUUCUUGCUACAAUUUUAUUUUAUUUUAGUCAAAAGUUAAAGUGGAUUUUGGUAUAAUUGAUGAUAAUUUAUUUGAUUAAUUGAUUCCAUAGCUAUUUUUUUUUUAAUCUUUAUUAAUUAAAGAAGCUCUCAACAUGGAAGAUAAUUCCAAUGUGAAUAAUAUCAUAGAAAAUGGAGAAAUAGUGAUGGAUGAUUUUCUAGAACCUAAAAGUAAGAAAUCUAGAACAUGGGGUGGUCGUCUUCAUGACAGUGAAAGGGGUUCAAAAGUUUGGCCUCAUUAUAUCAAAGAUUAAGUGAAUAGGACAUGUAAGUGCAAAUAUUGUGGGAAGUAGUAUAAGUGUGAUAGUAAGUUUAAUGAGACUUUUAAUUUGUGGACUCACUUAAGAGAACAAUGUGAAAAAUAUUGGGCUACUUUAGAUUAUGUGACUCAAGUUAAACUAGCUCGCUUCCGUGAUAAGAAAAAAAAGUCUAAUAUGGCAAGUGGUAGUGGCACUAGGAAUAUUGUGUAUGGUAUUGGGUUGGGGCUUGCUGGAAAGUUUGAUCAUGAGGAUUGUAGGAAGAAUGUGGCAAUAUAUUUUAUUCUUAAUGAGGUUUCAUUUAGGAAGGUAGAGUCUUAUGGGUUUCAUCUUUUGUGCGAUAAACUUUGUCCUAGAUUUGGCCCACCUUCUAGGGGAACACUUGUUAGAGAUAUAUAUCAACUGUAUUUAGUUGAGAAUGCAGCAUUAAAAAAUAUUUUUAUUGCAAAUAAGUAUAGAGUUUCUAUUACCACAAACAUUUGGACUUUCAUACAAAAUUUUAAUUAUAUGUUGUGACAACCCAUUGGGUUGAUCAUAAUUGGAAAUUGCAUAAGAAAAUUUUGAAUUUUUUUUCCAAAUAACAAGCCACAAAGGGGACUUAAUCGGCAACCUUAUUGAAAAAUGCUUACUUGAUUGAGGUAUAGAAAAAGUGAUGAUUGUUAUAGUUGAUAAUGUGAGUUCUAAUGAUGUUGCUAUCAAUUAUUUGAAAAAAAAAAUUGAAAAAUUGGAAGGGUGAUGCAAUGAUUUUAGAUGGAGAUUAUUCACAUUUGUGGUGUUGUGCCCAUAUUGUUAAUAUAAUUGUGAUUGAAGGGCUGAAAGAGAUGCAUGACUCAAUUUCUAGCAUUUGCAAUGCAAUUAUAUAUGUGAGGUCUUUUGGUUUGAGGUUGCAUGUUGUAGGUUUUCUAAUGCUAUUGAUGUCAAUGUGCAAGUGUACACAAUAAGUAAUAUAAUGAUGAGAAUUCAAGAUUGUCUCCAUAUGUUGUUAUAGGAAUUGCUACAGCAAUUUUAUUAGUACAAUUUUUUUCCUAAACAAGAAUUAAAACAAAUUAUUAAACUAAUGAAAUAAUAAAAAUAAAAACGCAAUAAGAAAAAUGCAAUAAAGUAAAAUACCACAGCAAAUACAAGGAUGUUCCCAAGGGGAAUGGAGUAGUUGAGCGAUUAAACUCACUUAAUGGUUUUGACUAUUUUUCUAAUGUUGGCUCGAUUGCUAUAGCAUUUGCUACAGCACUGGGCGGAAUCCUUAUGUAUCCUCAGCUGUCGCAUGUUGGAUAGCUUAUAUCUAAAUGCAACUUAACAGUGACCAAUUGUUAUGCUAACGUCAGAUAUAGCAUUACACAUUUUAAAUUCUAAUUACUCUACAAGAUGAAUCCCUAUAUCUAGUUCAUCACUAAUUUUAUAUUAAGCAUGACCCUUUUCAAAUCAAGUUAAACCCAACUCAGGAAACUCAAUCUAAAACCAAGUAUUGCUUUGAUAUGUUCCACUAAGACAAGUCUUUUUUAAGCUCUUUCUUAACUAGUAUCACUAAAUGGGUGGUCAACCGAAAUAGUAAAUUGAAAUAAGUAUUAUCAAAACAACGUGCUAUAGCAAAUAUGCAACAACACAGAAUAUUAGUCAAUUAACCAUCAAGUUUGUUCAUUACUCAACCACAAGUAAAUUUAGUUCAUAAUUUUUGAUAAAACAAGAAGUAAAAUAGUUUCAGCCAUCAAACAAUUCAUCAUAACGAGAUAGAAACAAGAGAACAAAAAAUAAGAGUGAGAUCCGCUUGAUGUUCUUCUCGAAUUCCUUAGUUGCAGCCCCCAAUUCUCUCUCUUGAUCUUUGUUUUUUCUUGUGUUGUUUAUCUAUUUUUCUUCUCCAAUGACGACUCCCUUUUCUUUGCGUGUGUGCUCCUUUUAUAGCUCAGAAUUAGGGCAACUGGAAGCCUAGGACGUGCAUCUUCUAAUUUAGAAAACUCCAGACUGCAAACUUCAAAGUAUCUCGCGCGAAAUCUUCUCUGUCAAUGCUCUAGAAUUGCUAUAACAACGAUGCUACAACAACAGUGCUACAACAAUGGCUUCAGCAUCUGCAUUGUUCCAGACUUGUUUCAAUUCUUCUCUAAUUAAGUUCUUUCCUUAUCUUUACAAGCCUAUUGCAACCGUAUUCCUUUCUUGAAAUUUGAGCUUUCGGUCACCUAUAAUUAUGCAUAUGAUUUAAGUACACAAUUUAUUCUGAAUCAAACAAAACUUAUUAAAAGUAAACUAAAAUGGAUGUUUAUCCAAAACAUUACUAAAAUGCAACAAAAAUAUGUCAUUUACUCUCUAAGUAAUCAUGAUUUAAGUCUCAAAGUGUCAUGAUAACUCUCAUUUCAUAGAGUUAUCAUUAUAAAUUUAAAUCAUGUGUUGAGAGAGAGAAAUUUGAAUAUAAAGGGCUUUUAGCAUAUGAUGUGCCCACUAGAUGGAAUUAUAUCUACACUAUGUUGUCCAGAGCUAUAAACUUUCAGAAAGCUUUUGAAAGUCUGGAAGAAGAGGAAUAUGAUGGACCAAAGCUUUUUUCAAUGAGAGGAAAGCAGAACAUAUCAGGCCACCCACAGCUGAAGAUUGGAAAAUGCUGCAAUAUUUAUCAAGUUUUUGAAAUUUGUGAAUAAUGUUACAAUUGAUUACAAUGCUUUAUUAUCUGUCAUGUCUAACUUGUAUUUUCAUCAUCUUUGCACCAUUCAAACCUAGUUGCAUUCAUUUAUUGAAAAAAAGGAGGUGCUUCUUAGUAAAAGGGCAGAAAAAAUGAAAAUAAAGUAUGAAAAGUAUUGGGGUUCUGUGGACACUAUAUAUCAGCUGUUUAUCAUUGUUGUGGUACUUGAUCUAAGGUAAAAAUCUGUUAUUUCAUUUGAUUUUUUAUUUUUUAUGAUAAAAUCAAUUGUGAUAAUUAUUUACUCCAAUUCAUUUCAUAUCUAAGGUACAAAUUGGAUUAUGUGUCAUUUUGCUUUGAAAAUUUGCAUAAUCCUGAGAAAGCGAAAGAAAUUACAUCAAACAUUAAGAAGCUACUUUUAAAGGUGUAUUCUUUGAAAUACUAACUAGGCAACCCAAGAGGGGGGUGAAUUGGGAUUUUAAAAAUUAAGCUAAGCAAACCACACAACAAUCUAAUCUAAUGCCUUAAUAAAUUCGAAAACAAUAAAUUCAAUGAAAGCACAAUAAUAAAUGAGCAAGGGAAGAGAAAGAAAACUCAAGGAUUUUUACGUGGUUCGGCAAUCCCCGCCUACGUCCACGCCUCCAAGCACACCGGGCUUGAGGAUUUCACUAUCCGAGUCUUUCCAAGGCUUCAAAUGUUUACAAUUGACUUCAAGGUGUCAAUGAACCUUUACAACAAAAUAUUAUCUCUCCAAUCUCUUCACCCCAAGUGUUUCUCACACUUGUACACUCACAAUUUGAUGAGAAAUGAAAAUUACAAUAAUGAAACUCUCUUUAAGAGUGGAUAUACAAAUUGAAGAACAAAGAUGAUUUAAUAAAUGAUGAUUUACGAAAUUGAAGCUCAAUAUAUGUUGUGUGCACUUGUUUUUGCUUGCCAAGAUUUCCAAAAUUGAAUUGGUUUUGAGUUUAUAUAGUUUGAACUCAAAAAACUAGCCGUUAUGCACAUUUUGGUCAUAACCGGCUUACCAUUUAGGAAUCCGGUAAGCCGCUUUUAUGUUACCGUUAAGGCAAAAAUUUGAAUUUCAAAAUAUCCGGUAAGCCGCAUUUCAUAUCCGGUAAGCCACUUUUGAAAUCCGGAUUGCCGCUUGCGAAAUCCGGAUAGCCGUUUAUGCUCCAGAAGCUUACUGCCCAAAAUCUGGAUUGCCGUUUACUAUAUCCGGUAAGGCACUUGCUACAAUGAUUGCUACAGUGAACUAUUUUUUAAAAUUACUGUUUGGCCCCAAAACUUUCCAUAAUUGUAUUAUGGCCUAAAACGUUAUGAAAAUUUGCAAAUAGGUUCAAUUUUAGAAUUUCUAAGCAAUGCUUUGUUAAUCUCAAAACUUUUUGAAAUUAUGGUAUAGCCUAAAAUGCUAUGACACUUUUCAAACAAGUCUUUCUCUAAAAUUUCAAACAAUACUUGUUGAUUUCAAAGUUUUCAAAACUCUUUCAAUUAAAUCAUAAACUUGAAAAACAACUAAUUUCAUAAAAUCAUUUUUUCAUGAAAUAUAAAACCUUUAUAGUGUAAAAAUAAUGAUUUAUUUAAAAUGUAUAAAAAAUAAUUUGAGCUUAAAAGAUUAAUCAUUCUUAAUCUUGUUUGUUAUCAUCAAAAUCAACAUUAUGAAAACAUAUAUGUUAACAUUCUUAAACUUUCAAAUUAGAUUCAGUUAUAACACUAGUUACUUUAUUUUUUUUCUGUAAAAUGUAUUCAUAUUUACUUAAAUUUAUUUUCAUAGCUAUAUAAAACCUAUUGUCUUGUAGAAUCUACUUCUGGUGAUGGUAGCCAAUCUACUAAUGAUGUUUUGGCAAUUGAUGUGGGUUUAAGAAGGAAAAGUGGCAAGGUCUAUGCAUUUAUUAAUACAAAGACUCAAUAUAAGCAGUUAAAAGUGCAGAAAGAUUCCAUUGAUUUGAAAAAUGAGGUAGAAAGGUAUUUGUUCUAACCUAGCGAGGAUGAAACUGAUGAUUGGUUUGAUGUUUUGGGUUAGUGGAUUGCAAAUAGUGCAAGGUUUGGGACUUUGUCACAAAUUGCAAAGGAUGUGUUAGCAAUUCCUGUAUCUACUGUGGCUUCUGAAUCUACUUUUAAUACUGGAGGUCGUGUAGUCUAUGCAUUUCGAAGUUCAUUAACCCCUACAAUGGUUGAGACUUUGAUAUAUAGUCAACAAUGGCUUAAAGCAUCUGGUAUGGAUGAAAAAUAUAUUAGGAAGUUUGAUGUAGAAGUAUUAGCAUCAUACUUUAGUGAUUUGGAAUUAUGUACGUCUGUGGAGCAAGGUACCUAUGUUUUACAUAUAGUAUAAUUAUAUUAUUUUCUAAGUUAAGCAAUCUAACCAAUCAUUUUGUCAUUUUAUGCAGAUUUUGACAAAUCAAAAGUAAUUGGGCCAUAAGUUUUGAUGGACAAGAUGCACGAUAUUUUGAUUGUCAAAUGUUGUUCAAGUUUAUUUUAAUUUUGUGAGUUUGUUUUGAAUGAACAGGUUGAGAACUUCUUUAUUAUGAUGUAUUCUGUUAUGAACUUGUAUGGAUGUAUCUUUGAAUUGUUAUGUAGAUAUGAAUAAUAUAAAAGAGAUAUCAAUUUAGAUUAUGGACACAAAAAAUAACAAAUAAUUUAGGUACAACAAUAUAAAAGAGGUGGGCUUUUAGCUAAUAAUCUCAAACCAAGAAAAAAACCAAUCCAGUCGGUUUGGUUUAAAAAAAUUUUCGGUCGAUAUCAGUUUAGAUCGGUUUGAUAAUUUGUCUCAAAUUGAUCCAAACCAAAUUUGCCUACCUCUCAGUUCCAUUAUCUAGAGAAAUGCAAUAUUUACAUCCAUCUGAUGUAAUUCAAGGUCUAGAUGUACAAUAAUGACCAAAAUUAAUUGUAUAGAAGCAAACCUUACCAUAGGAGAAAAGGUUUCUUUAUAGUUUAUUCCCUCCUUUUGGGUAUAGCCUUUAGCGACUAAUCUUACUUUGUAUCUCUCGAUUGUCCCAUCCACUUUACGUUUUAUAUGGAGAACCCAUUUAUUUCCGAUAGUUUUAUGAUUAGGCAGAAAUUCAAGCAAGUCCCAAACUUGAUUAACGUUCAUAGAUUCUAUCUCUUCUUCCAUUGUUUUCAUCUAUAAAUCCUUAGCAGACGAUGUGAGAGCUUUAUUAAAAGUAUUUGGCUCUUCACUAUCGUGUGAAGUAAUCAUAAAACGUCUCCCUCAAUCUCAAAAUGACGACAAGGAAUUGACUUACGACUACUCUUCUGAGUUGAUUCCCUAAUUCGAAUCGAAGUGUCCGAUGUUUCACUCCCACUCAGAGUAACAAUCCCCAGAGGAUUCGCACUAAUGCCAAUAUCAACAUUAGAAGUGAUAACCCCAUUUGGAUCUUCUAAUUCAUAAAAUUGAAAAUCCUUAUCCACUUCUUCAAUGCUAGAAAAUUCAUUUUCUAAAAAACUGACAUUUGUUGCAACUUUUUCUUGUAUUAUUAGUAUCAAUGUGCAAGUGUACACAAUAAGUAAUAUAAUGAUAAAUAUUCAAGAUCGUCUUCACAUGGAUUGAUGUUAUCAGAAUUGCUAAAACAAUCCUGAACAGUGCAACUUGUGUUCUAAAUUAAGACUAAAUAAUUAAUGAGACUAAAUAACUAAUUAAACUAUAAAAUGUAAUAACUAAAAAGGCAAUAAAUAAAAUUUUCAUGUCAAACACAAGAAUAAAGCCAAUGAGAAUAGAGUAGUUGAAGGAUUAAACUCUCUUAAUGGUUUUGACUGUUUCUUCUAAUCUUUGGCCUGGUUGCUACAACAUUUGUUACAGCACUGGGCAAAAUCAUAUUGUAUCCUCAACUGUCGCAUGUUGGAUGUCUUAUAUCCUUAUGCAACCUAAUAGUGACCAAUUGUUAUGGUAAUAUAAGAUAUAACAUUACACAUUUAGGUUCUAUUUACCCUACAAUGUGAAUUCGUAUGUCUAAUUCAUCACUAAUUUUGGAUUAGGCAUGGCCCUUUUGGAAUCAAGUAAAACUCAACUCAACUCAAGAAACCCAAUCUAAAACCAAGUAUUACUCUGAUAUGUUACAUUAAGAUAAGCCCUUUUGUAGCUCUUUCUUAGCUUGUAUCAUUAAAAUGAGUGGUCAGCCGAAAUAAUGAAUAUAAUUAAAUAUCAUCAAAAUAAAAUGCUAUAGCAAGCAUACAACAACACAUUUAUACAGUCAAUGGACCAUCAAGAUUAUUUAUCACUCAACCACAAAUAAAUUUAGUUUAUAAUUCGUAAAAGAAACAUGAACAAUAGAGUUUUGGUCAUCAAAUGCAUUCUCAUGAUUAAAGAAUAAACAAGAAAACAAGAGAAGACUAAGAAAGACUGAGUUCCCGAUUGAUUUCUGUAAAUUCUCCUCUGAUGCAGCCCUUAAUUUUGCUCUUGAAUUAUGUUUUUCUUUUAUUUCUUUUCGAUUUUUGUUCUUGGUUGACGGCCUCUCUCUUCCUUUGCAUGUGUGCUCUUUUUAUAGAUAAAAAUUAGGGCAACUGAAAGUCUAGGGUGUGUAUCUUCCAGAUUUGGAAACUCCAUAUCUCAAUCUUUUAAGUGCCUCACAUGAAAUCUUCUCUGUCAAUGCUCUAACAUUGCUACAACAAUGUCUGCAACAUCUGCAUUAUUCCAGACUUGUUUUAAUUCUUCUGCAGCCAUGUUCUUUCAUUCAUUUUGCAAGCUCAUUGCAACAACAUCUUUUCCUUGAAAUUCAAACUUCCAAUUACCCACACUUAUGUAUGUGAUUUAAGCACACGAUUAUUCAAACCCAAACAAAAUUUACUAGAAUUAAACUAAAAUGGCUGUUAAUGCAAAAUAUCAUUAAAAUGUAAUAAAAACACAUUAUUUACUCUCUAAGAAAUCUUGAUUUAAGUCUAAAAAUGCAAUGAUAACUUCAUUUCAUAAAGUUAUUAACAUCCCGUGAUUCCAGUUCAGUUAAAAAUCCACUUUCAUGUUCACCAAUGAACACAUAUUGUUUGGAGUGUUCUGAGUAUCUAAUAAAGAUACGCUUUUUACUUCUAGCUCCUAAUUUCCCAAACUUAUGAAUGGAGUUAUAAACAUAAGCUGCAGACCCCCAAGGUCACAAAUGAAAUAGGUCAGGUUUCCUAGCCGUCUAUAACUCAUAUGAGUAGAACUAACUGAUUUUGAAGGAACUAGGUUAAAUAUACAGGCAGCAGUUAACAAUGCAUCUCCCUAAUAUGAUAUUGGAAUAUUUGAGUGUGCCAUUAUUGACCUAACCAUUUCUAAAAAAGUUAUAUUCCUUCUUUCCGCCAUACCAUUUUGUUGCAGAGUUUCAAGAAUAGUCAACUGUCUAUUUAUUCAUUUCUCACUACACAGUUCCUUGAACUAUUUUGAAAGGUAUUCAUGUCAUCAGUCAGUCCUUAGAACUUUAACAUUAUUAUCUAUUUGAUUCUCUACCAUGUUUAGAUAUAAUCUAAAGCAAUCCAAUGCUUCUGAUUUAUAAGAAAUCAAGUAGACAUGACCGAAACUUGAAUAAUCAUCAAUGAAUGUUAUAAAAUAUGAGGCUCCAUGUUUAGCCCUUACAUUCAUUGUAUCACAGAUGUUAGAAUGGAUUAAUUGUAAUGAUUUUUCAACUCUAAUUCCUUUGUCAAAUGGUUUUCUAGUUGUUUUUUCAGCUAAACAAUUCUCACAUAUGGGCAAUUCAACCUUGGUAAGUAAACCCAAUAUGCCCUUUCUCGUAAGUCUAUUCAUUCUUUUUUGCCCUAUGUGACCUAAUCAAGCAUGCCAAGUAAUAACAUCUAUUUUAUUAUUACUUAAAGAAGUAGCAUAUGAAAAAUAAUUAUUAUCAUAACUUGAAUUAUCAGGUAUUGUAUCUAAUAUAAUAAAACCAUUAACGAAAUGCCAGUUCUAAUAAGGACUAAAUUUAAGAAAAUCUCCAAAAAAAAAUCAUAAAAGUUUAAAUUAUAUCCUAAUUCAAGAAGAACAAGAAUAGAAACCAAGUUUCAUCGAAUCUCUAGUGCAUAUAGGACAUCGUGUAAUAAAAGAAUACGUCCACCAUGCAAAGUCAAUUUGUAGGUGUCUAUUCCUUUUGCUUCAACCCUGGAGUUGUUGCCCACGUAUAUCCAUUUAGUCCCUUGACUAAUUUGGUGAUACUCUACAAACGCAUUUUGAUCACGAGCUAUAUAGUCUGUUGAUCCUGAGUCUACAGUCUACAUAGGACGAGAAUCAAUUAGGAGUACAUAACUCAUAACUAACACAAAAUUUAAUAAAGUGGAGUUGGGCUCAGUGCACUCGCGAGCAAAGUGAUCGGGCUCACUACAAUUAUAGUAUUUCAUCUUAGAUUUGUCAUUUUUCUUGUUAGUGCGUCUACCCCUUGGGCGCUUCUUAGCAUCUGAAUUCCUCUUAUUAGGAUCAGAUUUCUUACCCUUCUGGUUAUAAUUAUGACCCUUUUGUACUUGAAGCUUGAAGCUUUGUGCGAAUUUGAUUCGGUCAUAUAAACACGAUCAAAAAGCUUAGUUGCCUCAAGGCGCUUUACUUCUAAUUCUAGGUGAUGUUCUAUGUCAUUGAAAGUUCUAAUACUUUCAUUAUGAGUCAUAUUCACCAUCAUGUGCAGCCAAGAAUCAGGUAGAGAUCUUAUUACUUCCUGGACUUGUUGUUCAUCAGUCAAAAUAUGUCCAGCAGCCUUAAGUUCGCAAAUCAUGUUUGACCUCUCCCUCAGCUGCUGCCUCAUAAUAUGAUUUUGGCAAUUCCGAGAAGAAUCAAACUUGAUCAUAAGCCUUGCAAUUUAGUAGUCGAAGUGCCACUGAACUUAUCUUUUAGAGCGAGCCACAUCUGUUGAGCAGUCUCUUAUAGCCUCUUCUACUAUAGUAGCGGAGUUCAUAGCAUGUAACGAGACAUCCAAUCACAGAAUAUGGCUAAGGAAUUACGUCACAGAGUUACACAUUUUAGAUGUUAUUGAUAGACCACUUAAGUUAUUAUGUGACAAUAAGUUAGCAGUGCUAUAUUCCAAUAACAAUAGGAGCUCGACGAAGUCACAGUAUAUAAACAUCAAGUUCCUAGUUGUUAAAUAAAGAAUUCAGAGUGGAAAAUUGUCUAUAAAGCAUAAUGGUACAAAAUUCAUGAUCACGGAUUCGCUUACUAAGGGAAUACCAUCUAAAAUUUUUCAUAAGUACACCGUUCAUAUAAGUGUCGUGUCAUUAAAGGAUAUUCAUUUUUAAUGGGAUUUUGUAAAUUUCAAAUGUUCUUAUGAUAUAAACAUUUUUCGGUUUAGGGAUAUUUAAGGUUAUUUUCUGCAGAAAUAAAGUUUUGGUUUAUUCAUUCACACUAAUUUUUAUAUGAUUUGAUCUCACUAAAGUUUAAGGCGGAUCAAUUGGAAAUAGGCAUGUUAAGAUCACAUUACAUGAAAUUUCCAUCCUACACGCCCAUAUCAUGAUCUAUGUCAUUCAGUUAUAUUGGCAUAGUGAGCAUUGAUGGGUCAAGUUACGAUAGUUGUAACAAAGGUCGUUUUGAUCCUUUGUUGAUAUGAUUGAUGGACCGAAUUGACUAUAGAUACAGUUUAGUAAUGACAGUAAAGUUGAGCUCAUAUGGUUAUUUUUGCAAAGUAUAAUUAUAAGGUUACAUAUAUAGCCCAAGUGAAAGGUUGUUGGAUCUUUAAUCUAGCAUUGUUAGAUCCUUGAUCCAAUGUUGGGUUUAUAUGUGAAUAAUUAUAUGUUGUGAACUAUUAUAUAAGAUUAAGACAAAUUAAAAAUGAUCUAUUAAGGUUUUCGAUAAUUUGGGCUUUAAUGUAUCUAAUCAAUUGUGGGCCUUUAAUGUACAGAGACUUAAGACUAAUUUCUAUUUCCAUGAUGGGUUGGAAUAAGAAUACAUAAAGACAAAAGAAAAAUUUGUUUAUAUAAAUAGUUAUUGUCCGUAGGUCACACGUAUCGUUCUAUUCUCUGUUGACAUCUUAUCAUUAGAGAGAGUGCACAGAGAAGUUUAAAGGAUUCUCUAGGAGAAUCUGUUAAUUUGGAAGACAAACUACUAGACUCUAGAGACAAAUUGUGCAUUAUACUAGUCUUGAACAUGUUCAAUUCUCAAGGCAUCCAGAGGAGAUUUGCCCCUAAGCUUGCGAGCACACAAGUUCCUGAAGUAUUCUUCAACUGUCACUCUUUUAAACAAUAGAGGAUUAUUUUCAGAGACCAAAUUGGACGUAGGGUACAUUUCACCAUCAUAUAUCACUAAGUAAACUGUGCCAAUGGAAAGUCUUCCUUGUAUAGAGUUUACAAUUACACGAUGCUCAAUGCUACGGUAUGUCCCAUUGGUUACAAUCUGCCAUGUAAAAAUUAUUAAAGCACAUGAGCAGGCUCAUAUAAAUGCCAAGUUAAGUAUUUUACUAUAAUUAUUACCUCCAGUGUGUCUCCAAUGUCGACAAUGAAAGCAUUAGGGAGUGGAGCAACAGGAAUUAAUGAAAGCACACAUUAGCUAGCUCAUAUGAAUGUCAAGUUAAAAUAACUUAUCAUAAUAAUUACCUCCAACACGACUCCAAUGUUGACAACGAAAGCAUUUGGAAAAGGUGUAACAGGAAUCCACUUUCCAUCCUUCUUGAUCUGGAGACCUUCUACUUCAUUGAUUUCCAGCAGAAUGGUAAGAACAGAGUCAUCUGAAUGAGUUGUGAGGCCCACAACCUUCUCCGGCUGAGGACAUGGAGGGUAAUAGUUCAUCCCCAUUGAUUGGAAACCAUUUUCAAAGUAUUCUCUCAAUUCUUCAUCUUUGAUAUUUAGAACUUUUCCCAUUUUCAAUACCAGGUUCAUGGCCAGAGAUUUUUAACUCCACUGAAUAAAUUCCAAGAUUUCCUACAAGAAAAAAGAAGAUGCAAUUAAAAGGUUUAGUACAUGAUUGUGGUGGAUUGUUAAACAAGUUAUUAUUUAACAGUAUUCUUUCAUGUUUGGUUGUCAAAUUUUACUAAAUAUAACUGACUUGGGAUCUUUCUCUGAACAUAAUACAUUUGCAAUCAUCAAAUAACUGACUAGAGAGAGAAAAAGAGAAACCUGAGGGGUAAAGAGGGAGCUUAGGAAACAAGUGGGGUUUCCUCAGAUGAAUUGGAAGAGUUGUCAUGAAGAAAAUGUCAAUCCAAUCAACCUUUUGUUCCUCGGAUAUAACACAUGCUUGUCCAAAUCCUUCCAUAUUUGUUAGAUUUCAAUAAACUAAUAGAAUCACAUUUGCAUUAUACUCCAUCAUAAAUUUGCUUAUAGUUCUUCUCAAGCUAUCGUAAGCCUAGACAUCUGAAAGAUAUUAAAGACAAUUUAAUUUUCAAGAAUGCAGGUUUGUCUUCUCAGCUAUACAAGAAAGCAAGUUAGAUGGUCCAUAAUCGGACAAGGUCAGUUACAUCCCUCAAUUUUCAAAAAAAAAAAAAAAAAGGAGUGCUUAAACCGGCUUGGUUAAGACUAUCUAGACUCAAAUUUUGUUACAGCUUUCUUAUUGCUAACUUACAGAGUAAGAAAGCAUUGAUACAGAGUAGGCCAAAUUUGUGGCCUACUUGACCUAUAAGAAUGAAACACAAUCUAAUCUGAAUUUGAUCGACUGUACUUUUUGAUUGAGAGUAUAUAGAUUUCUUAAUUCUUGACGCCAGACUACUAUUAAUAAACCAAGCAUGUCCAAAUGAAAAAAUACAAACUUGGGUGCCUCACGACAGGUGUAGCUUAGCUGGUUGUGAAUGUAAUUCGCAAUUUGCAGAUAUCUGCGCUCGAGUAACAAUAUGGGACAAACGGUGGUAUUUACUAGAUGAGGUCUCAUCCCAAGCAAAUCCUUUAAAAGCAAAAUAAUAAUAACUUGGCAAAGGAGUUUACCUAGAAAGAAGCCCAUUCUUUGCAAGCGAAGUGGAGCCUGGACAACUCAGAAUCCAUUGACUCUUCAGAAAACAAGCUCUGCAAUACCCGUGAAUCCAAAUUAUUAUCAGAAAUUGUGGUUAAAUCUUGGCCUGGUCGUAUGUAUCUGGGAGGGAUAGCUAACAUAGGGUUCUUGGCCAACUCUUGAACACAAGGCACAGGCAGAGAACCUCCGAACUUGGCCUUCUUUUUGUUCCACAAAUUCUCUCAACAAUAAUGCUCCAGAGUUUUAUUGACAAAGCAAAUGUUGAAAAUGUAUUAUUUUCAACAAGUCAUUAUUUGCUGUGGCCUUGUGUGAGACUAAUCCACCAUUGCGGGUCUAGGGUUGGCCCAUAGAUAUUUUGUGAAUAUGACAGUUGCAGUCUGCUGUUGUGUUGCUGUCUGCUGCGAAUUAUAAAAAAGAUAGUGCAUUGCCUUCACAAACUCUUAAGAAUUUGGAUACCAUGCUAAUUUCUUUUACAUGGUCUGAUGACAACCAAUCAAAAUCUUGUAUUUUUCUCAGCAUAAUAGCUGAUCAUCAACCGUAGUUCCAAGUUCAACUUUGAGAGAGACGAUCUGAAUAUGAAAUCCAAAGUUAUAGCUUUGCAGCUUGUGUAACUAACAUCUAUUUUCAGCUAUUGAUGGCAAAAUUUUUCGUUAGUGGUAACAAGUUAUGUAUUCGUCACAAUGUGUGUUAUGGAAUGGAAUAUUUAAGACGUGGAAGGACAACAUUGUUGUUAAAAAUCAAAAACUUGUUACUAUUAACUGAAAACUAUAACGGCUGAUACAGAAACUACACUGGUUCUGUGGUAAUAUUAUCUGUAUGUAUCAUAAAAAUUUGGAAACCAAGUCAUAUAGUCCUUGAAAUCUCAUUAAAAACAAGUCAGGUAUGCAAAAAUUCUAUUUCAAAAAAGAAAGAUACUGAUCUGAUAUAAGCACCACCAUAUAUCAUCGGAAGAUUCCAGGCAUAAGUCUGCAAUUCUUAAGAUUCUUACAUGGUCUAUUCAGUAUCUCAAAUGAUAGAGCUACACAACGAUCCCAGCAUAGCAGGUUAUACCACAGUAUUCAUAGAACUUAUUUCUUAUUUUCAGUUCCACACACAAUCUCAAUAGCAAGGUCCUUCAGAGUUUUUGUACCAAACUCUUUAGUUAUCCGAAAUAAACUUAUACUAGCCUUGACCAUGUUGAAUUCUCAGGGAAUCCAGCUGAGAUUUUCCCCUAAGCUCACGAGCAUACCGGCUCCUAAAGUAUUCUUCAAUUCUCACUCUUCUAAACAAAGGAGGAGUUUUUUCAGAGAUCAAACUGGAGGCAGGAUAUACUUCACCAUCAUAUCUCACUGAGUAAACUGUGGCAACGGAAAGUCUUUCCUGUACAGAGUUUACAACUGCACGAUGCUCAAUGCUACGGUAUGUCCCAUUGGUUAUAAUCUGCCAUGUAAAAAUUAGUAAAGCACAUAAGCAAGCGCAUAAAAAUGCCAGGUUAAGGUAAUUUAUUAUAAUUAUUACCUCCAAUGUGUCUCCAAUGUUGACAAUGAAAGCAUCCGGGAGUGGGGUAACAGGAAUCCACUUUCCAUCCUUCUUUACCUGGAGACCCUCCACUUCAUUAAGUUGUAGCAGAAUGGUAAGUGCAGCCGCAUCAGAAUGCGGCGACAGGCCCAUAACCUUCUCGGGCUGAGGACAUGGAGGGUAAUAAUUCAUCCUCAUUCCUUGCAGUCCAUUUUCAAAGAAUUCUCUCAUUUCUUCAUCUUUGAUAUUUAACACUUCUCCCAUUUUCGAUAUUAGGUUCUCGGCUAGGGUUUUUAAUUCCAUUGAGUAAACUUCCAAGGUCUCUCUACAGGAAAAGAAGAUGCACCAUCCUUUAUUUGUUUGCAAAUCAAAAUGACAUUGACAUAGAGAGAGAGAGAGAGAGAGAGAGAGAGAGAGAACCUGAGGGAAGGAGGGAGCUUAGGAAAUAAAUGUGGUUUCCUCAGAUGAACUGGAAGAGUCAUCAUGGAGAAAAGGUCAGCCCAAUCAAGCUUUUGUUCCUCAGAUACAACAAAGGCUUGUCCAAAUCCUUCCAUAUCUCCUGGACGCUGCCAAUAUUUUUUCUUUUCUUCCAUGCUGAGAUUGAAGAAUCCCUCAACCUCUUUCUUUAAUUUCUCUAGAAAUGCUGUGCUCAUUCCAUGAUUUACCAGCUGAAAAAAAUACAGGAACGAAAUGUGGCAAAGAUUUAAUAAUCGUGCCACUAAGCUCACAAUAGUCCAGGUGUUUUAUUAAGACAGAUUGCAACUUAUCUGACUGAUUUAGAGAUAAGAUUUACAAUCAAAGAUGGCUAAAAGCAUUUGUUACAUUUAAAUCUUCUCAACAAUUAGUUUCCACAGGUGUUUUCUAUUCAUUCUAUCGGAGAAAUUUCGGUUAUUCUAGAAUAACUAUAAUGAGCAUAAAGUUCUUGUGGUUUGUUCACACCUAGAAUUUGAAAAAUCAUACAACAGCAAAUAAUCUCAAUGUUACUUCUAAUUGUCUUUAAAUUAAAGUAAAUUUGCAACAUUGACUACAGAAAUGAGUACAUUUUCUAAGAGGUCUUACACAAUUUACGAUAGUAUAUCUUUUAAAAUUUUGACAGAAGCAUAUUUCUCAUAAGGUACCAAAAGCUAUUGAGGCAGAGGAGGUGAAAUUUCUCAAGACCGUCUUUUUAAUACAUAUUGCGUGUUUGACAUUUAGGAAUGAAAUAGCUAAUUAACCCAUGUCUGGAGGGGGAAAGGUAAAGCAGUAUAGAAAGUCAAUAAUAAAUAAACCAGAGACAAGUUUUUCUUUUCACAAGCUGCAGUCCUAAGCCACAGACAACACCGGAAAGUGAAACCAUGAUCUGCUAACAUCAAUGAUACGUGGGUUUAAGAAAUAAAUAUGAAUUUUAAUUUUGCCUAUUUGAUUGAGAAUUUGCAUAUUUCUCGAUUCUUGAUCACAAACAAGCAUGUUCUGGCGAAACAAUUUUCUAACUUUGCUAAAGCAUUAUACCUGGAAAAAACCCCAUUCUUUGCAUACGAAGUCGAGCUUGGCUAACUCAGAAUCCAUUGAUUCUUCAGAAUGUAAGCUUUGCAUGUCAAUAACUGGUAUCUGUGAAAUCAAAGUAUCAUCAGAAAUGAGGGGUGAAUCUUGAUCUGGACGUAUGUAUCUGUCGGGGACAACUAACGCCGGAUUCUUGACCAACUCUUGAACACAAGGCACAAGGAGAGAACUUCCAAUCUGGGCCAUCUUUUGUUCCUCAAAUCCUUUCAAGAUUGCUGCAGCUUUGUAUUGAAUUUGGAACAAGACUGAGUGCCGACAAUCACAAAAGUAAAAAAGAAUCUUUUUCCAAGAAAUUAAUCAGCAUCCUCCACCUAACCAUUCAUGAAGUAUUUUUAAUUUUUUGCACAUGUUUAGAAUGCAUAAUAAAAUAUUCGCAGGUCAAAACUAUCCUCUAUUGAUAAGGAUAACAAAUCAUCAGCCAAUUAAUUAUUUGUGGUGCCCACCUUGUCAUCAACCCAAAAGGUGAAGGUAUUUUCAAUACUGCGUUUUGUUGUCUUUUUCCCUUUUUUUUUUUUUUUGCACAACUUGGUAUUGGUCUCGGAGCAUUGCAACAGUUUAAAAUGUAUUAUUUUGAGCUUGUCAGCAUUUGCUCUUGACUUGUGAGAGUAAUCCACCAUUGCGUGUCUGCAGUUAAAAGGACUUUGGUGGUUCUCGAGUAUUACUUUUUAUCUAUUCAAAUCUUGAUAUAUGGGUGAACAUAUUAUCAUAAUUGAUUAAAACAUAUAUAUGAUUACCUAAAUUUUUUUCUAACACGCUGCAAUCUGGUGCUGUGUUGGAAUUGACUGUGCACUAUUAAGAAAAUAGUGGAUUCGAAUUGUAAUCGAUUAGUCAUUUAUGCAAUUAUAGCUGUUUAUAUUUAGGCAUUAAUUAUCUUUAUAUUUUUUUCUGAUAACAACCAAUUAAAACCUCAUAUUUUGCUUGUGAAUCCAAGUUCCACUUAUGAAAGUAACAUCUGUCUCAUUUUUAGUUAUUGAUAAUUAUUAUUACUAUUAUUAUUAUUUAUUAUUAUUAUUAUUGGUAACAAGUUACAACUUAUGUACUCAUGCAAUGUGUGCUAUGGAGAACAAUGUUGCUACAAGCAAUACAAAAUUUGUUACAAUUUAUUGCCUUGAAUAUUUUCGGUAAAAACUACUUAUUUUAACUACAUUCAUGCUACUGGGGAAGGUUGUAAAACACAUUAUCACAACAAUCUGCUUAAUGUGACGGUUUUUGCAACCGGUUUACAGUUGGUCCAUCUUUACAGUUGCAAAAAAAAAAAACUGGGAGCAACCGGUUGCCCCUUGAAUAAAUUAAAUAAUAAUAUUUAAUUAAAAAAAUAAAAUAUUCAUUAUUUUAAUAUUAAAGAACAAGACAAAAAAAAUAAUAUUUAUAAUAAUAAAAAAAAAGUUUUAAGUUUAAUGGUAUAAAUAUCAAGUUAAUAGUUCUGAUUUCAUGUUUAUUGGUCCAUUAAUUUCAUUAUUUUCAUGGUUGCGAGUUAAUGAUCUCACGUUUCAUGUUUAUUGCCCUAAGUUUCAAUUUCCUUCAGUUUCACGUUUAAUGGUCAAGGUAUUAACUUAAUGGUCACAGCUUCAUGUUCAUUGGUCCAUUAAUUUAACAAUUUUCAUGGUUACAAGUUAAUAAUAACAUAUUGCAUAUUUAUUGUCCUAUGUUUCAUGUUCCUUCAGUUUCCUUCAGUUUCACGUUUAAUGUUCCUUCAGUUAAUGGUCUUGAUUUCAUGUUUAUUGGUCCAUUAAUUUCAUUAUUUUCAUGGUUGCGAGUUAAUGAUCUCACGUUUCAUGUUUAUUGCCUUAAGUUUCAAUUUCCUUCAGUUUCACGUUUAAUGGUCAAGGUAUCAACUUAAUGGUCACGAUUUCAUGUUCAUUGGUCCAUUAAUUUAAUGAUUUUCAUGAUUGCAAGUUAAUGAUAACAUAUUGCAUGUUUAUUGCCCUCUGUUUCAUGUUCCUUUGGUAACAUGUUUAAUGGUUCGGGUAUCAAGUUAAUGGUUAUGCUUUCAUGUUUAUUGAUCCAUUAAUUAAAUAAUUUUAAUGGUUGCAAGUUAAUGAUCUCAUAUUUCAGGUUUAUUGCCUUAAGUUUCAAGUUCACUGGUUUCAAGUUUAUUGGUUUUGGUAUCACGUUAAUGGUCAUGAUUUCAUGUUUAUUGGUCCAUUAAUUAUAUAAUUUUUCAGGUUGCAAGUUAAUGAUUCGAUAUUUCAUGUUCAUUGCCCUAAGUUUCAAGUUCAUUAAUUAAAUAAUUUUAAUGGUUGCAAGUUAAUGAUCUCAUAUUUCAGGUUUAUUGCCCUAAGUUUCAAGUUCACUGGUUUCAAGUUUAUUGGUUUUGGUAUCACGUUAAUGAUCAUGAUUUCAUGUUUAUUGGUCCAUUAAUUAUAUAAUUUUUUAUGUUGCAAGUUAAUGAUUCGAUAUUUCAUGUUCAUUGCCCUAAGUUUCAAGUUCAUUGCCCUAACAUUCAAGUUCAUUAAUUUAAACAGUUUUAAGAUUGCAAGUUAAUGAUCUCAUAUUUUAGGUUUACUGCCUUAAGUUUCAAGUUUACUGGUUUCAAGUUUCACGUUAAUGGUCAUGAUUUCAUGUUCAUUGGUCCAUUAAUUAUAUAAUUUUUUAGGUUGCAAGUUAAUGAUCAUAUGUUUCAUGUUUAUUGCCCUAAGUUUCAAGUUCAUUAAUUUAAUAUUUUAAUGGUUGCAAGUUAAUGAUCUCAUAUUUCAGGUUUAUUGCCCUAAGUUUCAAGUUCACUGGUUUCAAGUUUAUUGGUUUAGAUAUCACGUUAAUGGUCAUGAUUUCAUGUUCAUUGGUCCAUUAAUUAUAUAAUUUUUUAGGUUGCAAGUUAAUGAUUACAUGUUUCAUGUUCAUUACCCUAAGUUUCAAGUUCAUUAAUUUAAUCAUUUUAAUGGUUGCAAGUUAAUGAUCUCAUAUUUCAAGUUUAUUGCCUUAAGUUUCAAGUUCACUGGUUUCAAGUUUAUUGGUUUUGGUAUCACGUUAAUGGUCAUGAUUUCAUGUUUAUUGGUCCAUUAAUUAUAUAAUUUUUCAGGUUGCAAGUUAAUGAUUCGAUAUUUCAUGUUCAUUGCCCUAAGUUUCAAGUUCAUUAAUUAAAUAAUUUUAAUGGUUGCAAGUUAAUGAUCUCAUAUUUCAGGUUUAUUGCCCUAAGUUUCAAGUUCACUGGUUUCAAGUUUAUUGGUUUUGGUAUCACGUUAAUGAUCAUGAUUUCAUGUUUAUUGGUCCAUUAAUUAUAUAAUUUUUUAUGUUGCAAGUUAAUGAUUCGAUAUUUCAUGUUCAUUGCCCUAAGUUUCAAGUUCAUUGCCCUAAGUUUCAAGUUCAUUAAUUUAAUCAUUUUUAUGAUUGCAAGUUAAUGAUCUCAUAUUUUAGGUUUAUUGCCUUAAGUUUCAAGUUUACUGGUUUCAAGUUUCACGUUAAUGGUCAUGAUUUCAUGUUCAUUGGUCCAUUAAUUAUAUAAUUUUUUAGGUUGCAAGUUAAUGAUCAUAUGUUUCAUGUUUAUUGCCCUAAGUUUCAAGUUCAUUAAUUUAAUAUUUUAAUGGUUGCAAGUUAAUGAUCUCAUAUUUCAGGUUUGUUGCCCUAAGUUUCAAGUUCACUGGUUUCAAGUUUAUUGGUUUAGAUAUCACGUUAAUGGUCAUGAUUUCAUGUUCAUUGGUCCAUUAAUUAUAUAAUUUUUUAGGUUGCAAGUUAAUGAUUACAUGUUUCAUGUUCAUUACCCUAAGUUUCAAGUUCAUUAAUUUAAUCAUUUUUAUGGUUGCAUGUUAAUGAUCUCAUAUUUCAGGUUUAUUGCCUUAAGUUUCAAGUUCACUGGUUUCAAGUUUAUUGGUUUAGAUAUCACGUUAAUGGUCAUGAUUUCAUGUUCAUUGGUCCAUUAAUUAUAUAAUUUUUUAGGUUGCAAGUUAAUGAUCAUAUGUUUCAUGUUCAUUACCCUAAGUUUCAAGUUCAUUAAUUUAAUAAUUUUAAUGGUUGCAAGUUAAUGAUCUCAUAUUUCAGGUUUAUUGCCCUAAGUUUCAAGUUCACUGGUUUCAAGUUUAUUGGUUUUGGUAUCACGUUAAUGAUCAUGAUUUCAUGUUUAUUGGUCCAUUAAUUAUAUAAUUUUUUAUGUUGCAAGUUAAUGAUUCGAUAUUUCAUGUUCAUUGCCCUAAGUUUCAAGUUCAUUGCCCUAAGUUUCAAGUUCAUUAAUUUAAUCAUUUUUAUGAUUGCAAGUUAAUGAUCUCAUAUUUUAGGUUUAUUGCCUUAAGUUUCAAGUUUACUGGUUUCAAGUUUCACGUUAAUGGUCAUGAUUUCAUGUUCAUUGGUCCAUUAAUUAUAUAAUUUUUUAGGUUGCAAGUUAAUGAUCAUAUGUUUCAUGUUCAUUACCCUAAGUUUCAAGUUCAUUAAUUUAAUAAUUUUAAUGGUUGCAAGUUAAUGAUCUCAUAUUUCAGGUUUAUUGCCCUAAGUUUCAAGUUCACUGGUUUCAAGUUUAUUGCUUUUGGUAUCACGUUAAUGAUCAUGAUUUCAUGUUUAUUGGUCCAUUAAUUAUAUAAUUUUUUAUGUUGCAAGUUAAUGAUUCGAUAUUUCAUGUUCAUUGCCCUAAGUUUCAAGUUCAUUGCCCUAAGUUUCAAGUUCAUUAAUUUAAUCAUUUUUAUGGUUGCAAGUUAAUGAUCUCAUAUUUUAGGUUUAUUGCCUUAAGUUUCAAGUUUACUGGUUUCAAGUUUAUUGGUUUAAAUAUCACGUUAAUGGUCAUGAUUUCAUGUUCAUUGGUCCAUUAAUUAUAUAAUUUUUUAGGUUGCAAGUUAAUGAUCAUAUGUUUCAUGUUUAUUGCCCUAAGUUUCAAGUUCAUUAAUUUAAUAUUUUAAUGGUUGCAAGUUAAUGAUCUCAUAUUUCAGGUUUGUUGCCCUAAGUUUCAAGUUCACUGGUUUCAAGUUUAUUGGUUUAGAUAUCACGUUAAUGGUCAUGAUUUCAUGUUCAUUGGUCCAUUAAUUAUAUAAUUUUUUAGGUUGCAAGUUAAUGAUUACAUGUUUCAUGUUCAUUACCCUAAGUUUCAAGUUCAUUAAUUUAAUCAUUUUUAUGGUUGCAUGUUAAUGAUCUCAUAUUUCAGGUUUAUUGCCUUAAGUUUCAAGUUCACUGGUUUCAAGUUUAUUGGUUUAGAUAUCACGUUAAUGGUCAUGAUUUCAUGUUCAUUGGUCCAUUAAUUAUAUAAUUUUUUAGGUUGCAAGUUAAUGAUCAUAUGUUUCAUGUUCAUUACCCUAAGUUUCAAGUUCAUUAAUUUAAUAAUUUUAAUGGUUGCAAGUUAAUGAUCUCAUAUUUCAGGUUUAUUGUCUUAAGUUUCAAGUUCACUGGUUUCAAGUUUAUUAGUUUAAAUAUCACGUUAAUGGUCAUGAUUUCAUGUUCAUUGGUCCAUUAAUUAGAUAAGUUUUUAGGUUGCAAGUUAAUGAUCAUAUGUUUCAUGUUUAUUGCCCUAAGUUUCAAGUUCAUUAAUUUAAUAAUUUUUAUGGUUGCAAGUUAAUGAUAUCAUAUUUUAGGUCAAUUGCCUUAAGUUUCAAGUUCACUGGUUUCAAGUUCAUUGGUUUAGAUAUCACGUUAAUGGUCAUGAUUUCAUGUUUAUUCGUCCAUUAAUUAUGUAAUUUUUUAGGUUGCAAGUUAAUGAUCACAUGUUUCAUGUUGAUUGCCAUAAGUUUUAAGUUCAUUAAUUUAAUAAUUUUUAUAGUUGCAAGUUAAUGAUCUCAUAUUUCAGGUCUAUUGCCUUAAGUUUCAAGUUCACUAGUUUCACGUUUAUUGGUUUAUGUAUCACGUUAAUGGUCAUGAUUUCAUGUUUAUUAGUCCAUUAAUUAUAUAAUUUUUUAGGUUGCAAGUUAAUGAUCACAUGUUUUAUGUUCAUUGCCCUAAGUUUCAGGUUCCUUCUGUUUCAAGUUUAAUGGUCCCGGUAUCAAGUUAAUGGUGCUGAUCUCAUGUUUAUUGGUCCAAUAACUGUAUGAUUUCCAUAGUGCAAGUUAAUGAUCGCAUGUUCGAAGUUAAUGAUUUAAUGUUCAUUUAGUUUCCUUUGCUUCCGCUGAAUAACAAAUAUUGUGUUUUAGGUUAAGAUAAACUGAUUAAAUAGCAUGCAAAAUGGUUUGAAAUCAAUGUGCGUAAUUAAUUAUGCCAGCUGUUGCAGCUACUAAUGGCCCUACUGAUAAUGCUUAUUUUGGGGAUUUCAGUUGCUGCUGCUGUUGGCAUAAGCAGCCAGCAACUGCAGUUGCAGCUGAACCAGCCACAGCAGCAGCCACCAGCAAUAGCAGCAGCCACUAGCUGCAGAACCAGCAACAGCAGUAGCCACCAGUUGGUACUUAUGCAGGCACCAGCUACUACAAAAGCAGCGAGCAGCUGUUGUUGCUUAUGCAGCAGCAACAAUAACAACACCAGUAGGAAUGCUAUUGCUUGUAGCUGCUAGCAGCUGCUGCUUAUGCAGCAACAGGUGCCUGCAGAACCAGCAACAGCAGCAACUACCAAUUGCUGCUUUUGCAGGCACCAGCUGCAGUAACAACACCAGCAGCAGCUGCUUCUGCAUCUAGCUGCCAGCAGCUGCUUCUGCAUCUAGCUGCCAGCAGCUGCUGCUGCAACAGGCAGCUGCAGAACCAGCAACAGCAGCAGCUGGUACCUGUUGUUUUUGCAAGCACCAGCUACUGUUGCUGCAUAAGCAGUAGCUGCUGCAUCUAGGGAUGGCAAUGGGCACCGCCCGCAGCGGGUUUGCCAUUACCAAACCCAAACCCGCACAAAAUUUAAAUUACCAAACCCACCCGCAACCCGCAGCGGGUUUUAAAUUUUUUUAAAAAACCCACCCGCAGCGGGUUUUAACAAUUACCAAACCCGCAAUGGUAUCCGACGGAUUUUUUGCGGGUUUCCGUAUUUAAAAUCACAAAUAUUUAAUAUAUAAAUUUAUAAUAAUAACCUCAAGUUCCAUAUAACAUAUUCAAUUUUAUAUUUAAACAGUGUAAAUGAAAAAUUAAAAUUUCCACAUCAAUUCAACACAAAUUCUCAAAUUUAAGUAUAAAUUAUACAAAUCUAUUUAAAAAACACAAACUAAUAUCUAAAAAUAAUAAUUACAUUUCAUAUUAUCAUUUAAAACAAGAUCAAAGAGAAUAUAUUUAUUUUAUUCACCACCAUAAGCACCCAUCUAACACAAUGCCUAAAAUAAUAAUUAAGAUUAAUAUUUUCAAAUACUAAUUCGAAGGGAAAUGCCUUUAGUUUUCUUUAGGUUAUGACUUUAGAAUAAGAGAUGAGCCAUAUACACACAUACACAACUUUGAGCCUUUUGCUAUUUGGUAAUUUGAUUAAUUACAUUAUUUUCUUUAUAUAUUUUUAUAUUUAAAUUAAAUUAAAAAUAUUUGAAAAAAAUUAUUGCGGGUUUGGUGGAUAUCCAUGCGGGUAUCCACCGGGUAUAAGGUUAAUACCAAACCCACCCGCAUCCAUAUGCGGGUUUUAAUUUAUAAUACUAAACCCACCCGCAACGGAUAAAAUUACCCGCAACGGGCGGGUUUUGGCGGGUGGGUUUGGGCGGGUUUGCGGGUUUGCGGGUACAAUUGCCAUCCCUAGCUGCAUCCAGCUGCUGCUUAUUCAGCAACAACAGAAGCUACCAACUGUUGCUUUUGCAGGCACCAGCUGUUGCUGCAUAAGCAGCAACUGCAGAAACAACACCAGCAGCAGCUCCUGCUGCAUUUAGUUGCCAGCAGCUGCUGCUGCAUCCAGUUGCCUAUUGCUGCUGCUUAUGCAGCAGUAGGCAAUUGUAUAACCAGCAACAGCUGCAGCUGGUAGCUAUUGCUAUAAUAAGCAGCGGCCAUGGUGGCAUAUAAAACAAAUUUUCGAACAUGUAAAAUAUACUUCCGAACAUGUAAAACAACCAUCCAAACAUAUAAAACAAAUUUCUGAACAUAUAAAAGAAACUUCCGAACUUGUCAAAUAAAAUUUCCGAACAUAUAAAACAACCAUCCGAACAUAUAAAACAAUCAUCCAAACUUAAAACUAACAUCUAAACAUACAUAAUGGCAUAAAGAAAUGAAAACUACUGAGGCGGCGGGGAUGGUGGUGUUGGAGGUGGAAACGGAUAAGGAAUGCCAAAGUGCUCGAACAGGAGGCGUUGUCCGUGAAGGAGCUGCUGAUGCUGCUCUGACAAACGCCAGUGCUCCUCCAGAACGUGAUGCUGAAAGCUAGUCUGCUGUACAGAAAGUGUCCUCACCUCGUCCAUAAGUUGUUGAAGAGUAACUUCGCCGAAGUCAUGUGACUCUGCAGGUGGUACGACAGAUGCAGAAGCAUCAUGAUCAGGUUCACAGGUAGGAGGGUCCUCACGUCUACGCUAACCCCGGAAAGGAAGUGAAAAAUCAGGCAGCUGAUCAGUAGGAACUACAAAAUUCAAAGGACGAUCAUCACUCGGAGCAAGCAUUGUGUACUUAGCUUCAGUAUACUUCACCCAUGCUCCAUUACGCCACUCAAAUCCUAAGGCAUACACGGCCUCAUCUCCUAUACUCCUACAGGGUUUACAAGACGGUUCGUUUACGGGCACCCUAAAGUAUUUAAGGAUUUGCGUGAUGAAAUUUCCAUAUGGAAGAGUACGACUGAUUAAGUUAGGUAUGGAAAGCAUGGUGCGUAUAAUAGUUUAUCCGAGGCUAACCGACCGAUGCCUGAGGAUAGAAUCAAUCAAAGCAACAUCCAUGUGGGUAACAUCAUCUAAGUGGCCCGACCUAGGAAGGACAAUAUUCUAAAUUAUACGAUGUAAAAUACGUGAUUGAAGGCAUAGACAUUGAGCACAGAAAUGGAUUGUACAGACCUCAUCAGAAAGAUCAAUGAGCCUACAAAUGUUUCUAACGGCAUCAACAUGAACAAAGUUAUCAAUCGUAGGAACUUUCCUAGCAGAAUAUAUUUCUAACCCAUCUUCGGAGGUUCCUAGGAUAGAAUUCAAUUCAGUAUCAUCAAAUUCAAUCAAAACUCCUCUAACGUUGGUGAUUACUCGAUUCUCUUUCUCCACGGAAGUAUCCAUAUUCGAGUAAAAUACUUUCACCAAGUCAGGAUACACAUUCUCAUUAAUCGUAAGCGCAUUAAUCCAACUAACUUCCUCCAACAAUUGCAAUAAAUUACCAUUGCUAAUACUAAGGCUACGAAGACAAUCAGGCACAAUAUAGAACGUAUCAAGUACCUUAUGGGUCAUGAAUCUUUGGCGAAAACGGGUGGCCGAACGCUUGUCCAGGAAGUGUCUUGAUUCAAAAUCAGUUGUUCUAUAGGGCCGCCAUCCUUCCGUGUCCGUUUGGGUGCUGGAAUCGCCUCUUUCCCUUUGUCUUUCGCUCUACAUGGCCUUGAAGUGGGUUCAAUUUCGGUAAACAUUUGCCGAAGUCAAAGGGGUUUACAACCUAGGGUUUUUCGGUUUCGAGGGUUAAAUUUAGCAAGAGCAAAUGGUGGGAUAUGAUUUCUAAGGUUGAAUUUGGGCUAUGAACUGAUUAUAAACGAUGGAUCUUUCGGUUGAGAACGUGGGAAAGAGGAUUCGGCUUUUAGAGAUAGAAGUGGCUGACCGGUUUUGUGAAGGCGAAGAUGAACAGUUUUAUUGCUUUGAACCCGACUAACCUUUACAAAAUAAUAGGGUGGCCGUUCAUGUUCCAGAAACUCUAGUAAGAGAAAAUGGCUAGCCUUUUAUUUUUAGAGGCUAGUCGUUUAAUGUCCAAAGAGCACCAAAAGCAAAAACGGCUAGCCUCUAAAGUUUAAAGGUUAGCCGUUUUCGCUAAUGGUGAGCAUCCAUACACAAACGGCUAGCCUCCACAAAUUUAGAGGCUAGUCGUUUCCCCUCCAGUGAGCCCCAACGCGAAAAAAGCUAGCCUCUUAAAUUUUUUAGGCUAGCCGUUUCCCCUCCAGUGAGCCCCAACACGAAAUAGGCUAGCCUCUUAAAUUUUAGAGGCUAGUCAUUUCCCCUCUAGUGAGCACUCAUAGAGUAACGGCUAGCCUCCACAAUUUUAGAGGCUACACGUUUCCCUUCCAGUGAGCACCCAUACACAAACCGAUGCAAGCACAUACUAUAAUUGGUGGCCUCAUAAUAACUUGUAAGUGAUUUCCCAUGAUAUAUGAAUUUGCUUGGCAAACUUUCUUACGUUGUUUAACUAACUCAGAUUUACAUUAUGCUUAGUUGAGGACGGUACACAUACUUGGAGGAUGGGGGAUGAUUGCUAAUGAUGCACUUUUUGGAUCUGAACCGAGGGGGCAGAACGAACUUUUUGGAAAUCAUUGAGUUAUAUUAUCAUGUAAGAAGUGAACAAUGACAAUGUAAUAAUAUAUUUUGCGUACUUAGUGAUAAUAGCAACAUUUACAACAAUUAUCUUCCUUUCAACAUGUAUUAAUUAAGACAACCGGUUGCCGAAGGAAAAAAUCAUAAUUGCCCCAUUAAUCCCUCUACGCCUUUGGAUCAUCAAAACAAUUUACAUGACUCGUAUGUCAAUCCAGUUACAAGGUAAAUUUAGCAAAAGUUUAGAGUUGUGGAUGAAGUCAGCAAAAAAUUAUCAUAAUCUAUGUUCACAACAAUCUCAGACCUUCUGCCUGAAACGACGUUUUGUGCAACUGUUCUUAUGACCUUUUCUGGUGGACACAUUACGAGCCUUCACUGUUGAUGCAAGCUUCGAUUCAUUUAUGUAUGUUGCAGCGUUACUGUAGUGUGCAUUAGCCAACGUCAAUAAUUGAUCGCGUUGUUCGUUGAACGGAGAGUCUAUAAGUUGUAACGCAAGUUGCACUCGAACAUUCUGUGAGUCAUGCUGCGGAAAUAAUCAUGCACUUUCAUCAUGUCAGUGGCCCAACAACAGUAGUUAAAUAAACCAAGAAACCACAUAAGGCGAAUAAGGGAGCGUACUAUAUACGAUUUGUUAGUGAUGAUUCCAGGAGUAUCCAUAAAUUUGAUGACGUAAACUCCACAAUCAAAACCGUUAGAUUGCCGUGGAACUCCUUCCCCAUGGGUCACUACAAAUGACAAGAAACUCCAAGAUACUGAAUAUGUAGCAUCCACAAUGGCAUGAAGUAUAGCAUCCACCAAGUGUAACUAUUUUCAAGUGCAAAAAUACAUCACAUGUAUUAAUAACACAAUAGCCAGAAAACUAAACUCAUCGUUUUUAUCAAACAUUAGUUGGACUUACAAUACUAUUCACUUGGAUUUCUCGAUCUCGUGUCCGUCGUGCAUCCGGUAGUGGAUCCCAGAUCUCCGCUUGUUUGUCUUUAAUUUUAACCAACAACAUAAAUCAAUGGUGGCCACCAUCAUGCAUGGGAACAAAGAUCUAUGCAAGAACAACUUUGGGUCACUUUUACCAUACAUAAUAUCGAACAUAACGAAAAAUCAUUUUAACAAACACACACGCUACCUGAUGGCACCGGUGCAGGUCAUACAUGUAACGUUUGCGGUAUUAGGAGGCAGCCUUAAAACCAUCUAAAUGUGCAUUUGGCAUUGUAGCAAAUUGCUACAUAUUCAUCAUAUCAAAUUCAUAUAAAACACAACUGAAAUUACCGUAGUUAAUGAUGAGAAAAAGGAUAUGAAAAAAAAAGACAGGAACGGAUUAGCAACUGCAUAUCUUGUUGGUAGGAACCAGCUAAUUGGUUGCCCGUGGCUUUUGCACGACUCACGUCGUGUAAGGUAAUCACUCAUCAUGCAAAAAUCUAAACACAAGAACAAUUAUAAUUGGUUUUAUUAAUUACAAUUUCAUCAUUAAAGUCAAAUUACGAACAAACCUCAUCAUCAAGUGAUGCAUCGGGCAAAAGUGAUAACAAGCCUCGCCAAGUGAUAUCCUCAUGACUUGAUCGCACAAUUAUUUCACAGUAUGUUAAUCACAUGAUAUAUUAACAAAAUCAAAUAACUAUGGCAAUAUAUUAAACGAAAAGAGCUUGAUGAGUGGCCAUGAAGGUAUUGUUACUCUAGGCUAGCACUUUUGUCAAAUCCAUAUUGGAGCAUCUUCAAUUGAUCGAGGGUUACCGGCUCAUUCAAGAAAAAAAGGCCCGCUCAAUAUUUUGGCUUUGGACCGCGUGAGACUUGAUCAUACGGGGACAAUUGGUACCGCCCUGGUUUUCGAUUUCUGUAUGGCCGAGGAGGGCCUAAAGACAGCGGAUUAAAAUCUUGCGGCUGUUGACAUUUCUUCUCUUGUUGCGCGAAAGACUACAAUUUAUUCAAGACAAAGAAAGAAUAAAAAUAUUAGACUAAAUCAUAUAUAGUUUAGACAAAAGUUAACAAAUUAUUACUCUAUGUAUACCUCAUCUUAAAGUUCCGGCACUAAUUUAGGCUUCAUCGCGUCUUGCAAUACUUCUGUCAACUUUUCUUUUAGGACAACCUCUUCAUCAGUGGAUGUAAUGAGGUACAAAGCUUUUCGUUCUUUAACUUCGAUGGGCGUACGCUUUUUCCGUACUAGAUCUGAAAGCGUGACAACUGCAGGGAUAGGUGGGUGCAUCUCCAUAUUCGGAGAGGAAAAGAUUGGAUCAUCAAUUGCCUCGGCACCAGUAUAUGUAGGAGGUGAUUGAUUAUUAUCAACGACAUUUGCUCCUUGACGAAAAUAUGCUCGUUCUAACUUUUCAACCUUUUCAGUAAGAGAAUCCAUUUUCAAGCCCAUUUUUUUAUACUAAAUCAUUAUUUCUUCUCAUAUGUUCCUCCAUUCUAUCCAUUACUGCUAAUAUAGCAUGAAAUGGAUGCUGCCUUGCGGCGUCACCAUCGUCAAUUUGUCCUUCACUUUGAGCACCUGAUGAGCUGCAACUGAUUUCUCACAUCAGAACCUGCAUUAACUACAAAUAUCCAUAAAUAAUCUAUUCAAUUUAAUAACAUAACUACAAAACACUAUACAAUUAUAGAAGGGAACAAACCGCAUUGCUCUCAAAGUCACCAUACUUUUGUCGCCACUUGAGGAAUCUUUUUAUUUCACUAUCAGUCCAUGCACUAAGAGGACAUCCAUUCUCGGCAACAGAAGAAAGCUGAAACUUAGUUGAUGACAUGUAGAACAACUGCAAACAACAAAAAAUUAGUUAAUACGGAAAUAAUAAUCGAUAAUACCAUAAUCGUUUAACUAACGAUAAUACAAAUUAGUAAAUAAAUCAUACCAUUAAAAAUAUAACGCAUCCGCUCAUCGAGGAAAUUUUAUUUUCGUUGAACUUUGAAACUUCUUCCCAUAAAAAAUUGAAAGACCAACUGGCCCAAUUUAUGUCGCAAAUGUUACUCACGUCUUUUAAAGCAUAAAGGUAUGAUGGGUUGAUGUAUGUAGCUAUAGUUGGACACAAAAUAGUUCUAAUCGCAAAUAGACUAAAUAGAAUACAGAAAUCUUCAUCUGCACAACUAUUUGUCUUUAAUUUUUCAUCUAAACUACCUAUUGGGAUGCCUUUCUUUCCUGAGCAAUACUUGGCUCAUAAGUCAGUAAUUUCACUAUCUUCACCACCAAGCACAAUCGGUGUUCCUCCGUCACCAACACCCAUCGCACUUGUAAAAGUUUCCAGAGUAAGCUUGUAUUCCUUUCCAUGGACUGUUAUCGACCGCUUAUCUACGUUACAUUGCUUAACUAACAAUCUACAUAAAUCUUGCCUAAGUCGCCCACAUUUUAAACCUAACAAGCUUCCAAAACUAAUUUCUCUCACAGCAUCUUGCUGUUCAAUAGAUAACGAAGAAACAAUGUUGGAGAACCGCAAAACACUACAUCGACAUAGGUGAUUACCCUUAUCAGAAUUGUUCUCCAUUGUUGGAAUCGGUUCACUUAACAAUCCACUGGCCAAUCUCGAGUUCAUUUCAGCCUUUUCAUUAUAACUGUUGAUGAAUUCGGCUUUAUCUUUCGCGCUAAGUUUCAACCAUUUGUCACGUAUACGCCCCUUAACCUACACUCAAAAAAAAAAAUUCAUUGGCCAAUCAUCAACCAAACUAUUAGUUAGUAGGCUGCAACAUAGAAAAGUUGUCUACAAACCGUUUCAUCCACCUUCACACCUUCCUCUUUUAACUUUUGGGAUUCUAUCUUGCUGUAGAUAGAAAAAUAAUAUCAAAUAUCAGUUUCUUAUAUGUCAAUUAAAAUUAUUGCAGUGUUAAACUGAAAUGACUACAGAAUGUCAAUAAUAAAAUUCAACAAUGAAUUAGUUUCUUACAAGUAGUAUAUGUACGAAUGCUUGCCCAGCCUCGGAGGAUCCAGCUUCUUAGACUGAAUAUUAAUGUCAUCUGCGACAUUGGCCUUACGCUUACCCAUUAUACUGUGUACACUAAAAAUUAUGUCCCCUGUCAAUACACACUGAUAAUUUCAUCAAACUCUCUCCACGAAUUCUAAAUCCAUGUAAAUUAUUACAUUACCCAACAAUACGCACUAAUAAACUUACAUGAUAAAAGCUGUAAUUUUUAAAUAUGAGAGGCCAAUGAUUCUUCUUACCAUAUCAAAUAAAACACUCGAUCAACAAAAAUAAUGAUACCAAACAAAUCCCAUGAUACCCAUGUCUCAUUACCGUAGGUGGACUGCAGAGAUGGCCUAACAACGACUUAGAAUGGGCUGACGGGAAUUGAGUGGGUUGUGAAUCUGUAGCUACAAAUCCUUGCCGCCAAUAGAGAUCAACCUCCGCGUGUCCUCGCCGGAAAGCGCCGUCGUUGGGACUACAGGUGAGAGAGUGCAUGACGAGGGAGAGGGAGAGGGAGAGGGACCCGUGAGGGUGAGUGAAGAGGGAGAGGGAGAGGGAGUCAUGAGCCGUGAGUGAGGAGGGAGGGAAGAAGAAAUUGAUUUCCCGCGUGAGGUGAGAGCCUUUUGUUUGUUUUUUUUCCCAACAAAUAUAUAUGCCUGGGUUUGAUGUGUGUUGAGGGGGUUUGGUGUGUGUUGAGACUGAUUCUAUAGGUUUCAAGUUUUUUAUAUUUUUUUAAUUAUUUAUUGUUUAAAUUCAUUUAUGGCCGUUGGAUUCAUUGUAUUGAAUCCAACGGCCAUAAAACCUGCAUGUAUCUGAUACAUGCAGGUAUUGUAGCAUCAGCCUUGAUAACGAUAACAAAUCAUCAGCCAAUUAAUUAUUUGUGGUGCCCACCUUGUCAUCAACCCAAAAGGUGAAGGUAUUUUCAAUACUGCGUUUUGUUUUCUUUUCCCCUUUUUAUUUUUCUUUCACAACUUGGCAUUGGUCUCGGAGCAUUGCAACAAUUUAAAAUGUAUUAUUUUGAGCUAGUCAGCAUUUGCUCUUGACUUGUGAGAGUAAUCCACCAUUGCGUGUCUGCAGUUAAAAGGACUUUGGUGCUUCUCGAGUAUUACUUUUUAUCUAUUCAAAUCUUGAUAUAUGGGUGAACAUAUUAUCAUAAUUGAUUAAAACAUAUAUAUGAUUACCUAAAUUUUUUUCUAACACGCUGCAAUCUGGUGCUGUGUUGGAAUUGACUGUGCACUAUUAAGAAAAUAGUGGAUUCGAAUUGUAAUCGAUUAGUCAUUUAUGCAAUUAUAGCUGUUUAUAUUUAGGCAUUAAUUAUCUUUAUAUUUUUUUCUGAUAACAACCAAUUAAAACCUCAUAUUUUGCUUGUGAAUCCAAGUUCCACUUAUGAAAGUAACAUCUGUCUCAUUUUUAGUUAUUGAUAAUUAUUAUUACUAUUAUUAUUAUUUUUUAUUAUUAUUAUUGGUAACAAGUUACAACUUAUGUACUCAUGCAAUGUGUGCUAUGGAACAUUUAAGAUAUGUUCGAACAAUGUUGCUACAAGCAAUACAAAUUUUUUUACAAUUUAUUGCUCUGAAUAUUUUCGGUAAAAACUACUUAUUUUAACAACAUGCAAAACACAUUAUCACAACAAUCUGCUUAAUGUGACGGAUGGUUAAGCCAAAUGACUACAUAUAACCCAAGCAUGUUGUUAUAUAUUCAACUUCAGUGACAUUGCAACAAAGUAUAUUGUUGAUAAGGAUGUGAAUAAAAGGUUAUAGCAUGCUUAAGUAUUUAAUAUCAUAUUUGAAUCAUCUUUAACUCCGAAAGCAAGUGAAAUAGUUCUUGAAAUAUUAUAAAAACAUGACAAGCCUGCAAAAAUUCUAUUCCAAAAAUGAAAGACACUUAUCCAAAAUAAGCACAAUUAUCAUCAGAAAAUUCCUAGCGCAAAUCUGUAAUUAUCCAAAAUAAUUGUACUAGCCUCGACCAUGUUGAAUUCUCAGGUCAUCCAGGUGAGAUUUUCCCCUAAGCUCACUGGCAAACUGGCUCCCAUUGAGUAAACUUCCAAGGUGUCUCUACAAGAAAAAAGAAGGUAAAACAUUAUAUAGAAUCAUAGAAGAUUUAAUUUUCACUUUUUGCUUGCAAAUCCAUAUCAAGCACAAACAGAGAAAACCUGAGGGAAGGAGGGAGCUUAGGAAAUAAGUGUGGCUUCCUCUGAUGAACUGGAAGAGUGAUCAUCGAGAAAAUGCCAGCCCCAUCAAGCUUUUGUUCCUCAGAUAAAACAAAGGCUUGUCCAAAUCCUUCUACAUCUCCUGGAUGCUGCCAAUAUUUUUUCUUUUCUUCCAUGCUCAGAUUGAAGAAGCCCUUAACCUUUUUCUUUACUUUCUCUAGAAAUGCUGAGAUUACUCCAUGGUUUACCAGCUGAAAUUAUGCAGGAAUGAAAAGCAGCUAAGAUUUGAUAAUCGUGCCACUAGGUUCACAAUCGUCCAGGCGUUUUAUGAAGACAGAUUGCAACUUAUUUGACUGAUUUAGAGACAAGAUUUGUUGUUACUGAUGGCUAAAAGCAUUUGUUACAUUUCAACUGCAAACAUUGUUGUUGCAUUAAACACCAAUUUUAUUUUGUUUAUAAAUCUAAUCAAUGAUUGGUUUUUACAAGUGUUUUUUACUCAUAGUUUUGGAGAAAUUUGAAUAUUCUAGAACAGCUAAUAAUCUGUGGGAGUCUUAUACAAUUAAUUAUAUCUUUUAUCACAUAUUGACAGAAGCAUAUUUCUCAUAAGCUACCAAAAGCUAUUGAGACAAAAUAGGUGAAAUUUGUCAUGGGCAUCUUUUAAUACAAAUUAUACUAACAAAUCUAUGGCUAUAUGGAAAGCUAAAGUAAUAAAGAAAGUCAAAAACAAAUAUAUCAAUGGAAUCUGGGUUUCAGAAAAUUAAUGGUGAGUGUUUUCUUUUCAUAUUGCCUCAUAAAUUGUACAAUAAAACAAGAGACAACUUCCUUGACAUUUCACAAGCUGCGGUCCUAGAAGCACUGAAAGCAGCAAAAGGACUAGAUGGGAAAUUUUGAAAUCAUGACAUGCUAAAUCAAUGGAAACUGGGUUUCAAAAAUAGAUAUUUUGUGACUGAGAUUUUUGCAGAUUUCAUGAUUUUUAAAUCACAGACAAGCAUGAAAAAUCUUUCUAACUCUGCUAAAGCAUUUUACCUGGAAAAAACCCCAUUCUUUGCAUGCGAAGUCGAGCUUGGCUAACUCAGAAUCCAUUGAUUCUUCAUAAAGCAAGCUCUGCAUGUCAAUAACUGGUAUCUAUGAAAUCAAAGCAUCAUCAGAAUUGAGUGGUGAAUCUUCAUCUGGACGUAUGUAUCUAGGAGGGACAACUAACAUAGGAUUCUUGACCAACUCUUGAACACAAGGAACAAGCAGAGAACCUCCAAUCUUGGCCAUCUUUUGUUCCACAAAUCCUCUUAAGAUUGCUACAGCUUUGUAUUGGUUUUGGAACAAGAGUGCAGGGUGCAGACUGCAGACAAUCGCAAGAGUUAAAAACAAUUAUUUUCUAACAAAUCAGCAUCCUCCACCUAACCGCUCAUGAUAUAUUUUUAUGCAAAUGACUGAUCUGGAUUAUUUUAAGGGGACUGAUAACUCUCGGAAAUGAGAGUUAUUACAUCUAUUCUAGAUGUGAAUAAAGGCCAUUUAGAAAGCAAAUAAUGUGUUUUGAUUACAUUUUGGUGACCUUUUGCAUAAACAUUCAUUUUAGUUGAGUUUUAACAAGUUUUGCUUGAAUCAUAGAAAUUUGUGCUAAAAACAUAUUUUAAUUUGUAGGUUUUAAAUUCAUGAAAGGAUGUGGAGACAUUAGAUGAGAAAGAGGAGGAAAGAAGAUGGCCACAAAAGAAGAAAAGCACAAUCGGAAAUAAUACAGUGCUGUUGCAAAUGUUAGAGCAACCAGUGUUGUAGCAAUCUGGGAGCAAUGCGGGAAAAAAUAUAAGCGCGGGUCAGCAAUUAAAUCACGAUCUGCAUGUUUCCUAAUUUAAACACAUGCACGCCCAUAGACUUUGGUUUUAACCUAAUUUGCAAUAUAUAAAGGAAGCAUGCACCACAUAGAAAGCGGAGAGGAAUUAUCAUCCAAAAACAAUUACAAAGGCAAGAAGAAUAAGAAGAUCAAGAUUAAGGAGUGUUGUUCGGCAUCAUUGAAGAACCGAGGAGGAUCAUUAGUCUUUCAUCGUGCUCAACUCAUAUUAUCUUUCUUCCUUUAAUUGAUUGGAUGUAUUCUGUGAUCAGAAUAUUUAUGUUUACUUUUCUCAUUCAGAAUAUGAACUGAAUUUACUUGUAGUUGAGUGACAAAUAAUCCAAUGGGGUCUUGACUGUUCUUAUAUGUUGUUAUGAUAAUGCUGUAGCAUUAUACUCUAAUAGUUUUUAUGAAUAUAACUGUUAUUUCGGUUGACCACCCAUUUAAUAGUUUCAGUUAAGAUAGAGCAGCAAAAGGGCAUGUCUUAGCGGAUAUUAUUAGAGUAUUACUUGUUCUUAAAUCGAGUUUCCUGGAUUAGAUUAACUUAAAUCCCAUAAAGGGAAUACUUGAAUCAAGAUUUGUGAUAUCAUAGACAUAGGUGUUCACCUUGUAGGGUAGAGAGAUUAAAGAUCAUAAAGCCAUACAUUAAAUUUAUAAGCAACUGGUCAUUGUUAGUAGAUUUAAAGGUAUGAGAUUUUCAACAUGCGAUAGUUGCGGAUGCAGAUUGGUUCUGCCCAGUGCUACAGCACUUAUUAUAACAACUGGUGCUAAUUCGGUAAUCAACGGUCACCCCAUUAGGAGAGUUUGAUCAUUCAACUACUAUAUUCUCAAUUGAACCUUAGACACAUUUAACUUAGUUUAUUUUAUUACGGUAUUGUUUUAUUUCCAUCUCUCGUAAUUAUUAGUUACGAUAGAAUUAUUUGGCAAUUAUUUGUUUCAGUCUUUAGUUGACUUGCAUUAUUGCGAUUGCUUUAGCAUUUUGAGUAAACAUCAAUCCCUGUGGAGACGAUCUUGAACACUCAUCACUUUAUUACUUGUUGUGUAUACUUGCACAUUGGCAUUGAUAAUAAUUGAUUAUAUAAAUCAACCAACAAGUUUUUGGCGCCGUUGCCGAGGAUAGAUUGUUUAUUUUUUAAGUGUAAAGUAAAUCGUGAUAGCACUAAACUAAACUUGAUUCAUUCUAUUGAUUGGCAGAUCAGUACGUGUAUGCUCAAGGACAGAUCUGUGAUAUUUUAAUUCGAUCCUGAGAUUGAAAGGACUAUCAGGAGAUUGUGAAGAGAACAAAGAAAUUCAAAGAUUGUUUCAGACAUGAAUAAUUUGCAAGAUGAGGGAAAUUUGAACCCUUACGGGCCUUUACAACCAGCCAACAUUCAACAAGAGCAUAAUGAACAUGCUAACGGGAGACAGCCAGGCAACAACAAUAUUAUUUACAUGGCUGAUGACAGAGAUAGAGUUAUAAGAGAUUAUGCUGGACUAACUCCUCAAGUUGUCCAUCCUGGCAUCAUCAGACCUGAAGUAGAUGCUGCCAACUUUGAGUUAAAACCAGUGAUGUUUCAAAUGUUGCAAACAGUUGGGCAAUUCAAUGGAUUGCCAAAUGAAGACCCUCAUCUCCAUCUUAAAUUAUUCUUGGAAGUAAGUGAUGCUUUCAAGAUUGCUGGAGCAACGCAAGAUGCCUUAAGGCUGAGGCUCUUUCCUUAUUCCUUAAGAGAUCGAGCAAGAGCAUGGUUAAAUUCAUUACCAUCUUAUUCCAUCACUACAUGAAAUGAACUGGCUGAUAAAUUCCUAAUGAAAUAUUUUCCACCGAAAAAAAUGCAAAAUUACGAAAUGAGAUUACCUCCUUCCAUCAACUAGAAGAUGAGAGUUUGUAUGAGGCUUGGGAAAGGUUCAAGGACUUGCUCAGAAGGUGUCCUCAUUAUAGUAUUCCUUGUUGCAUUCAAUUGGAAACUUUCUAUAAUAGGUUGAAUCCAAGUACAAGGUUAAUGGUGGAUGCUUCAGCAAAUGGAGCUCUAUUAUCCAAAUCCUACACUGAAGCUUAUGAAAUUUUGGAAAGAAUUGCCAAUAAUAAUUACCAGUGGCCUUCAGCUAGGCAACCAGUAGCAAGAGGAUCAGCAGGGGUACAUAGCAUUUAUGCAAUUACAGCCUUAUCAGCUCAGUAACUUCAUUGACUAACAUGGUAAAAGCCAUGACAGCUGCUCCAGCAACAGUAAAGCAAGUUACUGAACUUUCUUGUGUCUACUGUGGUAAAUAACAUGAUUUUGAUAAUUGUCCUGGAAAUCCAUCCUCAGUAAAUUAUGUGGGUAACUUCAAUCGACAACCUCAGAACAACCCAUAUUCAAAUACUUACAACCCAGGCUGGAAGCAACACCCAAAUUUCUCAUGGAGUAAUCAGAAUCGAAAUGCUCCAGCAUUGAAUGGACUAAGUAGAAACACACAACCACAACCACCUGGUUUUCAUCAACAAAGUCAAGGGCAAAAACAUAUCAGUCAGGAUCCAAUCACUUCAUUGGAAGUGUUAAUCAAGGAGUACAUUGCAAAGAAUAAAGCAAUUGUGCAGAGUCAAGCUGUGUCCUUUAGAAAUCUUGAGAACCAAAUGGGACAAUUAGCUACAGCAAUGAGCAGUAGAACUCAAGGAAGCUUACCAAGCAACACAGAAGAUCCUAGGAGAAAGAGCAAAGAACACUGCAAAGUGAUUAGUCUGAGAUCUGGAAAGCAUGUUGAUAUCCCAGUUGAGGUGACCAAAAAUGGGAUGGAAUACAAUUCAGCUCAAAAACCAAUUCAAAAGGGAAGCAUGUUACAGCAGACUCCCCAUCAAGACACUGAUGCAAGGGACCCAGUUACAGUAACUGCAAAAGAAAUUCAACCAGAUCUUGCUGAAAAAAAAAGUUACAACACCAGUAGCCACAACCUGUACCAACUUAAACAAACAGAGUUUAGUACCUCCUGAAUCUAACCAGCAGUUUAGACAUCCACCACCCUUCCCUCAAAGCUUCCAGAAGCAAAAACAAGACAAGCAGUUCAGCAAAUUCCUAGAAGUGCUGAAGCAACUGCACAUAAACAUACCUUUUGUGGAAGUUUUGGAGCAAAUACCAAAUUAUGUGAAAUUUCUAAAAGAUAUCUUGGCACGAAAAAGAAGGCUGAGAGAGUUUGAAAUUGUUGCUCUAACACAAGAAAGCAGUCAUAUGCUUCAGAGUAAAAUUCUCACAAAAUUGAAAGAUCCAGUGAGUUUUACAAUACCCUACUCAAUAGGGAAUAGGUAUGCUGGCAGAGCACUCUGUGAUUUGGGAGCUAGUAUUAACUUGAUGUCAUUAUCUGUAUUUAAGCAGCUUGGAGUAGGGGAGUGCAGACCAACAAUUGUCACUCUGCAAUUAGCUCACAGAUUUCAUGCAUAUCCUGAAGGAAAGAUAGAGGAUGUACUGGUGAAGGUUGACAAAUUCAUUUUUCCAGUAGAUUUCAUUGUGCUGGACUUUGAAGCUGACAAAGAGGUACCCAUUAUACUUGGCAGACCUUUUCUAGCAAUUGGAAAGACUCUGAUAGAUGUGCAGAAAUGAGAGCUGACCAUAAGAGUGAAUGAUCAGCAAGUCACAUUUAAUGUACUAGAGGCUAUGAGAAACCCUGAUGAAAUAGAAGAGUGCAAUUUCCUAAGUGUAGUGGAUCUUGUUGUAGCAGAUAGAAUGGACAGAUGCUGCAGUAAUGUACUUAACAAAGUCACCACCUUUGAGGAGAUUGAAGAGGAAGAUGUUGCAGAAAUUCAAACAGAUUGCAUAGAAAAACAGCAAUCUAAUAGGCACAACAGGGUUAUUGAACACCUGAAUCUUUCAGACAGGGAAGUAAAAACAACUUUACCAUCUAUUGAAUCACCUCCUAGUUUUGAAUUAAAACUGUUACCUUCACAUUUAAAGUAUACUUAUCUUGGUCAAAACAACACACUCCCUGUAAUCAUUUCUUCUACUUUGGAUGCAAGUCAAGAACAAAGCCUAGUAGACUUGCUGGGAAAAUACAUAAGGGCAAUUGGCUAGACCAUGGCAGAUAUAAAGGGUAUCAGCCCAUCAAUCUGUAUGCAUAAGAUCCUGUUAGAAGACUAUUCCAGCAAUUCGGUGGAGCACCAGAGAAGGCUGAAUCCUAUUAUGAAAGAAGUGGUGAAGAAUGAAAUCAUCAAAUGGUUAGAUGUUGGAAUCAUAUACCCAAUAUCAGACAGUUCAUGGGUAAGCCUAGUUCAGUGUUUUCCAAAGAAAUGAGGGAUAACAGUAAUGGCUAAUGAGAAGAAUGAACUUAUUCCUACAAGGACAGUGACUGGAUGGAGAGUGUGUAUGGAUUAUAAGAAGCUCAACAAAGCCACAAUAAAAUACCAUUUCCCACUUCCAUUUAUAGAUCAGAUACUGGACAGACUUGCUGGAAAGCAAUACUACUGUUUCUUAGAUAGGUAUUCAGGCUACAACCAGAUUGUUAUAGCACCAGAGGAUCAAGAGAAGACUACAUUUACUUGUCCUUAUGGAACAUUUGCCUUCAGAAAAAUGCCAUUUGGGCUAUGCAAUGCUCCAAUAACUUUUCACAGAUGCAUGAUGUCUAUAUUUUCUGAUAUGGUAGAGCAGACUUUGGAAAUUUUCAUGGAUGAUUUCUCAGUUUUUGAAGAAACAUAUAGUAAUUGUUUACACAACUUGGAAGAAGUUCUUAAAAGAUGUGAGAUGACCAACCUAGUACUCAAUUAAGAGAAGUGUCAUUUCAUGGUGCAAGGAAUAGUGCUGGGUCACAAGAAUAUCCAAUGAUAGUAUUGAGGUAGAUAAAGCCAAGAUAGAGGUAAUAGAUAAACUGCCACCCCCAACUUCAGUAAAGGGUAUUAGGAGUUUUCUGGGUCAUGCUGGAUUCUACAGAAGAUUCAUUAAGGAUUUUUCCAAAGUAGCCAAGCCUCUAUGUUCAUUGCUGGAGCAUGACAAACCAUUUCACUUUGACAAAGAAUGCCUUCAAGCAUUUGGCGAAUUAAAGAAAAUCCUUAUCACUGCUCCAGUAGUUAUAUCUCCAUAUUGGAAUUUACCAUUUGAAUUGAUGUGUGAUGAUAGUGAUCAUUCUGUGGGAGUAGUAUUAGGGCAAAGAAAUGAUAAGGUUUUUCAUUCCAUAUACUAUGCAAGCAAAACUUUCACUCCAACUCAGAUCAAUUACACCACUACAGAGAAAGAAUUGCUAACAAUAGUUUUUACUUUUGACAAAUUCAGAGCUUACCUGGUAGGUACUAAAGUAACUGUUUGCACAGACCAUGCAACCAUCAAAUAUUUAAUUUCAAAGAAGGAUGCCAAACCAAGACAAAUCAAAUGGAUCUUAUUGCUUCAAGAAUUUGAUCUGGAAAUUAAAGAUAGAAAAGGGGCUAAGAAUCAAGUGGCAGACCACUUGUCACGGUUGGAAGCAGACACUAGUACAUUGACAAGGAAGGGCAUCACUAAAACUUUUCCUCAUGAACAGCUGUUGGUAAUACAGCAAGCACAAAUACUGCAGCAGUCAGCAUCUCCAUGGUAUGCAGACUUUGCUAACUAUCUAGUAAGUGGGUUACUACCACCUGAGCUGAAGUUUCAAGAGAAAAAAAAAAUUUCUUCAUGAUGUUAGAAGCUACCAGUGGGAUGGCCCACAUUUAUAUAAGCUAUGCUCAUAUCAAGUAAUAAGAAAAUGUGUUGCAGCAGAAGAAAUACCUCAUAUACUGGAAUCAUGUCAUGCUGCAGCAUAUGGAAGACAUUUUGGUGGUCACAGAACAGCUGUCAAAGUUAUGCAAUCAAGUUAUUAUUGGCCCACUAUUUUUAAAGAUGCUUAUGAAUUUGUUAAAUGUUGUGACAGGUGUCAAAGGACAGGGAACAUAACUAGCAAACAUGAGAUGCCAUUGACCAACAUACUGGAAGUGGAAGUUUUUGAAGUUUGAGGAAUAGAUUUCAUAGGACCUUUUCCCCCAUCCUUUGGAAACUUAUAUAUCCUUGUUGCUGUAGAUUACUUCCACCCACUUGGAGACAUAAUCUACAACAUUACCUACCAAUGAUGCUAAACUGUGGUGACCUUUCUUCAAAAAAAUGGUUUCUCCAGGUUUGGCACUCCUAGAGCAAUAAUUAGUGAUGAAGGUGCACAUUUUUGCAACAAAAUCUUUGCUGCAGCAAUGAUGAAAUAUGGAGUCCGACACAAGAUAGCAACAGUAUAUCACCCACAAGCCAAUGGUCAGGCUGAAGUGUCCAACAGAGAAAUUAAAAAUAUCUUAGAAAAAGUGGUGAACCUAGGGAUGGCAAUUGUACCCGCAAACCCGCAAACCCGCCCAAACCCACCCGCCAAAACCCGCCCGUUGCGGGUAAUUUUAUCCGUUGCGGGCGGGUUUAGUAUUAUAAAUUAAAACCCGCAUAUGGAUGCGGGUGGGUUUGGUAUUAACCUUAUACCCGGUGGAUACCCGCAUGGAUAUCCACCAAACCCGCAAUAAUUUUUUUCAAAUAUUUUUAAUUUAAUUUAAAUAUAAAAAUAUAUAAAGAAAAUAAUGUAAUUAAUCAAAUUACCAAAUAGCAAAAGGCUCAAAGUUGUGUAUGUGUGUAUAUGGCUCAUCUCUUAUUCUAAAGUCAUAACCUAAAGAAAACUAAAGGCAUUUCCCUUCGAAUUAGUAUUUGAAAAUAUUAAUCUUAAUUAUUAUUUUAGGCAUUGUGUUAGAUGGGUGCUUAUGGUGGUGAAUAAAAUAAAUAUAUUCUCUUUGAUCUUGUUUUAAAUGAUAAUAUGAAAUGUAAUUAUUAUUUUUAGAUAUUAGUUUGUGUUUUUUAAAUAGAUUUGUAUAAUUUAUACUUAAAUUUGAGAAUUUGUAUUGAAUUGAUGUGGAAAUUUUAAUUUUUUAUUUACAUUGUUUAAAUAUAAAAUUGAAUAUGUUAUAUGGAACUUGAGGUUAUUAUUAUAAAUUUAUAUAUUAAAUAUUUGUGAUUUUAAAUACGGAAACCCGCAAAAAAUCUGCCGGAUACCAUUGCGGGUUUGGUAAUUGUUAAAACCCGCUGCGGGUGGGUUUUUUUAAAAAAAUUAAAACCCGCUGCGGGUUGCGGGUGGGUUUGGUAAUUUAAAUUUUGUGCGGGUUUGGGUUUGGUAAUGGCAAACCCGCUGCGGGCGGUGCCCAUUGCCAUCCCUAGGUGAACCCAACAAGGAAUGAUUGGUCUUUACAUUUGCAUGACUCUUUAUGGGCCUAUAGAACAGCAUACAAAACCCCACUCGGCAUGUCUCCUUACCGAAUUGUUUAUGGCAAGGCUUGUCAUUUGCCCCUAGAGCUAGAGCAUAAAGCACACUGGGUACUGAAGAAACUAAAUUGGGACAUUCAUGCUGCAGCAGAACAAAUGAAGCUUCAACUUUGUGAGCUUGAUGAAUUAAGGCUAUUUUCACAUGAAAAUGCAAGAAUUUAUAAAGAGAGAACAAAACACUGGCGUGACAAGCAUAUUCAACACAGGAAGUUCACCCCUGGUCAAUUAGUGUUGCUCCACAAUACAAGACUAAGAUUGUUUCCGGGAAAGCUCAAGUCACGAUGGUCUGGCCCGUUUAAGCUGUUAAAAUCCUACCCUCAUAGAGCUGUUGAUCUUUUAGAUGAACAAACAGGCCACGAAUUCAAGGUUAAUGGGCACAAGGUUAAGCAUUACAUACAUCCAUAUAUCUUUAAUCAUACAAGUAGAUAUAUCAUGUGACCAUGAACAUAUCCAAAAACUCAUUUGGUGAGUCAAAAACAUAUCUCGAUUCCUAACUCAGGCAAGAGAUGUCUCAAUUGCAAUCGUAUGCAAGAGAAUUUAAAAAUAUGUUCAUUGUAUCCUAGAUUUAAUUUAUUUUAAUACUCAAGCAUACUAAAUCUCAUUAGUAUGCUAAAAUUGCACAAUCUCUUUAUGUAUUCAUAAUUGUAAUAUCCCAAAGAUAUUAUACAAUUGGUCAACCAGUGAAUCAAAUAAAAAAAAAAUAAAUCUUCUUAUCACACUCAUGCUCAUCAAUUCAGAAUAGUCGCUUUCCUAGUCAUGUUUCAUAGACCGAAUAAUGUCAAGGUCAUAGAUAACAUACUAAAGUAGCAGACACCACUAUGAGAUCUCAAAAACAUAGUUGAUAGUCAUAAGGAUACUGGGAUUGACUUUUUACACAAUGAGAAAGAUGAAAGAUUCUUUUAUUUUCCAUUUUGGUUACCAAGCACACGUGGUAUGGUGCACGUGUUACAGUAAAUCUUCCAUUUUAGGACUAUGGAUCUUAGUCCAGUCACUCUUUUAGAAUGAAUGCUCUCCUCUAGCGUAAAAAGUAAGAUCUCACAUCUGACUUCAAUCAAGUCUCCAUGAUGGUGGGGUAUAUCAUAGUCAGUCUAUAAUAAAAAUCGUGUGAGACCUCUUGAUUCUAGUCAAGGCGACAAAACUUGUAGAAUAACGCUUUUUAUUUGGCUCUCAAACAAAAACAUUAUUUUAUUAUUCUACUUGUCUCAUCUCAGCUUGCUCUUAAAGCAAUUGAGGUGACUACUUGUGUAAGAAAACUAGUCUGGACUUGACGACAUACUCUUAUAUAUGUGUAAUUAUGUCUUUCAUGGAAUAAAUUGAAAUAAGAGAUACUAUUACAUUUUCAAACAACUUAUGCAAUGAAAAUGUUUAUAACAAAUAAGUACAUCUUAAUAAUAGUAAUUUAUAAUCUACGCAGCCCCAAUGAUUUAGCAUAAGAGGCAAAUACAUCCCUUAUUACAGCUUUGGUAAGUGGAUCAGCUAUCAUGCUAUGUGUAGAUAUAUAUUGUAUGGCUACUUCUUUCUUUGCCAAAAUAUCUCUUACAAAAUUGUAUUUAGUCUCAAUGUGUUUCGAUUUGGUAUAGUAUUUAGCAUUAUUAGAGAAAAAGAUAGUAGCUUGAUUGUCACAAUAGAUAGUCACUAGAUUAUCAUUGCUAAUAUUAAUCUCUAAGUCCUCUAUAAAUCUCUUAAGUCACAUAACUUCUUGCACUGCUGCAGAACAUGCAAUAUAUUCGGCUUCCAUCGUUGAUUAAGUCAUGCAUGUUUGUUUCUUGCUACUCCAUGUAAUUGUUCCUCUGUUUAGCAAGAAUACAUAUCUUGAAGCCGAUUUGUGCUAAUCCAGAUCACCACCCUAGUCGGCGUCUGAAUAUCCAACAAGCCGCAAACCACCUCCUUGAUAGCAUAAACAAUAAUUUGCAGUGCAUUUGAGAUAUGUUAAAAUCCUUUUAACAGCACUCCAAUGCUUCUAACUAGGAUUAGACUGGUAUCUACUUACUAGUCCUAUAACAUAACUAAUAUCAAGCCUUGUACACAUUAUGACACACUUAAGACUUCCAAUGGCAUUUGCCUAAGGAACUCUAAUUAUUCUUUCCUUUUCUUGAGGAGUCUUAGGGCACAUAUCGAGACUAAGAGAUUGUCCUUUAGCUAUAAGGGUAUCCUUGUGCUUACAAUCAGCCACAUUGAAUCUUUCAAUGAUCUUCUUAAUGUAAGACUCUUGUGACAGAGCCAUAAAUUUUCUUGAACGAUCCUUAAAAAUUUUGACCCCUAAGAUAUAUGUUGCUUCGCCGAUAUCUUUCUUGUCAAAAUUUGAAUGUAACCAAUCUUUAAUAAUUUUGACAAACUCUUUACUAUUUGCUACCAAUAAUAUAUCGUCCACAUACAAAGUAAAUAUCGCAAAAGCGUCUUUAUAUCUCUUAAUGUACACACAAUGGUCUUCCUUAACCAUCCUAAAGCUAUAAGAAACUACAGCUUGAUAGAAUUUAAGGUUCUAUUACAGGUGGGCAUAUUUUAACUGAACAUAUCCAAACCGACCAUUUGGAUCGGUUUCAUUAGUAAAAAAACUAGUUUCGGUUUAUUGGAUUGCAAACCGAUAUCACUCAAUUUGGAUUUCAGCAAACCUAUCCAAUCCAUAAAAUUUUAAAAGCUUUAAGACAUAUGAUGUGUCAAUUUAUUAUUGGAUUAUUAACAGAAGAAAUGUACACUUUCAUACACAAUAGCAUACUUCUUAUUAUAAAAACAAAAACACAAAAACCUAACAGCUGCCUCCACCUCAAGUGCCUCCUAUCAUUCUCAACUCUUUCAAUCUCAAUCGCUCAUUCUCAAGUCUCAUAGUCAUAAUUUUAAAAAUCAAAACAUAAGGGUAUGUUUUGAUUUUAUUUUUCUUGCUACAAUUUUAUUUUAUUUUAGUCAAAAGUUAAAAUGGAUUUUGGUAUAAUUGAUGAUAAUUUAUUUGAUUAAUUGAUUCCAUAACUAAUUUUUUUUAAUCUUCAUGAAUUAUAGAAGUUCUCAACAUGGAAGAUAAUUCCAAUGUGAAUAAUAUCAUAGAAGAUGGAGAAACAUUGAUGGAUGAUUUUCUAGAACCUAAAAGUAAGAAAUCUAAAAUAAGGGGUGGUCAUCUUCAUGACAAUGAAAGGGGUUCAAAAGUUUGGCCUCAUUAUAUCAAAGAUUAAGUGAAUAGGACAUGUAAGUGCAAAUAUUGUGGGAAGUAGUAUAAGUGUGAUAGUAAGUUUAAUGAGACUUUUAAUUUGUGGACUCACUUAAGAGAACAAUGUGAAAAAUAUUGGGCUACUUUAGAUGAUGUGACUCAAGUUAAACUAGAUCGCUUCCGUGAUAAGAAAAAAAAGUCUAAUAUGGCAAGUGGUAGUGGCAUUGGGAAUAUUGUGUAUGGUAUUGGGUUGGGGCUUGCUGGAAAGUUUGGUCAGGAGGAUUGUAGGAAGAAUAUGGGUAUGUAUUUUAUUCUUAAUGAGGGUUCAUUUAGGAAGGUAGAGUCUUAUGGAUUUCAUCUUUUGUGCGACAAACAUUGUCCUACAUUUGGCCCUCCUUCUAGGGGAACACUUGUAAGAGAUAUAGAUCAAUUGUAUUUAGUUGAGAAGGCAGCAUUCAAAAAUAUUUUUAUUGCAAAUAAGUAUAGAGUUUCUAUUACCGCAGACAUUUGGACUUCCAUACAAAAUUUUAAUUAUAUGUUAUGACAACCCAUUGGGUUGAUCAUAAUUGGAAAUUGCAUAAGAGAAUUUUGAAUUUUUUUUCCAAAUAACAAGCCACAAAGGGGACUUAAUCGGCAACCUUAUUGAAAAAUGCUUGCUUGAUUGGGGUAUAGAAAAAGUGAUGACUAUUAUAGUUGAUAAUGCGAGUGCUAAUGAUGUUGCUAUCAAUUAUUUGAAAACAAAGUUGAAAAAUUAGAAGGGUGAUGCAAUGAUUUUAGAUGGAGAUUAUUUACAUUUGUGGUGUUGUGCCCAUAUUUUUAAUAUAAUUGUGACUGAAGGGCUGAAAGAGAUGCAUGACUCAAUUACUAGCAUUCGCAAUGCAAUUAUGUAUGUGAGGUCUUCAGGUUUGAGGUUGCAUGUUGUAGGUUUUCUAAUGCUAUUGAUGUCAAUGUGCAAGUGUACACAAUAAGUAAUACAAUGAUGAGUACUCAAGAUUGUCUCAAUAGGUUGUUAUAGGAAUUGCUACAGUAAUUUUAUCAGUGCAAUUUUUAUUCUAAACAAGAAUUAAAAUAAAUUAUUAAACUAAUGAAAUAAUAAAAAUAAAAACGCAAUAAGAAAAAUGCAAUAAAGUAAAAUACCAUAGUAAAUACAAGAAUGUUACCAAGGGGAAUAGAGUACUUGAGCGAUUAAACUCACUUAAUGGUUAUGACUAUUUUUCUAAUGUUGGCUCGAUUGCUAUAGCAUUUGCUACAGCACUGGGCAGAAUCCUUAUGUAUCCUCAGCUGUCGCAAGUUGAAUGUCUUAUAUCUAAAUGCAACUUAACAAUGACCAAUUGUUAUGCUAACAUCAGAUAUAGCAUUAAACAUUUUAGAUUUUAAUUACCCUACAAGGUGAAUCCCUAUAUCUAGUUCAUCACUAAUUUUAUAUUAAGCAUGACCCAUUUCAAAUCAAGUUAAACCUAACUCAGGAAACCCAAUCUAAAACCAAGUAUUGCUUUGAUAUGUUCCACUAAGACAAGCCUUUUUUAGGCUCUUUCUUAACGAGUAUCACUAAAUGGGUGGUCAACCAAAAUAGUAAAUUGAAAUAAGUAUUAUCAAAACAACGUGCUAUAGCAAACAUGCAACAACACAUAAUAUUAGUCAAUUAACCAUCAAGUUUGUUCAUUACUCAACCACAAGUAAAUUUAGUUAAUAAUUUGUGAUAAAACAAGAAGUAAAAUAGUUUCAGCCAUCAAACAAUUCAUCAUAACGAGAUAGAAACAAGAGAACAAAAAAUAAGAGUGCGAUCCGCUUGAUGUUCUUCUCAAAUUCCUUAGUUACAGCCCCCAAUUCUCUCUCUUGAUCUUUGUUUUUUCUUGUGUUGUUUAUCUAUUUUUCUUCUCCAAUGACAGCUCCCUUUUCUUUGCGUGUGUGCUCUUUUUAUAGUUUAGAAUUAGGGCAACUGGAAGCCUAGGGCAUUCAGCUUCUAAUUUAGGAAACUCCAAACCGCAAACUUCAAAGUAUCUCGCGCGAAAUCUUCUCUGUCAAUGCUCUAUAAUUGCUAUAGCAACGAUGCUACAACAACAGUGCUACAGCAAUGGCUUCAGCAUCUGCACUAUUCCAGACUUGUUUCAAUUCUUCUCUAAUUAAGUUCUUUCCUUAUCUUUACAAGUCUAUUGCAGCCGCAUUCCUUACUUGAAAUUUAAACUUCUGGUCACCUACAAUUAUGCAUAUGAUUUAAGCACACAAUUUAUUCUGAAUCAAACAAAACUUAUUAAAAGUAAACUAAGAUGGAUGUUUAUGCAAAACAUUACUAAAAUGCAAUAAAAACAUAUCAUUUACUGUCUAAGUAAUCAUGAUUUAAGUCUCAAAGUGCCAUGAUAACUCUCAUUUCAUAGAGUUAUCAUUAUAAAUUUAAAUCAUGUGUUGAGAGAGAGAAAAUUGAAUAUAAAGGAAUUCUACCUACACUAUGUUGUCCAGAGCUAUACACUUUCAAAAAGCUUUUGAAAGUUUGGAAGAAGAGGAAUAUAAUGGACCAUAUAUGAGUUUUUUCAAUGAGAGGAAAGUAGAACAGAUCAGGCUACCCAUAAUAGAAGAUUGGAAAAGUGCUAAAAUAUUUAUUGAGUUUUUGAAUUUUUUGAAUAAUGUUACAGUUGAUUUCAGUGCUUCAUUAUCUGUCACAUCUAACUUGUAUUUUCAUCAUCUUUGCACCAUUCAAACCUAGUUGCAUUUAUUUAUUGAAAAAGAGGAGGUGCUUCUUAGUAAAAGGGUAGAAAAAAUGAAGAUAAAGUGUGAGAAGUAUUGGGGUUCUGUGGACACUACAUAUCAGUUGUUGAUCAUUGUUGUGGUACUUGAUCCAAGGCAAAAAUCUGUUAUUUCAUUUGAAUUUUUAUUUUUUAUGAUAAAAUCAAUUGUGAUAAUUAUUUACUCCAAUUUAUUUCUUGUCUAAGGUACAAAUUGGAUUAUGUGUCAUUUUGCUUUAAAAAAUUGCAUAAUCUUGAGAAAGCGAAAGAAAUUACAUCAAACAUUAAGAAGCUACUUUUAAAGGUGUAUUCUUAAACUUUCAAAUUAGAUUCAAUUAUAACAAUAGUUACUUUAUUUUUUUCUGUAAAUGUAUUCAUAUUUACUUAAAUUUAUUUUCAUAGCUAUAUAAAACCUACUGUCUUGUGGAAUCUACUUCUGGUGAUGGUAGCCAAUCUACUAAUGAUGUUUUCGCAAUUGAUGUGGGUUUAAGAAGGAAAAGUGGCAAGGUCUAUGCAUUUAUUAAUACAAAGACUCAAUAUAAGCAGUUAAAAGUGCAGAAAGAUUCCAUUUAUUUGAAAAAUGAGGUUGAAAGGUAUUUGUUCUACCAUAGCGAGGAUGAAACUGAUGAUUGGUUUGAUGUUUUGGGUUGGUGGAUUGCAAAUAGUGCAAGGUUUGGGACUGUCACAAAUUGCAAAGGAUGUGUUAGAAAUUCAUGUAUCUACUGUGGCUUCUGAAUUUGCUUUUAGUGCUGGAGGUCGUGUAGUCUAUGCAUUUCGAAGUUCAUUAACCCCUACAAUGGUAGAGGCUUUGAUAUAUAGUCAACAAUGGCUUAAAGCAACUUGUAUGGAUGAAAAUUAUAUUAGGAAGUUUGAUGUAGAAGUAUCAUCAUCAUACUUUAGUGAUUUGGAAUUAUGUACAUCUGUGGAGCAAGGUACCUAUGCUUUACAUAUAAUAUAAUUAUAUUAUUUUCUAAGUUAAGCAAUCUAACUAAUCAUUUUUUGUCAUUUUAUGCAGAUUUUGACAAAUCAAAAGUAAUUGGGCCAUAAGUUUUGACGGACAAGAUGCACGAUAUUUUGAUUGUCAAAUGUUGUUCAAGUUUAUUUUAAUUUUGUGAGUUUGUUUUGAAUGAACAAGUUGAGAACUUCUUUAUUAGGAUGUAUUCUGUUAUAAACUUGUAUGGAUGUAUCUUUGAAUUGUUAUGUAAAUACGAAUAAUAUAAAAGAGAUAUCAAUUUGGAUUAUGACACAAAAAAAAUAACAAAUAAUUUAGGUACAACAAUAUAAAAGAGGUGAGCUUUUAGCUAAUAAGCUCAAACCAAGAAAAAAACCAAUCCAGAUGGUUUGGUUUAAAAAAAAUUUAGGUCGAUAUCAGUUUGGAUAGGUUUGAUAAUUUGUCUCAAACUGAUCCAAACCAAAUUUGCCUACCUCUCAGUUCCAUUAUCUAGAGAAAUGCAAUAUGUACAUCCAUCUGAUGUAAUUCAAGGUCUAGAUGUACAAUGAUGACCAAAAUUAACUGUAUAGAAGCAAACCUUACCAUAGGAGAAAAGGUUUCUUUAUAGUCUAUUCCCUUCUCUUAGGUAUAGCCUUUAGCGACUAAUCUUACUUUGUAUCUCUUGAUUGUCCCAUCCACUUUACAUUUUAUUUGGAGAACCCAUUUGUUUCCGAUAGUUUUACGAUUAGGCAGAAAUUCAAGUAAGUCCCAAACUUGAUUAACUUUCAUAGAUUCUAUCUCUUCUUCAAUUGCUUUCAUCUAUAAAUCCCUAGUAGACGAUGUGAGAGCUUCAUUAAAAGUAUUUGGCUCUUCACUAUCGUGUGAAGUAAUCAUAAAACUUCUCCCUCAAUCUCAAAAUAACGACAAGGAAUUGGCUUACGACUACUCUUUCGAGUCAAUUUCCUAAUUGGAAUCGAAGUGUCCAGUGUUUCACUCCUACUCAGAGUAACAAUCUCUAGAGGAUUCGCACUAAUGCCAAUAUCGACAUUAGAAGUGAUAACCCCAUUUAGAUCUUCUAAUUCAUAAAAUUGAAAAUCAUUAUCCACUUUUUCAAUGCUAGAAAAUUCAUUUUCUAAAAAACUGAUAUCUGUUGCAACUUUUCCUUGUAUUAUUAGUAUCAAUCUGCAAGUGUAUACAACAAGUAAUAUAAUGAUAAAUAUUGAAGAUCGUCUCCACAUGGAUUGAUGUUAUUAGAAUUGCUACAACAAACCUUAACAGUGCAGCUUGUAUUCUAAAUUAAGACAAAAUAAUUAAUGAGACUAAACAACUAAUUAAACUAUAAAAUGUAAUAACUAAAAAGGCAAUAAAUAAAAUUCUCAUGUCAAACACGAGAAGAAAGCCAAUGAGAAUUGAGUAGUUGAGUGAUUAAACUCUCUUAAUGGUUUUGACUGUUUCUUCUAAUCUUUGGCUCAGUUGCUACAACAUUUGUUGCAACACUGGGCAAAAUUAUAUUGUAUCCUCAGCUGUCGCAUGUUAGAUGUCUUAUAUCCUUAUGCAACCUAACAGUAACCAAUUGUUAUGCCAACAUAAGAUAUAACAUUACACAUUUAGGUUCUAUUUACCCUACAAUGUGAAUUUCUUUGUCUAAUUCAUCACUAAUUUUGGAUUAGGCAUGGCCCUUUUGGACUCAAGUAAAACUCAACUCAAUAAACCCAAUCUAAAACCAAGUAUUACUCUGAUAUGUUACACUAAGAUAAGCCCUUUUUGUGGCUCUUUCUUAGCUUGUAUCAUUAAAUGGGUGGUCAGCCAAAAUAAUGAAUAUAAAUAAAUAUUAUCAAAAUAAAAUACUACAAUAAACAUACAGCAACACAUUUAUACAGUCAAUGGACCAUCAAGAUCGUUUAUCACUCAACCACAAAUAAAUUUAGUUCAUAAUCCAUAAAAGAAACAUGAACAAUAGAGGUUUAUAUAAGAUUAAGGCAAAUUAUAUGUUGUGAACUAUUAUAUAAGAUUAAGGCAAAUUAAAAAUGAUCUAUUAAGGUUUUUAAUAAUUUGGGCUUUAAUGUAUCUAAUCGAUUGUGGGCCUUUAAUGUACAGAGACUUAAGACUGAUUUCUAUUUCCAUGAUGGGUUGGAAUAAGAAUACAUAAGGACAAGAUGAAAUUUUGUUUAUAUAAGUAGUUAUUGUCCCUAGGUCGCACAUAUCGUUCUAUUCUCUAUUGACAUCUCAUCAUUAGAGAGAGUGCAGAGAGAAGUUUAAAGGAUUGUCUAGGAGAACCUGUUAAUUUGGAAGACAAACUACUAGACUCUAGAGACAAAUUAUGCAUUAUGAUCUUAGGUACGCUGCCGUAUAUUCUGUUAUUAAUUCUUGGUGAUAGAACAUGCAUAUUCCUAAAUUUAGGUGAUGAUUUUCACCAAAUGAUUUAUUAUUCUUAUACUCAUUUUUUAUUUUUAGUUCCACACACAAUUGUAAUAGCAAGGUCCCCACGGUUUUUGUACUGCACUCUUUAGUUAUCCAAAAUAAACUUAUACUUGUCUUGAACAUGUUCAAUUCUCAAGGCAUCCAGAGGAGAUUUUCCCCUAAGCUUACGAGCACACAGGUUCCUGAAGUAUUCUUCAACUGGCACUCUUUUAAACAAUGGAGGAUUAUUUUCAGCGACCAAAUUGGACGCAGGGUACAUUUCACCAUCAUAUAUCACUAAGUAAAUUGUGCCAAUGGAAAGUCUUCCUUGUACAGAGUUUACAAUUACACGAUGCUCAAUGCUACGGUAUGUCCCAUUGGUUACAAUCUGCAUGUAAAAAUUAUUAAAUCACAUGAGCAGGCGCAUAUAAAUGCCAAGUUAAGUAAUUUACUAUAAUUAUUACCUCCAUUGUCUCUCCAAUGUCGACAAUGAAAGCAUUAGGGAGUGGAGCAACAGGAAUUAAUGAAAGCACACAUUAGCUAGCUCAUAUGAAUAUCAAGUUAAAAUAACUUAUCAUAAUAAUUACCUCCAACACGACUCCAAUGUUGACAACGAAAGCAUUUGGGAAAGGUGUAACAGGAAUCCACUUUCCAUCCUUCUUGAUCUGGAGACCUUCUACUUCAUUGAUUUCUAGCAGAAUGGUAAGAGCAGAGUCAUCAGAAUGAGGUGUGAGGCCCACAAUCUUCUCCGGCUGAGGACAUGGAGGGUAAUAGUUCAUCCCUAUUGAUUGGAAACCGUUUUCAAAGUAUUCUCUCAAUUCUUCAACUUUGAUAUUUAAAACUUUUCCCAUUUUCGAUACCAGGUUCAUGGCCAGAGAUUUUUAACUCCACUGAAUAAAUUCCAAGAUUUCCUACAAGAAAAAAGAAGACGCAAUUAGAAGGUUUAGUAUAUGAUUGUGGUGGAUUGUUAAAUAAGUUAUUAUUUAGCAGUAUUCUUUCGAAAUCAUAAGUGGUUGUCAAAUUUUACUAGAUAUAACUGACUUGGGAUCUUUCUCUGAACAUAAUACAUUUGCAAUCAUCAAAUAACUGACUAGAGAGAGAGAGAGAGAGAGAGAAAUUUGAGGGGGAAAGAGGGAGCUUAUGAAACAAGUGGGGUUUCCUCAGAUGAACUGGAAGAGUUGUCAUGAAGAAAAUGUUAUUCCAAUCAAGCUUUUGUUCCUCGGAUACAACAAAUGCUUGUCCAAAUCCUUCCACAUCUCCUGGAGACUGCCAAUUUUUUUUUUCCAUGCUUAGAUUGAAGAAUUCUGGAAUCUCUUUCUUUACGUUCUCUAGAAAUGCAGAGCUCACUCCAUGAUUUACCAGCUGAAACAAUUCAGAAACAGAAAAACAGCUAAGACAUUAAUAAUCUAUCAUAAAUUUGCUUGAUAAAUUUAUUUUGGUCAAGGUAUUUUGCUGAGACAGAGUACAACUUAUCGGACUAAUUCAGGCAAAAUUUACUGAGUGAGAUGAAUAAAAGUAUUUGUUAGAUUUUAAUAAACUAAUAGCAUCGCAUUUGCAUUAUACUCCAUCAUAAAUUUGCUUAUAGUUCUUCUCAAACUACCGUAAGCCUACACAUCUGAAAGAUAUUAAAGACAAUUUAAUUUUAAAUGCAGGAUUUUCGUCUCAGCUAUAAAAGAAAGCAAGUUAGAUGGAUACAUAAUCGAACAAGGUCAGUUACAUCCCUCAAUUCUCAGACAAAAAAAAAAAAAAGAGUGCUUAAACAGGCUUGGUUAAGACUACCUACACUCAAAUUUUGUUACAGCUUUCUUAUUGCUAACUUACAGAGCAAGAAAGCAUUGAUACAGAGUAGGCCAAAUUUGUGGCCUACUUGACCUAUAAGAAUGAAACACAAUCUAAUCUGAAUUUGACCGACUGUGCUCUUCGAUUGAGAGUAUACAGAUUUCUUAAUUCUUGACGCCAGACUACUAUUAACAAACCAAGCAUGUCCAAAUGAAAAAGUACAAACUUGGGUGCCUCACGGCAGGUGUAGCUUAGCUGGUUGUGAACGUAAUUCGCAAUUUGCAGAUAUCUGCGCUCGAGUAACAAUAUGGGACAAAGGGUGGUAUUUAGUAGAUGAGGUCUCAUUCCAUGCAAAUCCUUUAAAAGCAAAAUAAUAAUAACUUGGCAAAGGAGUAAAAAUUCUAUUUCAAGAAAGAGAGAUACUGGUCUGAUAUAAGCACCACUAUAUAUCAUCGGAAGAUUCCAGGCAUAAGAUUAUUACAUGGUCUAUUCAGUAUCUCAAAUGAUAGAGCUAUUAGAAACACAUCGACCCUAGCAUAGCAGGUUAUACCACAGUCUUCAUAGAACGUAUUUCUUAUUUUCAGUUCCACACACAAUCUUAAUAGCAAGGUCCUUCAGAGUUUUUGUACCAAACUCUUUAGUUAUCCGAAAUAAACUUAUACUAGCCUUGACUAUGUUGAAUUCUCAGGGAAUCCAGCUGAGAUUUUCCCCUAAGCUCACGAGCAUACCGGCUCCUAAAGUAUUCUUCAAUUCUCACUCUUCUAAACAAAGGAGGAGUUUUUUCAGAGAUCAAACUGGAGGCAGGAUAUACUUCACCAUCAUAUCUCAGUGAGUAAGCUGUGGCAAUGGAAAGUCUUUCCUGUACAGAGUUUACAACUGCGCGAUGCUCAAUGCUAGGGUAUGUCCCAUUGGUUAUAAUCUGCCAUGCAAAAAUUAUUAAAGCACAUAAGCAAGCGCAUAAAAAUGCCAGGUUAAGGUAAUUUAUAAUAAUUAUUACCUCCAAUGUGUCUCCAAUGUUGACAAUGAAAGCAUCCGGGAGUGGGGUAACAGGAAUCCACUUUCCAUCCUUCUUUAUCUGGAGACCCUCCACUUCAUUAAGUUGUCGCAGAAUGGUAAGUGCAGCUGCAUCAGAAUGCGGCGACAGGCCCAUAACCUUCUCGGGCUGAGGACAUGGAGGGUAAUAAUUCAUCCUCAUUGCUUGCACUCCAUUUUCAAAGAAUUCUCUCAUUUCUUCAUCUUUGAUAUUUAACACUUCUCCCAUUUUCGAUAUUAGGUUCUCGGCUAGGGUUUUUAAUUCCAUUGAGUAAACUUCCAAGGUCUCUCUACAGGAAAAGAAGAUGCACUAUCCUUUAUUUGUUUGCAAAUCAAAAUGACAUUGACGUAGAAACAGAGAGAGAGAGAGAGAGAGAGAGAGCCUGAGGGAAGGAGGGAGCUUAGGAAAUAAGUGUGGCUUCCUCAGAUGAACUGGAAGAGUCAUCAUGGAGAAAAGGUCAGCCCAAUCAAGCUUUUGUUCCUCGGAUACAACAAAGGCUUGUCCAAAUCCUUCUACAUCUCCUGGAUGCUGCCAAUAUUUUUUCUUUUCUUCCAUGCUUAGAUUGAAGAAUCCCUGAACCUCUUUCUUCAAUUUCUCUAGAAAUGCCGAGCUCACUCCAUGGUUUACCAGCUGAAAUGAUGCAGGAAUGAACAGCAUCUAAGAUUUAAUACUCAUGCCACUAAGUUCACAGUGGUCCAGGUGUUUUACUGAGACAGAUUGCAACUUAUUUGACUGAUUUAGAGAAGAUUUACCGUCAAAGAUGGCUGAAAGCAUUUGUUGCAUUUCAACCUAGAACAUUGCUGUUGCAUGAACCACCAAUCUUAAUUUGCUUAUAUAUCUUCCCAAUGAUUAGUUUCUACAAGUGUUUUUCACUCAUUGUUUUGCAGAAAGUUCAAUAUUCUUGAAUAACAAUAAUAAGCAUGAAGUUCUUCUAGUUUGGUUCACAAAUUGAAUUUGCAAAACCAUGUAACAGCAAAUAAUCUCCAGGAAUCUUAUAAAAUUAGUAUAUCUUUUAUCACAUUUUGACAGAAGCAUAUUUCUCAUUAGCUACCAAAAGUUAUUGAGACAGAGUAGG